rnacentral:lncRNA from 1 species
UACAAACGACUCAAAAUAAAACUACGUAAAACAAUAUUGCUCAAAGCUAGACUACAGUCCCUGGUAAUCGUGGGACGCAUCCCAAAAACCCCACACAACUAAACGAUGGUCCUGAUGUUGCAAAAGCAGAACACCUACGAUAAAUAAGUCUUACAAGGUCAACAUAAAGAGAAAACAUGGAACAUAGGGUGUGUUUGGUUCCCAUCCCACUUUUCACGUGUUUUGGAACCUGGCACGGUAGAGCCUGCAUGAGGGAAUGCUUGCACUGAGCCCCCGCAGUGUAAAUUACACUGACAUGAGUCUGCAUGUGAGGAAACGACUGAUUUGAGUGUUCCUCUCAGGUAAGGCUGUGGGAUCCUUUGAGUUUCAUGCGGGCUUGUUUCUCUCCGUGGCACAGUUCGGAUUUGGCCCCAAGAGCCCGCAUGGUUAUUUUACUAGCAACCAAACACGCCCAUAACAGAGGUAGAAACAGGACAGAGAUGACAAAGAUCCUCAGUGAAGAAGCAAUUUAGCUGAAGAUGCUCAGGCAGCAAAGGUAGCAACCAGUAGAUGCCAUUUGAAAUGGCAAAACAUAUAGAGGUCCAGUAUAUCUACACUGCUUCUACUACAACCGGUCAGUGCAUGAUUGGGCGCAUCAUGAGGACGGAUCCAAUGAUGGUAGUUGGUGGAUUCCUAUAAUGGGAACUGUUGCCCCGUACAGUCCAAAUGAUUAUACUACUAACCAGUUUUCUCGAUCGUCCUCGCGAGGCAGAUGGUUAGCCAGCCAAAGGCCAUGGCGUGAGCCUGUUGGAAAAGCUUGUUAAUUGGGCAGGACCAGCAUGGCCUACGUGGAGUUCAGUUCAUGGCGCCGUGCAGUGACCAAUCGGCAUCUCCGGCUCCAGCGCUUGGCAUUUCUGCGAUCCACACAGUGUUUUUAUAUUCUGGUCCUCCUUCAGGCUUCAGUCCUUCUCCCCCACACCACACACAGCUUGGGACAACCCUAUACGAAUCUUCCAGCGUCCCUAGAUGUUCCCAUCUGUUUUAUUUUUUCGGUUUUGCCAAUCCUAAAUGGACUUCGAUUUUCUCAAGUUCCGGUCCGUUUAGAACAAGGGCGCUGCUACGUGGUGGAUCUUUUUAAAAAUAUCCGCCCACUAGUAGAAAACAGGGCUUAGGUCACAGGGCAGUUUCUGAACCGGGACUAAUGUGAGCAUUGGUCCCGGUUCGUGCGGCCAGGGGCCUACCGGGCCUCAUGGGGGCAUUGGUCCCGGUUCGUCCGGACCCUUUGGUCCCGGUUGGUGGGACAAACCGGGACCAAUGGGCCACGCUCCUGGCCCACCACCCUUUAGUCCCGGUUCAUACCACAAACCGGGACUAAAGGGCUGGUCCUAGUUGCGGCCAGUGUUUAGUCCCACCUCGCCAACCGAAGGGCGCUCACACUAGUUUAUAAGCCCUCCCUCUAUGCCUUGUUGAGCUUCUCUUAAAGUGAAAAUAGAUGCCCUUAUACAGAGAAUUUCACCUAAAUUCACAGUAAAUUGAAAUUUACUGUGAAUUUAGGUUUAAUUUUCUCUAUAAGCGCAUCUAUGUUCAUUUUUUUAUAUUUAUAAAAUAAAUAAACCUUAAUAAAAUAAAUAAAACUAAAUAAACCUUAAUAAAAUAUAAUAAAAUAAACAAUAGUAACUACAAUAAAUAAACCUUAAUAAAUUAAGUAAAAAUAGCAGCAGUAAAAUAAAUAAAAAUAGCAGCAGUANNNNNNNNNNNNNNNNNNNNNNNNNNNNNNNNNNNNNNNNNNNNNNNNNNNNNNNNNNNNNNNNNNNNNNNNNNNNNNNNNNNNNNNNNNNNNNNNNNNNNNNNNNNNNNNNNNNNNNNNNNNNNNNNNNNNNNNNNNNNNNNNNNNNNNNNNNNNNNNNNNNNNNNNNNNNNNNNNNNNNNNNNNNNNNNNNNNNNNNNNNNNNNNNNNNNNNNNNNNNNNNNNNNNNNNNNNNNNNNNNNNNNNNNNNNNNNNNNNNNNNNNNNNNNNNNNNNNNNNNNNNNNNNNNNNNNNNNNNNNNNNNNNNUAGCAGCAGUAAAAUAAAUAAAAAUAAAAUAAUUAAAGUAAAAUACAUAAGUAAUUAGAAAUAAAAUAAAUAAGUUUUUUGUUGUAAGUAGAAACAAAACAAAACAAAUAAAGCAAAAGAGAAAAAACAAAACACGUCCCUCUCUGCCUUAUUGAGCUCCUCUCAAAAUGAAAAUAGAUGCUCUUAUACAGGGAAAUGAUGAUGUGGCUUUGAAUGGUGCAUUUUGAACACACAAAAAGUCAGGAGUUCAAAUAAGUUUUAAAAAAUGAAAUCCCUUUGUAACAGACGAGUUUCCGUAUGAAAUCCUGAUACUUUGAAAGAGAUUGUCCGUUUUAUACACGAAGUGCAUCCAGUAUUUGCUGUAACCCUCUCAACUUUCUUGCACCUGCUAUGUGGAUGAAAUGAUGAUAUCAUGCCAACUUUCAACCUUUUCAGAGUUCAUUUGAAAUGCUUUUCAAUUUUAGGGUCUUAUAGCUCAAAAUAAUUAGUAAAUGCAUGAAAAAUAACAAAUGAUGUCAGAAAGGAUUAAAAAUGAUGAUGUGGCUUUGAAUGGUGCAUUUUGAACACACAAAAAGUCAGGAGUUCAAAUAAGUAUUAAAAAAUGAAAUCCCUUUGUAACAGACGAGUUUCCGGAUGAAAUCCUGAUACUUUGAAAGAGAUUGUCCGUUUUGUACACGAAGUGCAUCCAGUAUUUGCCGUAACCCUUUCAACUUUCUUGCACAUGCUAUGUGGAUGAAAUGAUGAUACCAUGCAAACUUUCAACCCUUUCAGAGUUCAUUUGAUAUGCUUUUAUAAACUCUAAUAGCAAAAGUAAUCAACUAAAAAGCUUUUAUAAACCUCUAGUAUUUUCGUAAAGAAUUAAAAUUUAAACUAUUCAAAUUUGGAAACUAAUGGAGUAACAGAAAGUUUAUAAUUAUUCUGAGCUAAAAGCAAAAACAAUAAAACAAUAAAGCAAAAAUCAAAAGAAAAUAAAUAAUUCAAAAAACAAAAAAAUACUGGAAAAAAUAAAAAAAUUCCGCCUAAUGGGCCACACGGCCUGCAUACGACUAGAAACCCAUCUGCACAUGGGCCAGGAUGCAGGCCCGCAGGCCCAAUAGGCCCAACAUGGCAGUGACAAGGGUAGGCAUGUAAUGCCUGCAUAUUAGAGAGGAGCUCAGCACCUGAGCUGCAACGCAGCUUAUAAACAAGUGCUGAGCUCUCUCAGCUAGCGAGGUGGGACUAAACUUCCCACCGCACCGCGCCAGCACAUUAGUCCCGAUUGGUGGCUCCAACCGGAACCAAUGCUCCCCUUUGGUCCCAGUUGGUGGCACCAACCAGAACCAAUGCCCACCCUUUAGUCCCGGUUGGUGCCACCAACCGGGACCAAAGCCCUCUGCUUCCCGCCCUUUGGGCUGGUGAAAAGAGGCCUUUGGUCCCGGUUGGUGCCACCAACCGGGACUAAAGGGUGGGCAUUGGUUCCGAUUUGUGCGUUGAACCGGGACCAAAGCCUUUGCUAUAUAAGCCAGCACUGAAGAAAUUUUCAGAUUUCCAUCGCCAGUUUCCCCCCGCCCGACGACGCNNNNNNNNNNNNNNNNNNNNNNNNNNNNNNNNNNNNNNNNNNNNNNNNNNNNNNNNNNNNNNNNNNNNNNNNNNNNNNNNNNNNNNNNNNNNNNNNNNNNNNNNNNNNNNNNNNNNNNNNNNNNNNNNNNNNNNNNNNNNNNNNNNNNNNNNNNNNNNNNNNNNNNNNNNNNNNNNNNNNNNNNNNNNNNNNNNNNNNNNNNNNNNNNNNNNNNNNNNNNNNNNNNNNNNNNNNNNNNNNNNNNNNNNNNNNNNNNNNNNNNNNNNNNNNNNNNNNNNNNNNNNNNNNNNNNNNNNNNNNNNNNNNNNNNNNNNNNNNNNNNNNNNNNNNNNNNNNNNNNNNNNNNNNNNNNNNNNNNNNNNNNNNNNNNNNNNNNNNNNNNNNNNNNNNNNNNNNNNNNNNNNNNNNNNNNNNNNNNNNNNNNNNNNNNNNNNNNNNNNNNNNNNNNNNNNNNNNNNNNNNNNNNNNNNNNNNNNNNNNNNNNNNNNNNNNNNNNNNNNNNNNNNNNNNNNNNNNNNNNNNNNNNNNNNNNNNNNNNNNNNNNNNNNNNNNNNNNNNNNNNNNNNNNNNNNNNNNNNNNNNNNNNNNNNNNNNNNNNNNNNNNNNNNNNNNNNNNNNNNNNNNNNNNNNNNNNNNNNNNNNNNNNNNNNNNNNNNNNNNNNNNNNNNNNNNNNNNNNNNNNNNNNNNNNNNNNNNNNNNNNNNNNNNNNNNNNNNNNNNNNNNNNNNNNNNNNNNNNNNNNNNNNNNNNNNNNNNNNNNNNNNNNNNNNNNNNNNNNNNNNNNNNNNNNNNNNNNNNNNNNNNNNNNNNNNNNNNNNNNNNNNNNNNNNNNNNNNNNNNNNNNNNNNNNNNNNNNNNNNNNNNNNNNNNNNNNNNNNNNNNNNNNNNNNNNNNNNNNNNNNNNNNNNNNNNNNNNNNNNNNNNNNNNNNNNNNNAAAUUUUACUAUAUAUAGAAGUAGUUUAUUUUUAGUAAGAACUACUUUAUUUUAUUUAUUUAUAGUAAGUGCUUAGUAGUUGAACUAGUUGAUUAAUUAAUAAAACUACUUUAUUUUAUUUAUAGUAAGUGCUUAAUUAGUAGUUGAACUAGUUGAUUUAACAAAACUAGUUUAUUUUACUAUAGAAGUAGUUUAUUUUUAGCAAGGAAAUUAAUAGAACUAGUUUGUUUUUUUAGUUAAAGCAAUUAUUCCCGCAUCAACGUCGACGAUGCCUAUCCCGCAUCCUCGUCGUCGACUCGGCGGAGGAGGCCGGCUUGAUCAGAGGGGCCAUGUCCGGGACUGGGCUCCGCCGGGCUGGUUUUGGGAGGUGCUACCUUCCGGUGGGCGUAGGUUGGUGAGGAACCAGCCCGUCGUUGACCCGAUCCUUGUUUGGUGGCGCUCGCGUGGGCCAGUGACGGUGCCGAGGCUUCCGGACACCGCGGAGGUAGUACGUCACCGUGUCAGCAAGGAGGACCAGCACGUCCGUCGCUACAUGGUUGCGUUGGAGGGCAGGUUCGACAAUACCUGGCAGGUUCUUCAGGGAUCUCACUGGAGCUAUGAUCCUGUGAUGGUUCCGUCCCUUUGGGUGUCCACCGCCCGCGCCGAUACCCGUCGGGCGCUACUGUUCUAGCUGUACUAGCGAUGCUAUAUGUAUGAUAGUAUUCGAGGUGUAUUAGUGAUAAUAUUCGACGAUGUACGGACGCAUGGAGAUGAUGUAGUUUUGCUUAUAAUUGAAUGCAUCCUAAUUUGAAUACUACUUUAUUUUGUGAUUUGAUUUUGCUUAUUGAAUGCUCAAAGUGGAAAACUACUCCGAUCCUACUUUGAAUGCUAAAAUUGGAGAGCACUAUGAUUAGUUGAUAGCUUAUAUUUUGUUUUCACAGAAAUCUAGGAGCCCCCGGCCCCUCCAUCAUCCCCGCCGUCGUCCCCGUCACCGCCCCCUCCGACAUCAAGGUGAGACUAGCCAAAUCCUCUUUUAGAAAGAUAAUUAAACGAUAUUUCGGGUUGACUAUAAGAAUCCCGACUGUUGUCGUGGGGGUAGCUUCUCCUUCGUUCCCGUGUGCUAGACAAUUUGGUGUAAUGCACUCGAGAACGAAAGGAGGAGCUACCAUAACCGACGGUCGCAAAUGUCAGAGAGGAAUCAGUGAGGGAGAGUUCCACCAUAUAUAUAUGAGAGGACGAAGAAUCCCGACUGUUGUCGUGGGGGUCACUUCUCCUUUGUUCCCGUGUGCUAGACAUUUUGGUGUAAUGCACACGGGGACAAAUGGAGGAGCGACCAUCACCAACGGUCGAAUGUAUACACCACGUGAGCUGAGAGUUUUCAAGAAAAGACUCGACAAACCGAUAGUCAACCCGUGAUGAAUAAUAAUGAUCUAACUUAGGUUUUUUAGUACAUAUAUUUAAUUGUAGAUGUUUAAUAUUUGAAUUAUGAACAUAGGAAAUGUCGUACUCGGACGACGAAAGUCUCCCGGGGGAGUGCGACUGGUGCCACGACGACCGAGGUCAGUGCGACAGGCCUCACCUGGACGAAGAUCGGCGCUUCAGUAUUAAGCUGGAGGAGACCUUCGAUGUUGAAACGGUACGCAACGACGACAAGUGUUAUUUUUUCGUAAUUAAGCACGACUUCAACUAUUUCAACGUGUACUUUUCAUCUUUUACAAUUCGGCUAGCUUAUCCCAUGCCAUGCAAGACGCUACGUCUUGGAGAGGAUGGGUUUUGAAGACCAUGAAAGUAUGGAAACAAAGAAAAUUCACCUAAGGACCCAUCAUGAUAUAGAUUUUGAAGUAAAGCUGUAUAAUUCUGAGAGCGUAACCCAUUUUGGUUGCAAAAAUUGGGAAGCAUUUUGCAAGAUGUAUGGUUUUGAUGAGGGUAUGCUUGUCACCAUGGAUCUUGGUGAUCCUGACAUCGAGCAAGACAAUAUGGACAUUUGGGUCCUUGUUGAUACGCCUCCAAUUCUACCGCUAUGUGAGUUUCUCAAACAUAGUUAUUAGCUAAUUUAUAUUGUUCAUUUCAAAAUAGUUGACAGCUUAUUUUCAUUGACAGCUUAUUUUGAUUGUUCAAACAAUGUGCGGAACAUGGUAGACAGAACCUACUACACCAAUGGCUCUGAGUUAACUUAUAAGGAGAAAACUCAUCUGGUCAGAUUUUGUACUGAUCUUGAGAAUUACAAUAUCUAUUGUAAAACUCCUCCGCAUUAUGGUCAAUACGUGCCACUAGUGCACGUGUUGAACUACGGUAACUACUAUGGAGAUACCCUGGUAAGAUUUCUUACUAUUACGACAUCCGUGCAUAUUUUGCAUAGUUCUAAAACUAGUACAUCAUUGCUAACUAUGAAGUUAUACUAUGUUUUUCAACAGAUAAUCCCAGAGGAUUGUGUGCCUCAUUUGUUGUAUCAGAAUGGUAGGCUUGAUGUUUUGAAUAUACAACCAGGUCAUCCUACGAAUCUCAACUGUCCAUACCGGAUUUCUAAAAGAAGUGGAGACAUGCAAAUCAAAGAAUGGAAAAAAUGUAUGGACAGUCGCAAGGAGGUUCUUGGAAGCAAAAGGAAGCGAAGCGCAAGAAUUGAAGACAGGAUGAUCUCCAUUCUCCAUAAUGGAGAGUCAGGGUCUAUAUUGUUUUAUGCUAUUUUACCUUAAAGAGGGUAUUUCGGUCCUACCUAAUACUGAUGAUCAUGUGCUAAGAACAAUUAAGUAGGGUUGGUUCGAUGACUGUGAGGAUGAUGAUCGUAUGACUUGUUAUUAAUAAUGAGUAGAAGUUGUAUGAUGAUGAUUAGUAGGACUUGUUAUUAUAUAUGAUGAUGCAUGAUGCGCGCAUGAAGAGUUAUUAUAUAUCAGCGGGUGAAAUGAACAUGGAUUGGAUUGAAGUGAAGGCAACAUGCAUGUGGUGUGUGUCGAAAGUAGUACAAUCCAAACUUGAUCAAGUUAGGAUUAGUAUUACUUUCGACAUGCACCACAUGUUGCCUUCACUUCAAUCUAAGCCAUGUUUAGGCAUAGCAGUAUACGUAGCGUUGGUAAACCAAGCACGGAGAUAUAAGAGAGGACACUUCUCUCUAAUAGCUACCUANNNNNNNNNNNNNNNNNNNNNNNNNNNNNNNNNNNNNNNNNNNNNNNNNNNNNNNNNNNNNNNNNNNNNNNNNNNNNNNNNNNNNNNNNNNNNNNNNNNNNNNNNNNNNNNNNNNNNNNNNNNNNNNNNNNNNNNNNNNNNNNNNNNNNNNNNNNNNNNNNNNNNNNNNNNNNNNNNNNNNNNNNNNNNNNNNNNNNNNNNNNNNNNNNNNNNNNNNNNNNNNNNNNNNNNNNNNNNNNNNNNNNNNNNNNNNNNNNNNNNNAAAAACGCCAGCCCCUGAAAUGCUGACGCGUGGAUGCCUAUUGGUCCCGGUUGGUGUCACCAACCGGGAUCAAAGGCCCUCCGUCCUGGGCUGGCCGCAGCGGCCACGUGGAGGACCUUCUGUCCCGCUUCGUGUAAGAACCGGAACUAAAGGCCAAGGGCAUUAGUAACGACCUUUUAGUCCCGGUUCACAAACCGGGACAGAAGGCCCUCACGUACCGGGACAAUAGGCCCUUUUUCUACUAGUGGCCGCCUCGCGAGCCGUCAGAUUUGAUGUAUUGAGUGGACGAGUGUCACCUUCUGCCAUUGCAACACAAGUCGAAUUGCAAGAAAUUUCUGCAACGCAGGUCAUGUUGCAGAAAAUUUUGCAACAUAAGUCAAGAUGCAUAAUUAUUUUUUGCAACAGAGGACUUAUUACAAUUUCUUUGUAAGAGAAGUCUUGCUGCAAUUUAAUUUCUUUUAUGAUAGACAUCUUGUUACAAUUUUUUUUUGCAACAAAGGUACUGCUAAAACUAUUUUUGCAAUAGAGACGUUGCUGCAGAAACCGAUAGCAUACAGUGAGCAGCAAGCAGCGAUAAGCGUUUUCCUUAGAACAAUACGUCCUUUUUUUUAGUACAAUGCAACUUGUAUUUUUCUACUUUUUUCCCCGAACUAAGAUUCACUCUCCGUGUCGGUCGUGACUUGAGAAAAAGAAAACCGCAGUCAACUUAGACAUAGAGAGACGGUAAAAUCGACGGUAAAAUCCUAUUUGGAUUCAGAAAUGAAGCCUUCUCCAUUGAUACAUGUUAAUUUAAUCUAUGCAUGAUUAUGCACUAGGAGACAUUGAUGAUGUCUUAAUCUAUCCAGGACGAUGCCCGUGCAUGUGUGCUCAGCAUGCAUGAGCAUCAUGCAGAUCUAGAAAGACAUCCACACUCCCCCCAUGUGGAAGCCCGCCGCACACAGUGCAGACAAAAUCCAGAAGCCACACAACUAAACUAAUACUACUAACAGAACAAAUAAACAAGCAUUUACUGGAUCCAACUCGUACGUCCUACCUAGCCCUACGGCCCAAGCCCGGGCCUAAUUGAGCCGUCUACUCCUGCUAUAGUACUCACCUCCGCUGCAACUGUCACUGAAUACUACCACUCAGUACCACUGGUAGUAGAGUGGUGCUGCCGCUCUCCAUGGCUCACCACGUCGUCUCUCCCUGUCACCCAUUGACAGCCCUCGCUUUCUUCCUAACUAGCUCCCCCUCUCCUCCUACCUCGCUUCGUUAGGCUAGUUCGCUUCGCUCUGCUAGCUGGUUCUCGGACCGGCAGAGCCCGCUAUAUAUAGCUCUCGCCUCGGCUGCAGCUACCACUCACCCGCACCAAAAACAAGCAAUAAGCUAGCAGCUACACUCACCCAACUGCUAGUCUCCUUAGCUAAGCUAUAUCUCCUACUGCUAGCUGCGUGUGGGUGUGGGCACUCUCCGCUACAGCUCGAUAGGUACGUACAUAAGCUAUCUAGCACGAGCUGUGAGCGAGCGAGCCAGCAAGCAUGUCGUCGAGCAGCCGGAGGUCACGCACGCGGCGUGGCGGGAGCUCGUCGUCGAUCUCGGAGGAGCAGAUCUCCGAGCUGCUGUCCAAGCUGCAGGCGGUGCUCCCGGAGUCCCAAGCUCGCAAUGGUGCUCACAGAGUAAGUACUACCAACCAAACCAAAGUGGUAGUGGCUGCUUUAGUAGCUGCUUUUCCAUGAAUAGUCAGCUGAUCGCGACGCGCUAGUGCAGUGUGCAACCGUGCAUGGCCGGAGUCACUGAUGAGAGUUAGCCUUCGUGCUGUUUCAGGGGUCGGCGGCGAGGGUGCUUGAGGAGACGUGCAGCUACAUCCGGAGCCUGCACCGGGAGUUGGACGACCUGAGCGAGACGCUCGCCGCGCUGCUCGCCUCCGACGCCGUUACCGCCGAGCAGGCCGUCGUCAUCAGGAGCCUCCUCAUGUGACCCUCCCACCGCCCUCCCAUGGGCGGCGCACACGUAUGUCUACCAAGCUCUCCGGCGGCCCAUGUGAGCAUGCGCGUGAGGCGUGAGCGUUACGACGAGUACCUGCGUCGUGAGCCGAAUUCGUAAGGUAAAAAUUCCGACCCCAAGUCCACCCCCUAAGACUAUGCAAUGUUUUAUAUAAAAUUGCAUCAAAGGUGAUAGCAAACCGUCUUAAGGUGGUGCGCCCAAAUAUUCAGCUAACCAGUCUGCAUUUGUUCCAGGACGUUUGAUAAGGAUGAUAUUGUUGUGGCUCUUCUGGGUGCUUGCACUUUAUGAAGCAAAACAGAGCUGUUAAGCGUUGUCAUUGUGCCCAUAAGCUCCACAUGAUGAAGGCUUAUGGCACGGUUGAAUGGGACUACUUUGCAGGCAAUUAUGCUCAAAUUGGGAUUUUCUGAGCGUUGGGCGAACAUUGUAAUGAGUCUUGUCAACUCGGUCUCGUACUCAAUUUUGUUCAAUGGUAAGAAACUUGAAGAAUACAAACAAUCCAGAGGAUUCGACAGGGAGAUCCAAUUUCCCUUUUCCUAUUCUUUUUGGCAACAGAGGGCCUUUUGUGCGUCCUUAAAUCCAGAGUUCAGUCAUCUUAGAUUGGUAUGAUGCAAGUAGGCUCAUCGGCACCACCUGUUAACCAUCUUUUAUUUGCAUAUGACAGUUUAUUGUUCUUAAAGGCUAAUGGUGUUCGGGCGACUGAGGCGUCAACCAGUUGGAUGUUUAUUUCUAGGCUUCUGACCAACAUAUAUUAAUUCUAGCAAAUCUUCUAUCCUCUUCAGUAAAAGAUGCACAACCACUACCUAAAAGGAAAUUAAGAUUUUGCUAGAUGUCGAAACAAGACUCGCAAUGAAAAGUACCUAGGUAUGCCUUUCGAUGUAGGUACUUAGAAAAAUAAGGCUUUCAAAUACUUAAAGGACAGACUGUGGAGCAAGAUGAAAGAACAGACUAGGGAAAAAAAUCAACUUUGUAAGCAAGGUCCCGGAGUCAGAUGCUGAAACAAAAAGCACAAUGUGAACUCAUUCUGAGAGCAUCUCGCGUACAUUCCCCAAAAGUUAAAUAUGGAAAAGGGUAUCUCCAACGUGACCCUCAAAACGCCCGCAAAUGUUCAGACCGAAUUAUCCGGACACAUUUUGCCAUCCGACGUUAUACUCCAUCAAUCCGCGGAUGCGUCUGGGUGUCUGAAAUCACGCAAAUCGGGCGUAAACCAAGGUGAAGCUUUGCGGGCAUCCAAACCACUACCAUGUACGCGUCUGACACCCGGUCCCACCAAAACCUCUCCCAUGCAUGUGCCCUCUCUCAAGCGAAUGGACCUUCGCUCCCCACGCUGCAUUCAUCCUGGCCCAGAGCGGACAUAACCAUUCACCGGAGCCGGCAUGAAGCGACACACCGGCCGAGAACGAUGCCCGUGCCAUGUCCGGGUCACCGCACCGAACGGGACGGGACUACUCUCUACCACAUCAAACCGUCUGCCCGUCCAUCUGGCCGCCGACAUUAAACAUGUGUGAUAGCUCAGAAACCCACUCCUGCGCCCGCAUUCAUACAUCGGGCAUCGGUUGGCCUGGCCUUGUUAUUUAUACGUGUCCACGUACAUCAUGAUCCACACUACAUCACCUCUGCCAUGACUACGAGCUCUAGAGCGAUGUGGGAGAGCCGCUCGACUGAGAAGAAGCCUGAGUUGGCCGGCCUUGCGACCUACUGACAGGACCAUCGGGCACGGCGGAUAGCGGCUGGCUUGCCGGAGGUCAACAACAUGACUAGACGAUGCAGGAGGCCACAGACGAUGAUCCGGCGCCCCCGUCCGUGUCAGACCAUGCCGGAUUCACCAUGUAGCAGGCGUAGGAGCACUUCAACGCCGUCAUGGAGGAAGAGUUGCCGGCAUCGCCGGUGUUGACAUUCCAACAAGCAUAGGAGGACCAAUGCUAUAACCUUCAGCUCGAUCGAUGAGCACCAGCUCGCGGAGGGAUAAAUAGCCGGCGAGCAGGCGAAUGAUAUUGCGUCCCGGCCAUGGUCACGGAGGAUCCGGGCUUCUUGGAUGAACAGUAGGGCGUUGUACUAGUCCAUGUUCAUCGCGAGCGAUGGCGGCUGUGAAGGAAAUAUGCCCUAGAGGCAAUAAUAAAGUUAUUAUUUAUUUCCUUAUAUCAUGAUAAAUGUUUAUUAUUCAUGCUAGAAUUGUAUUAACCGGAAACAUAAAACAUGUGUGAAUACAUAGACAAACAGAGUAUCACUAGUAUGCCUCUACUUGACUAGCUCGUUGAUCAAAGAUGGUUAUGUUUCCUAGCCAUAGACAUGAGUUGUCAUUUGAUUAACGGGAUCACAUCAUUAGGAGAAUGAUGUGAUUGACUUGAUCCAUUCCGUUAGCUUAGCACUCGAUCGUUUAGUAUGUUGCUAUUGCUUUCUUCAUGACUUAUACAUGUUCCUAUGACUAUGAGAUUAUGCAACUCCCGUUUACCGGAGGAACACUUUGUGUGCUACCAAACGUCACAACGUAACUGGGUGAUUAUAAAGGUGCUCUACACGUGUCUCCAAAGGUACUUGUUGGGUUGGCGUAUUUUGAGAUUAGGAUUUGUCACUCCGAUUGUCGGAGAGGUAUCUCUGGGCCCACUCAGUAAUACACAUCACUAUAAGCCUUGCAAGCAUUGUGACUAAUGAGUUAGUUGCGGGAUGAUGUAUUACGGAACGAGUAAAGAGACUUGCCGGUAACGAGAUUGAACUAGGUAUCGAGAUACCGACGAUCGAAUCUCGGGCAAGUAACAUACCGAUGACAAAGGGAACAACGUAUGUUGUUAUGCGGUCUGACCGAUAAAGAUCUUCGUAGAAUAUGUGGGAACCAAAAUGAGCAUCCAGGUUCCGCUAUUGGUUAUUGACCGGAGAGGUGUCUCGGUCAUGUCUACAUAGUUCUAGAACCCAUAGGGUCCGCACGCUUAACGUUACGAUGACAGUUAUAUUAUGAGUUUAUAUGUUUUGAUGUACCGAAGGUUGUUCGGAGUCCCGGAUGUGAUCACGGACAUGACGAGGAGUCUCGAAAUGGUCGAGACAUAAAGAUUGAUAUAUUGGAAGCCUAUGUUUGGACAUCGGAAGUGUUCCGGGUGAAAUCGGGAUUUUUCCGGAGUACCGGGAGGUUACCGGAACCCCCCGGUAACAUAAUGGGCCUUAGUGGGCCUAGGUGGAAGAGAGGAGAGGAGGCCAGGAUAGGGCCGCACGCCCCUCCCCCCCAGUCCGAAUAGGACAAGGAGAGGGGGGCGGCGGCCCCCCUUCCUUCCUCCCCUCCACCUUUUCCCCCUUCCUCUCCUAGUCCAACAUGGAAAGGGGGGGAGUCCUACUCCCGGUAGGAGUAGGACUCCUCCUGGCGCGCCUCUCCUCCUUGGCCGGCGGCCUCCCCCUUGCUCCUUUAUAUACGGGGGCAGGGGGCACCUCUAGACACACAAUUGAUCAAUGAUCCUUUAGCCGUGUGCGGUGCCCCCUCCAUCAUAUUACACCUCGAUAAUAUCGUAGCGGUGCUUAGGCGCAGCCCUGCGUCGGUAGAACAUCACCAUCGUCACCACGCCGUCGUGCUGACGAAACUCUCCCUCAACACUCGGCUGGAUCGGAGUUCGAGGGACGUCAUCGAGCUGAACGUGUGCUGAACUCGGAGGUGUCGUGCGUUCGGUACUUGAUCGGUCGGAUCGUGAAGACGUACGACUACAUCAACCGCAUUGUGUUAAACGCUUCCGUUGUCGGUCUACGAGGGUACGUGGACAACACUCUCCCCUCUCGUUGCUAUGCAUCACCAUGAUCUUGCGUGUGCGUAGGAAUUUUUUUGAAAUUACUACGUUCCCCAACAGUGGCAUCCGAGCCUGGUUUUAUGCGUUGAUGUUAUAUGCACAAGUAGAACACAAGUGAGUUGUGGGCGAUAUAAGUCAUACUGCUUACCAGCAUGUCAUACAUUGGUUCGGCGGUAUUGUGAGAUGAAGCGGCCCGGACCGACAUUACGCGUACGCUUACGCGAGACUGGUUUCACCGUUGCGAGCACUCGUUGUUUAAAGGUGACUGGCGGGUGUCUGUCUCUCUCACUUUAGUUGAACCGAGUGUGGCUACGCCCGGUCCUUGCGAAGGUUAAAACAGCACCAACUUGACAAACUAUCGUUGUGGUUUUGAUGCGUAGGUAAGAACGGUUCUUGCUAAGCCCGUAGCAGCCACGUAAAACUUGCAACAACAAAGUAGAGGACGUCUAACUUGUUUUUGCAGGGCAUGUUGUGAUGUGAUAUGGUCAAGACAUGAUGCUAUAUUUUAUUGUAUGAGAUGAUCAUGUUUUGUAACCGAGUUAUCGGCAACUGGCAGGAGCCAUAUGGUUGUCGCUUUAUUGUAUGCAAUGCAAUCGCCAUGUAAUUGUUUUACUGUAUCACUAAGCGGUAGCGAUAGUCGUAAAAGCAAUAGUUGGCGAGACGACAACGAUACUACGAUGGAGAUCAAGGUGUCGCGCCGGUGACGAUGGUGAUCAUGACGGUACUUCGGAGAUGGAGAUCACAAGCACAAGAUGAUGAUGGCCAUAUCAUAUCACUUAUAUUGAUUGCAUGUGAUGUUUAUCUUUUAUGCAUCUUAUCUUGCUUUGAUUGACGGUAGCAUUAUAAGAUGAUCUCUCACUAAAAUUUCAAGAUAAAAGUGUUCUCCCUGAGUAUGCACCGUUGCGAAAGUUCUUCGUGCUGAGACACCACGUGAUGAUCGGGUGUGAUAGGCUCUAUGUUCAAAUACAAUGGGUGCAAAACAGUUGCACACGCGGAAUACUCAGGUUAAACUUGACGAGCCUAGCAUAUGCAGAUAUGGCCUCGGAACACGGAGACCGAAAGGUCGAGCGUGAAUCAUAUAGUAGAUAUGAUCAACAUAGUGAUGUUCACCAUUGAAACUACUCCAUCUCACGUGAUGAUCGGACAUGGUUUAGUUGAUUUGGAUCACGUAAUCACUUAGAUGAUUAGAAAGAUGUCUAUCUAAGUGGGAGUUUUUAAGUAAUAUGAUUAAUAGAACUUAAAUUUAUCAUGAACUUAGUACCUGAUAGUAUCUUGCUUGUCUAUGUUAAUUGUAGAUAGAUGGCCCGUGUUGUUGUUCCGUUGAAUUUUAAUGCGUUCGUUGAGAAAGCAAAGUUGAAAGAUGAUGGUAGCAAUUACACGGACUGGGUCCGUAACUUGAGGAUUAUCCUCAUUGCUGCACAGAAGAAUUACGUCCUGGAAGCACCGCUGGGUGCCAGGCCUGCUGCAAGAGCAACACCAGAAGUUAUGAACGUCUGGCAGAGCAAAGCUGAUGACUACUCGAUAGUUCAAUGUGCCAUGCUUUACGGCUUAGAACCGGGUCUUCAACGACGUUUUGAACGUCAUGGAGCAUAUGAGAUGUUCCAGGAGUUGAAGUUAAUAUUUCAAGCAAAUGCCAGGAUUGAGAGAUAUGAAGUCUCCAAUAAGUUCUACAGCUGCAAGAUGGAAGAGAAUAGUUCUAUCAGUGAGCAUAUACUCAAAAUGUCUGGGUAUAAUAAUCACUUGAUUCAGCUGGGAGUUAAUCUUCCGGAUGAUAGCGUCAUUGACAGAAUUCUUCAAUCACUGCCACCAAGCUACAAGAGCUUCGUGAUGAACUAUAACAUGCAAGGGAUGAAUAAGACAAUUCCCGAGCUCUUCGCAAUGCUAAAGGCAGCGGAGGUAGAAAUCAAAAAGGAGCAUCAAGUGUUGAUGGUCAAUAAGACCACUAGUUUCAAGAAAAAGGGCAAAGGGAAGAAGAAGGGGAACUUCAAAAAGAACAGCAAGCAAGUUGCUGUUCAGGAGAAGAAACCCAAGUCUGGACCUAAGCCUGAGACUGAGUGCUUCUACUGCAAGCAGACUGGUCACUGGAAGCGGAACUGCCCCAAGUAUUUGGCGGAUAAGAAGGAUGACAAGGUGAACAAAGGUAUAUGUGAUAUACAUGUUAUUGAUGUGUACCUUACUAAUGCUCGCAGUAGCACCUGGGUAUUUGAUACUGGUUCUGUUGCUAAUAUUUGCAACUCGAAAUAGGGGCUACGGAUUAAGUGAAGAUUGGCUAAGGACGAGGUGACGAUGCGCCUGGGAAAUGGUUCCAAAGACGAUGUGAUCGCGGUCGGCACGCUACCUCUACAUCUACCUUCGGGAUUAGUAUUAGACCUAAAUAAUUGUUAUUUGGUGCCAGCGUUGAGCAUGAACAUUAUAUCUGGAUCUUGUUUGAUGCGAGACGGUUAUUCAUUUAAAUCAGAGAAUAAUGGUUGUUCUAUUUAUAUGAAUAAUAUCUUUUAUGGUCAUGCACCCUUGAAGAGUGGUAUAUUUUUGUUGAAUCUCGAUAGUAGUGAUACACAUAUUCAUAAUAUUGAAGCCAAAAGAUGCAGAGUUGAUAAUGAUAGUGCAACUUAUUUGUGGCACUGCUGUUUAGGUCAUAUCGGUGUAAAGCGCAUGAAGAAACUCCAUACUGAUGGACUUUUGGAAUCACUUGGUACUUGCAAACCGUGUCUCAUGGGCAAGAUGACUAAAACACCGUUCUCCGGUACUAUGGAGAGAGCAACUAAUUUUUUGGAAAUCAUACAUACAGAUGUAUGUGGUCCGAUGAAUAUUGAGGCUCGUGGCGGAUAUCGUUAUUUUCUCACCUUCACAGAUGAUUUGAGCAGAUAUGGGUAUAUCUACUUAAUGAAACAUAAGUCUGAAACAUUUGAAAAGUUCAAAGAAUUUCAGAGCGAAGUUGAAAAUCAUCGUAACAAGAAAAUAAAGUUUCUACGAUCAGAUCGUGGAGGAGAAUAUUUGAGUUACGAGUUUGGCCAACAUUUGAAACAAUGCGGAAUAGUUUCGCAACUCACACCACCCGGAACACCACAACGUAAUGGUGUGUCCGAACGUCGUAAUCGUACUUUACUAGAUAUGGUGCGAUCUAUGAUGUCUCUUACUGAUUUACCGCUAUCGUUUUGGGGUUAUGCUUUAGAGACGGCUGCAUUCACUCUAAAUAGGGCACCAUCAAAAUCCGUUGAAACGACACCUUAUGAACUAUGGUUUGGCAAGAAACCAAAGUUGUCGUAUCUUAAAGUUUGGGGUUGCGAUGCUUAUGUGAAGAAACUUCAACCUGAUAAGGUCAAACCUAAAUCGGAGAAAUGUGUCUUCAUAGGAUACCCAAAGGAGACUGUUGGGUACACCUUCUAUCACAGAUCCGAAGCCAAGACAUUCGUUGCUAAGAAUGGAUCCUUUCUAGAGAAGGAGUUUCUCUCGAAAGAAAUGAGUGGGAGGAAAGUAGAACUUGAUGAGUUAACUGUACCUGCUCCCUUAUUGGAAAGUAGAUCAUCACAGAAACCAGUUUCUGAGACACCUACGCCAAUUAGUGGGGAAGUUAAUAAUAAUGAUCAUGAAACUUUAGAUCAAGUUAUUACUGAACCUCGUAGGUCAACCAGAUUAAGAUCCGCACUAGAGUGGUACGGUAAUCCUGUUCUGGAGGUUAUGUUACUAGACCAUGACGAACCUACGAAGUAUGAAGAAGCGAUGGUGAGCCCAGAUUCUGCAAAAUGGCUUGAGGCCAUGAAAUCCGAGAUGGGAUCCAUGUAUGAGAAGAAAGUAUGGACUUUGGUUGACUUGCCCGAUGAUCGGCAAGCCAUUGAAAAUAAAUGGGUCUUCAAGAAGAAGACUGACGCUGACGGUAAUGUUACUGUCUAUAAAGCUCGACUUGUUGCGAAAGGUUUUCGACAAGUUCAAGGGAUUGACUACGAUGAGACCUCACCCGUAGAGAUGCUUAAGUCUGUCCGAAUCAUGUUAGCAAUUGCCGCAUUUUAUGAUUAUGAAAUUUGGCAAAUGGAUGUCAAAACUGCAUUCCUGAAUGGAUUUCUGGAAGAAGAGUUGUAUAUGAUGCAACCGGAAGGUUUUGUCGAUCCAAAGGGAGCUAACAAAGUGUGCAAGCUCCAGCGAUCCAUUUAUGGACUGGUGCAAGCCUCUUGGAGUUGGAAUAAACGCUUUGAUAGUGUGAUCAAAGCAUUUGUUUUAUACAGACUUUUUGAGAAGCCUGUAUUUACAAGAAAGUGAGUGGGAGCUCAGUAGCAUUUCUGAUAUUAUAUGAGGAUGACAUAUUGCUAAUUGGAAAUGAUAUAGAAUUUCUGGAUAGCAUAAAGGGAUACUUGAAUAAGAGUUUUUCAAUGAAAGACCUCGGUGAAGCUGCAUAUAUAUUGGGCAUCAAGAUCUAUAGAGAUAGAUCAAGACGCUUAAUUGGACUUUCACAAAGCACAUACCUUGACAAAGUUUUGAAGAAGUUCAAAAUGGAUCAAGCAAAGAAAGGGUUCUUGCCUGUACUACAAGGUGUGAGAUUGAGUAAGACUCAAUGCCCGACCACUGCAGAAGAUAGAGAGAAGAUGAAAGAUGUUCCCUAUGCUUCAGCCAUAGGCUCUAUCAUAUAUGCAAUGCUGUGUACCAGACCUGAUGUGUGCCUUGCUAUAAGUUUAGCAGGGAGGUACCAAAGUAAUCCAGGAGUGGAUCACUGGACAGCGGUCAAGAACAUCCUGAAAUACCUGAAAAGGACUAAGGAUAUGUUUCUCAUUUAUGGAGGUGACAAAGAGCUCAUCGUAAAUGGUUACGUUGAUGCAAGCUUUGACACUGAUCCGGACGAUUCUAAAUCGCAAACCGGAUACGUGUUUACAUUGAACGGUGGAGCUGUUAGUUGGUGCAGUUCUAAGCAAAGUGUCGUGGCGAGAUCUACAUGUGAAGCGGAGUACAUAGCUGCUUCGGAAGCAGCAAAUGAAGGAGUCUGGAUGAAGGAGUUCAUAUCCGAUCUAGGUGUCAUACCUAGUGCAUCGGGACCAAUGAAAAUCUUUUGUGACAAUACUGGUGCAAUUGCCUUAGCAAAGGAAUCCAGAUUUCACAAGAGAACCAAGCACAUCAAAAGACGCUUCAAUUCCAUCCGGGAUUUAGUCCAGGUGGGAGACAUAGAAAUUUGCAAGAUACAUACGGAUCUGAAUGUUGCAGACCCGUUGACUAAGCCUCUUCCACGAGCAAAACAUGAUCAGCACCAAGACUCCAUGGGUGUAAGAAUCAUUACUGUGUAAUCUAGAUUAUUGACUCUAGUGCAAGUGGGAGACUGAAGAAAAUAUGCCCUAGAGGCAAUAAUAAAGUUAUUAUUUAUUUCCUUAUAUCAUGAUAAAUGUUUAUUAUUCAUGCUAGAAUUGUAUUAACCAGAAACAUAAUACAUGUGUGAAUACAUAGACAAACAGAGUGUCACUAGUAUGCCUCUACUUGACUAGCUCGUUGAUCAAAGAUGGUUAUGUUUCCUAGCCAUAGACAUGAGUUGUCAUUUGAUUAACAGGACCACAUCAUUAGGAGAAUGAUGCGAUUGACUUGACCCAUUCCGUUAGCUUAGCACUCGAUCGUUUAGUACGUUGCUAUUGCUUUCUUCAUGACUUAUACAUGUUCCUAUGACUAUGAGAUUAUGCAACUCCCGUUUACCGGAGGAACACUUUGUGUGCUACCAAACAUCACAACGUAACUGGAUGAUUAUAAAGGUGCUCUACAGGUGUCUCCAAUGGUACUUGUUGGGUUGGCGUAUUUCGAGAUUAGGAUUUGUCACUCCGAUUGUCGGAGAGGUAUCUCUGGGCCCACUCAGUAAUACACAUCACUAUAAGCCUUGCAAGCAUUGUGACUAAUGAGUUAGUUGCGGGAUGAUGCAUUACGGAACGAGUAAAGAGACUUGCCGGUAACGAGAUUGAACUAGGUAUCGAGAUACCAACGAUCGAAUCUCGGGCAAGUAACAUACCGAUGACAAAGGGAACAACGUAUGUUGUUAUGCGGUCUGGCCGAUAAAGAUCUUCGUAGAAUAUGUGGGAACCAAUAUGAGCAUCCAGGUUCCGCUAUUGGUUAUUGAUCGGAGAGGUGUCUCGGUCAUGUCUACAUAGUUCUCGAACCCGUAGGGUCCGCAUUCUUAACGUUACGAUGACAGUUAUAUUAUGAGUUUAUAUGUUUUGAUGUACCGAAGGUUGUUCGGAAUCCCGGAUGUGAUCACGGACAUGACGAGGAGUCUCGAAAUGGUCGAGACAUAAAGAUUGAUAUAUUGGAAGCCUAUGUUUGGACAUCGGAAGUGUUCCGGGUGAAAUCGGGAUUUUUCGGGAGUACCGGGAGGUUACCGGAACCCCCCGGUAACAUAAUGGGCCUUAGGGGCCUAGGUGGAAGAGAGGAGAGGAGGCCAGGGCAGGGNNNNNNNNNNNNNNNNNNNNNNNNNNNNNNNNNNNNNNNNNNNNNNNNNNNNNNNNNNNNNNNNNNNNNNNNNNNNNNNNNNNNNNNNNNNNNNNNNNNNNNNNNNNNNNNNNNNNNNNNNNNNNNNNNNNNNNNNNNNNNNNNNNNNNNNNNNNNNNNNNCCUUCCUUCUUCCCCUCCACCUUUUCCCCCUUCCUCUCCUAGUCCAACAUGGAAAGGGGGGAGUCCUACUCCCGGUAGGAGUAGGACUCCUCCUGGCGCGCCUCUCCUCCUUGGCCGGCGGCCUCCCCCUUGCUCCUUUAUAUACGGGGGCAGGGGGCACCUCUAGACACACAAUUGAUCAACAAUCUUUUAGCCGUGUGCGGUGCCCCCUUCCAUCAUAUUAAACCUCGAUAAUAUCGUAGCGGUGCUUAGGCGAAGCCCUGCGUCGGUAGAACUUCAUCAUCGUCACCACGCUGUCGUGCUGACGAAACUCUCCCUCAACACUCGGCUGGAUCGGAGUUCGAGGGACGUCAUCGAGCUGAACGUGUGCUGAACUCGGAGGUGCCGUGCGUUCGAUACUUGAUCAGUCGGAUCGUGAAGACGUACGACUACAUCAACCGCGUUGUGUUAAAUGCUUCCGCUAUCGGUCUACGAGGGUACGUGGACAACACUCUCCCCUCUCGUUGCUAUGCAUCACCAUGAUCUUGCGUGUGCGUAGGAUUUUUUUUAAAAUUACUAUGUUCCCCAACAGGCUGUACGUCGUGCAGGCGCGGACUGACACCCCGUUCCCCGAGAUAGACACGGAGGCGAAAAAGGGGAUCGUGGACGUCGCCAGAUCCGCAUUGGUUGCAUCGCCUGUGCAGUUCGCACCCGGGCGGAACGACCACGAGGCCGGCCCGUCCCUAUGGACCGGUGUUGUGCACAUGGCGGACUCCGACAACGAAUCGUAGGGUGCGGCAACGGACGUGGGAAUGUCUCGUGUCACAUGUUCUACUCUUCCCAUCUGGUAGCUUCACUUCCCUGAGUUCGGGACCAUUGAGCUCGCUGGCAAUGGGGAGACAAGUGUUGUCCGCUCGUGUUUAGUUGAAACAUAUAAAAAUAUAUAUAAUGAAUUAGGGCCGGUUUAAAUGAAAAACAUCCCGUUUGCAUAAAACUUGUCUGGUUUGUUUACAUUUUGUUUGAAACAUAUUUAGACGUUUGAUGGAUAGGUUUGGAUGGCCGCUCCCGUAUCACUGCUCGCAAACGGCGUACGGAUACUAUGUCUGUUUUAGAGGACCGUGUUAGAGAUGCCCUAAAAUGAUUUUAUUUAUGGAAUUGGAACAUCCAUCUAGACCAUCCUUUAUUUCUUUUAGUUCCUCAAAGUAGCUUUUCAUUCCCCAUAUUUUCUUUAGGAGAGGCAUCUCUCCUUAAAAUGAUUAAGAGAUCGCGUGCGUAUCGACCAGAUCCAUUUACGCGUUAAUGCCCCUGUUGCUGUUGGCGACCCCCAGUCCACCCCGCCUCCAUGAUGCCUCUCCGCAACCCGCCUUCCUCUCCCUAUGUCCCUUCCCCGCCGUUUGCAGCAAGCUUCCGAUGAACAUUAUUUUUCACUUUUCUGUCUUCCCCAUCGUCUUCGGUCAGGGCGGCGUUUCUUCUUGGCCUCCAUAUCAUGGUGGUGCUCCUUCCCAUCAUUCCCCAACACGAGCAAGGCACCUACAGGCGUGAAGGAGCACCUAUAGAGAAAACAUCACUUACACAGAGAAACGCGUAGGUGACUGCCGCCCACCAUCAUGAUUCCGAAGAAUCCUUGCAUUCCAGACCAUGCCAUUGCGCAACUAGGAGAGGGAUGAGAAGAACCCAUUCAUACUAUGAAGCGCCCAAGCCCGUGGAGGACGAAUUUCACCUAAUUUAUCGGCUCCUUCAUCGCACGCUUAUUUCAUGCAUGAUAAUUGAGUCUCUAUCAAAUUACUAUUGUUGAUCAUCCACCCUAAGCCUAAGCUACCUCAUGGAGAACAUCUAGUGGCGAAAAGUCAGUGUUGGCCACUGAAAGGACGAAGAAAUGAAGAGAGGCUUUCAUGUGUGGUCAGGUGUGUUUGGUUGAUUAAAUUUGAAGAAGGAUGAAGAUUAGGGUUGCAAACGAGUUGAAUUCGAGCGAGUCGGCCUAGACUUAGCUUACCGUGUACUAAGAUUCAAACGAGUUGGCCUAGACUUAGCCCAGUGCAUAUUAAAAUCCGAGCGAGCUUAAAACCGAACGAAGUUCAAAAUUGAGCUAUAGAAAUGACUCAUACUUAGCUCAUGAAGAUCUGGAGUUAGUCUUGGCUCAAGAUCAACUCCUUUCUCGAUCGAGCUACGUAAAAUGCUUCUAUUCUUAGCUUAUUUUUUACUCGAUGUUCGAGCCAAAGAAACAAAAACCCCGAUUCCAAACGGCUCAAGAGUCUUAAGUUUCCUUUUUUUUUGCAGUCCUAAUUGGGAUAGGAUGAGGAAUUAAGUCAUGAGAGUUGACUAGAGAAGCUCUGAGAAUGUUUUUUCGGUGAUAAGAGUAUCUACAGUCGGGCGCCUCAAACCCGCCUCAAACACGUGGACGUACUGGUAAGUCAUGAAAAUACGACUCAACUGGGCAUCCCAAACCGAUCUCAAACGCCCGGGCUAACAGGCACCCCUCAUAUUCAGCCCAAACCUAGGACGGAUAUGAGGCGGCCCGGGCACGCUCGGGCGCAUCCGCCACGUCCGCGCGGCCCACCUCUAGCGCACCCCGACCCCACAGAAUCCCCCUUUGGAGCAAACCCUAGGCCCACUUCACUCUGCUUCGCUCCGCUUCACUUUCCCCAAUACGUCAAAUCCCGAGCGCCGACGACCAUGUCCAGUACCACCAACCACUUCGACGGCAGCUCCGGAGACGAGAACGAGUUUGCGCUCUGUAUCGCGUUGGAGUGCUCGCGGGUCGAUACGAGCAGCAGCUCCGGUUCAUGCGUGACGCCACAUAUCACCCGUCGCCCUAGCACCGACGCCGGCGCCGGCCCUUCCCGCUCCACAUGCGCAUCUGCAAGGGUAGCUCAAUCGGCCGCCUGCCCGACGGCCUCCUCCACCUCCGGCCGUUGCUCCGCGUGGGCAGCGGUGGGUUCUAGUGCCCGUUCUACCGAUGCUGCGGAUGUGGACUUCGAAAUCAGAGGCACGCGCCGCCUGCCGCGUGAGGCAGAGGGCCAGGACAAUGGGGGCCGCGUCUGGCACGGCUGCGCAGUUUGCCGACGGCUGCCGCGUGAUGCCGACGCCCGACGGGAAGGAGCAUCUCCUCCAGUGGGUGUACCAGAGUCACUUAGCACGGCAUAGACGGACGCCCGCCGGCUUCGGAGGAUCAUCGCCAAGCAGCUCCGGCUCGGCAUUGAGCAGUCUAAGUGGGAGGCGCCGGAGGCGGUGAGGAUGGCCAAGCUCAAGCACAAGCAGGACCGCAUCGUCCGGUGCUUGAAGGGCUUCAUUGUCCUCCCCGAUUCCUCCUCCUCCGCCGAUGGGCCUGGCCCUGACAUUGACCCACCUCCUACCGCGGAUGUCUACAGCAGCACCGGUGACCGGAAGGGCAAAGGGCCAGCGAGGAAGUGGUGAAGCUCCGCCCUCUCAUAUCUAGAUCAUAUUAUCUACCUCCUAGCUAGUUAGUAUUUGCCGGACAGUUUGAACUGUGUGAACUAUGAUCGAUCUUUUGGUGAUGUUUAUAUGUGAAUUUAUGCCCGUUUGCUAUCAGUUUAGUCGUUUAGAGUCCGUUUCCUGUCGAAAUUGCUCGUCUAGUGAUCUACGUCCUAUGUUGCAUGAUUUUGUAUGAAUAUAGGAUGCCAGAUAUAAAAUAUGCGAACGUUUAGGAACUGUUCGGUCACUGUCCACAUACCGUGGAUGUAUAGGGUGCCGGAUUUGAAAAUUCCGGCUAUAGAUGCUCUAAUCCCUCGCGAUGAGCCGCACGUGAAGUGAGAGCCGACACCACCAACCUGCGUAGUGGCACACGACUAUACUCACUUAAUCACGUCGACUGACAGUACCUGAACUUUGCGUGGCAACCAAACUAGCAAGCUCCCCGUACGUGCGCGGCCGCUGGCACGUCGGGCUCCCUCCUGGCUCCCGCGCGCAACAAAGGCCAUUGCAAAUCGUCGUGCGCGUGUAUACGCCAAUGGUUGGUGGCGGCGCGCGGUCCGGCGAACUGUGCGCGGGGGCACCCCACGGGUGGGAAGCGACGUACGGCGCUCUCACCGGGAUCGCGUCGACGAUCUCGUUUCCCUGUACACGGAGGCGUACCCGCAACGACCGGCCUGGGCCGGGGCCGGGGACCCGUGCGUGCGUACGUACGUAGCUUAGGUCGCCCGCUCGUGCGUUCCGUGGACGGGCGUGCGGCUGGCCUCCCGUGGAGCGCGUGCGUACACGUACCUACAGUGGCGCGUAGCCCCAGUUACUGUGGCGUACGCGUGCGUUUGAGACAACGCGGUGCGUGCGUGCGUGCCCGGUGGCCCGUACACCUGCACCUGGUUGCCCGAGUGUCGACUGUUGCUUGCCAUGCCGCCGGUGUCUGCCCCACACUAGCUAGCAAACAAGCAUUUUUUUCCGUGUGAGCCCACACUUUGUCCUGCCACAUUGAACGCUUUGCUGCCAUAGAGUGAUGUGUGUGUCGUCGCGUCGACGCUUCGUUAGGAUCAGAGCUUUAGGGCCAUUGCGCUUACAGCCUGUUUGGUAAACACUUAGCAGGGGAAUGGAAGUUUGUAUAAGGGUGUUUAUGAAAGGAUUAGUCAUGGGAAGUAGAUUUUUACUCCCAUUCCCUUGUUUGGUAUAUGAUAGGAAUUAGCGUGGGAUAAAACUCUGCUCAUGAAUUAACAGGGUACCCCUGGGAAGGAAUAGGUGCGAAUUGGCUUCCUCAACUCCCAUUCCCCUUCCUACUUAAACUCCCAUUCCCUCUAAUCAAACAGUGGACUUUUAAUCUCCUCACCCCUCAACUCCUAUUCCUCAUCUCCAAUUCCCCCGAACCAAACACGCUGUUAGGGACUGCUUCUGUUCAUACAAUCAUACAACACACAGAAUAAGCGCCAACAUCAGCUUCGUAUACAGCAACCAACCGCAGAGUUAGAGCAGUUGACUCUAGCUAGCUACGCUACUUAAUGUGCACACGUCCAAAAUAGUAGUGUAGUAUGAAGAGAAUCAAAUGCACGCGUACGUGCGGGGUGGACCAUCGAUCAUCUGGUACAGACUGCCUAAUGACAGGCGGUCACGCACCGUUCCUCGCUAGCCACAGUACUUUCUCUUGUCCCAUGCUAAUUAGCCCUCGGGUAACAGUAAUUGGCAGCGUCGUACCGUGAAGAGCCAGCAGUUUUCUUCGGAGCAUCUACAACCGCACUUAGCAAAUCCGGCUCCUCAAAUGCGCGGACGCGUCCGGACCAGGCACGCCUCAUAUUACACACUUUGCAUCCACCUUUUUCAUAUUUCAUCCCCUAGGUCCAUACGAAGCAUGCAAAAAAAAUCCUACGUACUACAUCUACAUACUACCCUAACUAUUCUUUGUCAUCGGAGAUGUCCAGGACGAUGAUGCCGGGCGCCGGCUGGACGGGCGGGUAGGAGGGCUCUAGCUCAUCCUCCUUCUCCUCGACCUCAUCCAUGUAGGCGAGCAGCUCCGCCUCCUCUGGGGCCUCUUGCGCCUCCAUCUCCUGUCGGCGACGGCGUCUUGUCUCCGCAGUCGACUCCGACCGGAGGGAAUCGAGGAUGGCCGCUGCUCCGACUGCAGAUCCCCGUCGCCAGCGUCCCCCACAUCAUCCUCCUCCGGCUCAUCCCCCUACUCCUCAAAGUCCUCCUCCUCGUCGUCGUCCUCAUCCUCCUCCUCCUCCUCCACCACCACCACCUCCUCCUCCUCCUCCGGAUCCACUGCAUCCGAAGGUAGCCCCGCGGCAAUCCAGGCUUCGUGCCUAGCCCGGAUCUGCUCAAGGAGCUCGAGCCGGCGCUCCGGUGUCAGAAAUGGCUUACUCCUCACCCGGUGGUGUGGGGCACGACUACUAGGAGGACGGGUGGAGUGGAAAGUGGCGGCGGCGGCCGACUUGAGGAGGAAAAUAUGGAUGGAUGGUAGGGUUUCGGUGCCGCCGGUCAACUUAAAUAGCCGGGCAGUGCACUACGCAGCCCGCCCUAGCUGCGCCACGCGGCGCCUCUGGUCCGACGAAGGAGACGAGCUAUGGACCGCCGGGUUUGAGGGCGUUUCCGGCUAGCUAGGCCCCCUUCGCCAGUCCGACGUAGCGGGUGUGCCCUAGCGCCCCCAUAUCCACCUCAUAUUUGGGCUGGAUAUGGGAGGUGCCGGUCAGUCCGGGCGUUUAAGAGCUGUUUGAGGGGCUUGUCUGGGUCAAAAAAUCGUAACCGGUCAGUGACCGGGCGGCCCUUCGGGCAUAUGAGGCGGGUUUAAAAGGUCCGGCAGUAGAUGCUCUAACCUUGUAGUAUUUGCUAUACAUCUGGUCUGCGUCCAACACUGACGGCACAUUCCUUUCUCGAGGAGCGGCUCCGGCAAACGCUAGUCGUCGCAGUUCGGCUCUCUGCGUUCUGCAGUAGUUCUGUGGUCAUGGAUUUAGGCGUGUGAUGAUGUCCAGCCUUGGUAUAUCCAUAUAUGCAUGCGAGCAGCUGCCUCCGGCCAUUUAUGACAUGAAACGUUUCAUAUUUCAAAUUUUUUUGAUCAUGGUGUGCGCGCGCCCCUCCAUGUGGCAUUGUCUUUUCCAAGAGAGGUAGUGGCAAGCUGGCAACCCACAACACUUUGCACUACGAGUAGCACUUGCAUAGGAAUAAAGGGUCGGAGGAGAAAGCCUACUAGUAGCGUUUAAAAUAUCUAUAGCAGUAGCGCUGGGUGCAGCGCUACUACUAACGCUCUACAGCUAAGUUGUAGCAGUAGCGCUGCCCUGACCAGCACUACUGGUAAGUAUGGUUAGCAGUAGCGUUGUCCUGACCAGCGCUACUGAUAACUAUCUGUAGCACUUGAACAAGACAAGCGCUGCUGCUAGAUGCUUUCUAGCGCUACUACUAGUAUUCCUGCUUUAUAUCCCCUCUACGUAUUUGUGAUGCAUUUAAAUAGGCUCUAUACAGUAGUUUCAUAAGAUUCAUACUAAACACACACUAUUCUCAUCAUAUCAUACACAUACAGUAGUCUCGUCAUACCAUUAUCAUCAUCAUCAUCAUUCAACACAAAUAGCAUCACAUCUCGAAAAUAGCGAUACACAAGUCAUGUCAUGUCUCGAAUAAGUGCAACUGCAUGGUCAUGGCACACAUACAAGUUUCAUCAUCUCUAUCUAAAUCAUGAUGUAGAAGAGAAGAGCGAUCAACAUGAGUAAGAGCGCGACUAUGUAGUACUUGAGGCACCGGCGGUCCCGCCCCCGUUCAUGCCGGAGCGUCCACCUCAAGUAUCUACUUUCCGCUUCGGCUCUGCUGUCGAACCCUCUGUGGCUAGCACCGGGUACUUGUCCACCUGGGCAUGAGCGUUUGGCCAGUGGUCGUAGACUCCUGGAACCCUCCCAACGAACACAGCGUAGCGGUCCUUCGCCAUCUCUGAUCUAUGUACCUGCAUCGCCAGUUGAUGAAUUGAACGAUAAUAUGCAACAUAAUGUACUUAAGAAAACAAAGAGGCAUAAUUGGAAAAAUACAAGCAACCUAUAGUAAACAUAAAUCAUGAAGAUCUUCAUACCCAAACUAAUUUACUAGAGCGGUCUAUGCAAGUUCAGGACCACGGUUUAGUUACAUCACAUAGUUUUGCCGUGCAUAAAUUCAGAGUUUUGCGAUAGAAAGACAAUAGUGCACAUUGUCAUCGACAAUCAGUCCUCCAUGCCGGCGGUCCAAUCUUCAUAGUCAGGGAGGAAGCACCCGAGCUUCUUGAAAGGCUUCAGGUCCAGACGCUGAGCGAGUAGCAUUUCUUGGACAUCAUCCCGCAUGAUUGGCCCAUGGUAGAACAUCCCUGUUGGUUCGAGGACCUGCUUCGUGAUCACUUGGGCAAGUUCACACUGUACGUGAUAAAACUCAGCUCGGAUUCGAUGAUCCGUUGUCUUUCCUAUGCUUGUGUCCCAGUUGACAAUCUCGGCAUCAUUGGUAGUAGCUGACAUGCAAAGGCGUUGAUUAUCCCUUCUGUACUCGAGCAGGUGAUGCAUGAGGUAGAAUCCAUCAGCCUUACUGGUGUGCGGUUGCUGGAUGCAGCAGAACUCAGUCUUAUGGCCGAAAGCCAGCCCGUUCUGCCUAUACUUUUUCACCUUGAUAUAUCCACCAGGCAGGCUGAAGGUUAACAAGGCACUAUCACACUCUUUAUGUGCUUGUAAUCCUUUUCCUUGAGGUUCUUCGAUAAGUCCAAGUACAUAGCAUGGGAGUAUUCCGGGUGCAGAACGAUGAGGACGCCCCCCCCCCCCCGCUGCGCAAAUUAAGUACACCUCAAAUUAGCCUCCAUGCUUGCAAAGGAAUGAUUAACACUUACGAAAGGAUAUGCGCGGAUGACUUACGUGGGAUGAUAGGGCAGGAUAAUCGCUUCCUUGUCCUUAUUAGCAAUCAUGAAGUCGUCGAUGUACUUGCUCGCAUAGUCACGGUGCUCUUUGCAAACUGCCAAGAAGCUCUCUUGCAUAUAGUACGGGUCCGCGACGCAGAUAUAUUUUAUGUUCUCGAUCCUGAUCAAGUAGUUGAGAUACAGCGCAUACAUGCAGAUGAAUUGGAAAUCCAGCUUGGUCAGGUGGAACACGUCGUAGAUGUAGUCAAAUCGCAGGAUGAACUUAUCCGCGGGCCAUCUCUCGAUGUACAACUUCCCACCCAGCACCUGAGCCGCGUAAAGCGGGUAUCCUGGUUUUUCCGAGAUGAGAAGGCUUUUCUCUCUGGCCAGCACAUCUUCAUGGAGUCUCCUUAGAUCAUUGUUCAGUAUGUGCUCUAGCGCUUUCGCAGGUAGGAUCGGUUCACCGGCGACAUGAAAACGCUUCGCACCUUCGACAGGUAUUUGUCUACCACCCAGUGCUUCAGAGGCGGCUGGCUGCUUGAAGCAGCUCUGGCGCCUUUAGGGCCUUUCUUGUCCGGUCUCCUUCUUUGCUUCUUGGCGGGUGGCGGUAGUGAGCCCACCAUACCUUCCCUAACCACCACCCCAGUGUCGUCGGGAUAAUCAGUGGAUGGCCUCGGGUUGUUGCUGGGUAGAGGUGGCAUCUGGAGGCGUCUCCUGCGAGGAUCGCUUGAAGAUAGACUUUUUGCAUUCCGCCUUAGCACGUUCCGGCUCCGGCAAAUCAGGCAGCAUCAAGUCAUCAUCUCCAUGCUCAUAGCCUGAGUCUUCGUCAUCCUGAGCCAUCAAUCCUCCAUCAUCAUAGGCGGUAUUGAAAUACUUGUCUAGGUGAUCAUCAUCCUCCUCCAUGUCAUCAUCAACAUUUGCUUCUUCAACAACGGGGGCGACAUCAUCUGGCACUAAUGGAGGCUCUCCCUCGCGUCGUCCGCUAUCACCCGCCACGACAGGUGCAUGUAGUUUGGUACGUGGGGUGGUGUUCAUACCUUCUUGAGAAGGUAGAGUUGGUGUGAUACUGGGCACCUCGAGACGAAGAAGUGACUUCGGCCAACGCAAGAACUAGCUCUUGCAUGCGCCAAUCCUCUUAGGUUUAUCCUCGUCAUCAACUGGUACCGGAGGGGCAAAUCCUCGAAGCCCGCUAAGACACUAGCCACGUUAACCGUGAAGAUGCCAUCGGGCAUCUCUCAGUUGUGGAACAUGCGGUCCUUCGGCUUCACGAUCGUUGCCUUUCCCACAACCACCUUCUGGCCCUUGAUAUCGUAGAGUACUGUGCACGGGGUAUCGUCGGCCUAUGAAGAAGACAUGUCUGCGACGUCAAACAUCCGAAAGGCAACUGAAACAGAAGACUAUAGACAUGCUGGUGAAAAGGGCAUGAAGCGUAAUUACCGUGAGGCGUCGCGAGCUCUGCUAGCCACGAAUGCCCGCCGAGCAUGCCAGAGACGGAGGUCGGGCUGCUAUGAACAGGAGCGGGACAUUUUGCGGUUGCUUGAGCAGGUGUUGGUGUUGGAAAUAUGCCCUAGAGGCAAUAAUAAAUGGUUAUUAUUAUAUUUCUUUGUUCAUGGUAAUUGUCUAUUGUUCAUGCUAUAAUUGUAUUGUCCGGAAAUCGUAAUACAUGUGUGAAUACAUAGACCACAACGUGUCCCUAAUAAGCCUCUAGUUGACUAGCUCGUUGAUCAACAGAUAGUCAUGGUUUCCUGACUAUGGACAUUGGAUGUCAUUGAUAACGGGAUCACAUCAUUAGGAGAAUGAUGUGAUGGACAAGACCCAAUCCUAAGCAUAGCAUAAAAGAUCGUGUAGUUUCGUUUGCUAGAGCUUUUCCAAUGUCAAGUAUCUUUUCCUUAGACCAUGAGAUCGUACAACUCCCGGAUACCGUAGGAGUGCUUUGGGUGUGCCAAACGUCACAACGUAACUGGGUGACUAUAAAGGUGCACUACGGGUAUCUCCGAAAGUGUCUGUUGGGUUGGCACGGAUCGAGACUGGGAUUUGUCACUUCGUGUGACGGAGAGGUAUCUCUGGGCCCACUCGGUAAUGCAUCAUCAUAAUGAGCUCAAUGUGACUAAGGCGUUAGUCACGGGAUCAUGCAUUGCGGUACGAGUAAAGAGACUUGCCGGUAACGAGAUUGAACAAGGUAUUGGGAUACCGAAAAUCGAAUCUCGGGCAAGUAACAUACCGAUUGACAAAGGGAAUUGCAUACGGGAUUGAUUGAAUCCUCGACACCGUGGUUCAUCCGAUGAGAUCAUCGUGGAACAUGUGGGAGCCAACAUGGGUAUCCAGAUCCCGCUGUUGGUUAUUGACCGGAGAGGCGUCUCGGUCAUGUCUGCAUGUCUCCCGAACCCGUAGGGUCUACACACUUAAGGUUCGGUGACGCUAGGGUUGUAGAGAUAUGUGUAUGCGGAAACCCGAAAGUUGUUCGGAGUCCCGGAUGACAUCCCAGACGUCACGAGAGGUUCCGGAAUGCUCCGGAGGUGAAGAAUUAUAUAUAGGAAGUCAAGUUUCGGCCACCGGGAAUGUUUCGGGGGUUACCGGUAUUGUACCGGGACCACCGGAAGGGUCCCGGGGGUCCACCGGGUGGGGCCACCUAUCCCGGAGGGCCCUGUGGGCUGAAAGUGGAAGGGAACCAGACCUUAGUGGGCUGGGGCGCCCCCCUUGGGCCUCCCCCCAUGCGCCUAGGGUUGGGAACCCUAGGGUGGAGGGACUUCCCACUUGCCUUGGGGGGCAAGGCACCCCCUUCCCCCCUUUGGCCGCCGGCCCCCACCCUAGAUGGGAUCAGGCCGGCGCCCCCCCUCCCAGGGGGCCUAUAUAAAGGGGGGGAGGGAGGGCAGCAACCUACAGCCUUGGGCGCCUCCCUCCUCCCCUGCAACACCUCUCUCUCUCGCAGAAGCUCGGCGAAGCCCUGCCGGAGACCCGCUACAUCCACCACCACGCCGUCGUGCUGCUGGAUCUCCAUCAACCUCUCCUUCCCCCUUGCUGGAUAAAGAAGGAGGAGACGUCGCUGCACCGUACGUGUGUUGAACGCGGAGGUGCCGUCCGUUCGGCACUCGGUCAUCGGUGAUUUGGAUCACGGCGAGUAUUGGAACGCUUCCGCCCGCGAUCUACAAGGGUAUGUAGAUGCACUCCCUUCCCCUCGUUGCUAGUACACUCCAUAGAUGCAUCUUGGUGAGCAUAGGAAAAUUUUAAAUUAUGCUACGAUUACCAACAGUGGCAUCAUGAGCCAGGCGUAUGCGUAAUUACUAUGCACGAGUAGAACACAAAGCAGUUGUGGGCAUUGAGUUUGCCAAUUCUUCUUGCCGCUACUAGUCUUGUCUUGUUUCGGCGGCAUUGUAGGAUGAAGCGGCCCGGACCGACCUUACACGUACGCUUACGUGAGACAGGUUCCACCGACUGACAUGCACUAGUUGCAUAAGGUGGCUAGCGGGUGUCUGUCUCUCCUACUUUAGUCGGAACGGAUUCGAUGAAAAGGGUUCUUAUGAAGGGUAAAUAGAAAUUGGCAAAUCACGUUGUGGUCAUACGUAGGUAAGAAACGUUCUUGAUAGAAACCUACAAACCACGUAAAAACUUGCAACAACAAUUAGAGGACGUCUAACUUGUUUUUGCAGCAAGUGCUAUGUGAUGUGAUAUGGCCAGAAGAUGUGAUGAAUGAUAUAUGUGAUGUAUGAGAUUGAUCAUAUUCUUGUAAUAGGAAUCACGACUUGCAUGUCGAUGAGUAUGACAACCGGCAGGAGCCAUAGGAGUUGUCUUUAUUAUUUUGCAUGACCUGCGUGUCAUUGAAUAACGCCAUGUAAAUUACUUUACUUUGUUGCUAAACGCGUUAGCCAUAGAAGUAGAAGUAAUCGUUGGCGUGACGACUUCAUGAAGACACAAUGAUGGAGAUCAUGGUGUCAUGCCGGUGACGAAGAUGAUCAUGGUGCCCCGAAGAUGGAGAUCAAAGGAGCAUGAUGAUAUUGGCCAUAUCAUGUCACUAUUUGAUUGCAUGUGAUGUUUAUCAUGUUUUUGCAUCUUAUUUGCUUAGAACGACGGUAGUAAGUAAGAUGAUCCCUUAUAAUAAUUUCAAGAAAGUGUUCCCCCUAACUGUGCACCGUUGCGAAGGUUCGUUGUUUCGAAGCACCACGUGAUGAUCGGGUGUGAUAGAUUCUAACGUUCGAAUACAACGGGUGUUGACGAGCCUAGCAUGUACAGACAUGGCCUCGGAACACACGCAAUACACUUAGGUUGACUUGACGAGCCUAGCAUGUACAGACAUGGCCUCGGAACACGGAGGACCGAAAGGUCGAGCAUGAGUCGUAUAGAAGAUACGAUCAACAUGGAGAUGUUCACCGAUCUUGACUAGUCCCUCUCACGUGAUGAUCGGACACGGCCUAGUUAAACUCGGAUCAUGUUUCACUUAGAUGACAAGAGGGAUGUCUAUCUGAGUGGGAGUUCAUUAAAUAAUUUGAUUAGAUGAACUCAAUUAUCAUGAACUUAGUCUGAAAUCUUUACACUAUGUAUUGUAGAUCAAAUGGCCAACGUUGUCCUCAAUUUCAACGCGUUCCUAGAGAAAACCAAGCUGAAAGAUGAUGGCAGCAACUAUACGGACUGGGUCCGGAACCUGAGGCUCAUCCUCAUAGUAGCCAAGAAAGAUUAUGUCUUAGAAGCACCGCUAGGUGAUGCACCAAUCCCUGAGAACCAAGACGUUAUGAACGCUUGGCAGCAGCGUGCUGAUGAUUACUCCCUCGUUCAGUGCGGCAUGCUUUACAGCUUAGAACCGGGUCUCCAAAAGCGUUUUGAGAAACAUGGAGCAUACGAGAUGUUCGAGGAGCUGAAAUUGGUUUUCCAAGCUCAUGCCUGGGUCGAGAGAUAUGAUGUCUCCGACAAGUUCUUCAGCUGUAAAAUGGAGGAGAACAGUUCUGUUAGUGAGCACAUACUCAGAAUGUCUGGGUUGCACAACCGCUUGGCUCAGCUGGGAGUUAAUCUCCCAGAUGACGCGGUCAUUGACAGAAUCCUUCAGUCGCUUCCACCAAGCUUCAAGAGCUUUGUGAUGAACUACAAUAUGCAGGGGAUGGAAAAAACCAUUCCUGAGGUAUAUUCGAUGCUGAAAUCAGUGGAGGUGGAGAUCAGAAAAGAACAUCAAGUGUUGAUGGUGAAUAAAACCACUAAGUUCAAGAAGGGCAAGGGUAAGAAGAACUUCAAGAAGGACGGCAAGGGAGUUGCCGCGCCCGGUAAACCAGUUACUGGGAAGAAGUCAAAGAAUGGACCCAAGCCCGAGACUGAGUGCUUUUAUUGCAAGGGAAGUGGUCACUGGAAGCGGAACUGCCCCAAAUACUUAGCGGACAAGAAGAAGGACGGCAACACCAAAGGUAUAUGUGAUAUACAUGUAAUUGAUGUGUACCUUACCAGUACUCGUAGUAGCUCCUGGGUAUUUGAUACCGGUGCAGUUGCUCAUAUUUGUAACCCAAAACACGAACUACGGAAUAAACGGAGACUGGCGAAGGACGAGGUGACGAUGCGCGUCGGGAAUGGUUCCAAGGUCGAUGUGAUCGCCGUCGGCACGCUACCUCUGCAUCUACCCACGGGAUUAGUUUUAAACCUCAAUAAUUGUUAUUUAGUGCCAGCUUUGAGCAUGAACAUUGUAUCUGGAUCUCGUUUAAUUCGAGAUGGCUACUCAUUUAAAUCCGAGAAUAAUGGUUGUUCUAUUUAUUUGAGAGAUAUGUUUUAUGGUCAUGCCCCGCUGGUCAAUGGUUUAUUUUUGAUGAAUCUCGAACGUGAUGUUACACAUGUUCAUAGUGUGAAUACCAAAAGAUGUAAAGUUGAUAACGAUAGUCCCACAUACUUGUGGCACUGCCGCCUUGGUCACAUUGGUGUCAAGCGCAUGAAGAAGCUCCAUGCAGAUGGACUUUUGGAGUCUCUUGAUUACGAAUCAUUUGACACGUGCGAACCAUGCCUCAUGGGUAAGAUGACCAAGACUCCGUUCUCCGGAACAAUGGAGCGAGCAACCGACUUAUUGGAAAUCAUGCAUACCGAUGUGUGCGGUCCAAUGAGUGUUGAGGCUCGCGGAGGAUAUCGUUAUGUUCUCACUCUCACUGAUGACUUAAGUAGAUAUGGGUAUGUCUACCUAAUGAAACACAAGUCUGAAACCUUUGAAAAGUUCAAGGAAUUUCAGAGUGAGGUUGAGAAUCAACGUGACAGGAGAAUAAAAUUCUUACGAUCAGAUCGUGGUGGAGAAUAUUUAAGUCACGAGUUUGGUGCACACUUAAGGAAAUGUGGAAUAGUUUCACAACUCACGCCGCCUGGAACACCUCAGAGAAAUGGUGUGUCCGAACGUCGUAAUCGCACUCUAUUGGAUAUGGUGCGAUCUAUGAUGUCUCUUACCGAUUUACCGCUCUCAUUUUGGGGUUAUGCUUUAGAGACUGCCGCAUUCACUUAAAUAGGGCUCCGUCGAAAUCCGUUGAGACGACACCGUAUGAAUUAUGGUUUGGGAAGAAACCUAAGCUGUCGUUUCUAAAAGUUUGGGGAUGCGAUGCUUAUGUCAAGAAACUUCAACCUGAAAAGCUCGAACCCAAGUCGGAGAAAUGCGUCUUCAUAGGAUACCCUAAGGAAACUAUUGGGUAUACCUUCUACCUCAGAUCCGAAGGCAAGAUCUUCGUUGCCAAGAAGAGGUCCUUUCUAGAGAAGGAGUUUCUCUCGAAAGAAUUGAGUGGGAGGAAAGUGGAACUUGAUGAGGUGAUAGUCACCCCUUCCGAACCGGAAAGUAGCGCAGCGCGGGAAAAUGUUCCUGUGGUGCCUGCACCGACGGGGGAGGAAGUUAAUGAUGAUGAUCAUGAAGCUUCGGAUCAAGUCACUGAACUUCGUAGGUCCACAAGGACACGUUCCGCACCAGAGUGGUACGGCAACCCUGUCCUGGAAAUCAUGUUGUUAGACAACGGUGAGCCUUCGAACUAUGAAGAAGCGAUGGCGGGCCCGGAUUUCCGACAAAUGGCUAGAAGCCAUGAAAUCCGAGAUAGAAUCCAUGUAUGAAAACAAAGUAUGGACUUUGACUGACUUGCCCGAUGAGCGGCGAGCCAUAGAAAACAAAUGGAUCUUUAAGAAGAAGACGGACGCAGAUGGUAAUGUGACCAUCUACAAAGCUCGACUUGUCGCUAAGGGUUAUCGACAAGUUCAAGGGGUUGACUACGAUGAGACUUUCUCACCCGUAGCGAAGUUGAAGUCCGUCCGAAUCAUGUUAGCAAUUGCCGCAUACUAUGAUUAUGAGAUAUGGCAGAUGGACGUCAAAACGGCAUUCCUUAAUGGCUUCCUUAAGGAAGAGUUGUAUAUGAUGCAGCCGGAAGGUUUUGUCGAUCCUAAGCAUGCUAACAAAGUAUGCAAGCUCCAGCGCUCAAUCUAUGGGCUGGUGCAAGCAUCUCGGAGUUGGAACAUUCGCUUUGAUGAGAUGAUCAAAGCGUUUGGGUUUACACAGACUUAUGGAGAAGCCUGUGUUUACAAGAAAGUGAGUGGGAGCUCUGUAGCAUUUCUCAUAUUAUAUGUGGAUGACAAACUAUUGAUGGGAAAUGAUAUAGAAUUCUUGGAAAGUAUAAAGGCCUAUUUGAAUAAGUGUUUUUCAAUGAAGGACCUUGGAGAAGCUGCUUAUAUAUUAGGCAUCAAGAUCUAUAGAGAUAGAUCAAGACGCCUCAUUGGUCUUUCACAAAGUACAUACCUUGACAAGAUAUUGAAGAAGUUCAGUAUGGAUCAGUCCAAGAAGGGGUUCUUGCCUGUAUUGCAAGGUGUGCAAUUGAGCACGGCUCAAUGCCCGACCACGGCAGAAGAUAUAGAAAAGAUGAGUGUCAUCCCCUAUGCCUCGGCCAUAGGGUCUAUUAUGUAUGCCAUGCUGUGUACCAGACCUGAUGUAAACCUUGCCGUGAGUUUGGUAGGAAGGUACCAAAGUAAUCCCGGCAUGGAACACUGGACAGCAGUCAAGAAUAUCCUGAAGUACCUGAAGAGGACUAAGGAUAUGUUUCUCGUUUAUGGAGGUGACGAAGAGCUCGUCGUAAAGGGUUACGUCGACGCUAGCUUCGACACAGAUCUGGAUGACUCGAAGUCACAAACCGGAUACGUGUAUAUUUUGAAUGGAGGAGCAGUAAGCUGGUGCAGUUGCAAGCAAAGCGUCGUGGCGGGAUCUACAUGUGAAGCGGAGUACAUGGCAGCCUCGGAGGCAGCACAGGAAGCAGUCUGGAUGAAGGAGUUCAUUACCGACCUAGGGGUGAUUCCCAAUGCGUCGGGCCCGAUGACUCUCUUCUGUGACAACACUGGAGCUAUUGCCCUUGCGAAGGAGCCCAGGUUUCACAGGAAGACCAGGCAUAUCAAGCGUCGCUUCAACUCCAUUCGUGAAAGUGUUCAAAAUGGAGACAUAGAUAUUUGUAAAGUACAUACGGACCUGAAUGUAGCAGAUCCGUUGACUAAACCUCUCCCUAGAGCAAAACAUGAUCAACACCAGGACGCAAUGGGUGUUCGAUUCAUUACAAUGUAACUAGAUUAUUGACUCUAGUGCAAGUGGGAGACUGUUGGACAUAUGCCCUAGAGGCAAUAAUAAAUGGUUAUUAUUAUAUUUCUUUGUUCAUGGUAAUUGUCUAUUGUUCAUGCUAUAAUUGUAUUGUCCGAAAUCGUAAUACAUGUGUGAAUACAUAGACCACAACGUGUCCCUAGUAAGCCUCUAGUUGACUAGCUCGUUGAUCAAUAGAUAGUCAUGGUUUCCUGACUAUGGACAUUGGAUGUCAUUGAUAACGGGAUCACAUCAUUAGGAGAAUGAUGUGAUGGACAAAGACCCAAUCCUAAGCAUAGCAUAAAAGAUCGUGUAGUUUCGUUUGCUAGAGCUUUUCCAAUGUCAAGUAUCUUUUCCUUAGACCAUGAGAUCGUACAACUCCCGGAUACCAUAGGAGUGCUUUGGGUGUGCCAAACGUCACAACGUAACUGGGUGACUAUAAAGGUGCACCACGGGUAUCUCCGAAAGUGUCUGUUGGGUUGGCACGGAUCGAGACUGGGAUUUGCCACUCCGUGUGACGGAGAGGUAUCUCUGGGCCCACUCGGUAAUGCAUCAUCAUAAUGAGCUCAAUGUGACUAAGGCGUUAGUCACGGGAUCAUGCAUUGCGGUACGAGUAAAGAGACUUGCCGGUAACGAGAUUGAACAAGGUAUUGGGAUACCGACGAUCGAAUCUCGGGCAAGUAACAUACCGAUUGACAAAGGGAAUUGCAUACGGGAUUGAUUGAAUCCUCGACACCGUGGUUCAUCCGAUGAGAUCAUCGUGGAACAUGUGGGAGCUAACAUGGGUAUCCAGAUCCCGCUGUUGGUUAUUGACCGGAGAGGCGUCUCGGUCAUGUCUGCAUGUCUCCCGAACCCGUAGGGUCUACACACUUAAGGUUCGGUGACGCUAGGGUUGUAGAGAUAUGUGUAUGCGGAAACCCGAAAUUUGUUCGGAGUCCCGGAUGAGAUCCCGGACGUCACGAGAGGUUCCGGAAUGGUCCGGAGGUGAAGAAUUAUAUAUAGGAAGUCAAGUUUCGGCCACCGGGAAAGUUUCGGGGGUUACCGGUAUUGUACUGGGACCACCGGAAGGGUCCCGGGGGUCCACCGGGUGGGGGGACUUCCCACUUGCCUUGGGGGGCAAGGCACCCCCUUCCCCCCUUUGGCCGCCGCCCCCCACCCUAGAUGGGAUCUGGCCGGCGCCCCCCCUCCCAGGGGGGCCUAUAUAAAGGGGGGGAGGGAGGGCAGCAACCUACAGCCUUGGGCGCCUCCCUCCUCCCCUGCAACACCUCUCUCUCUCUCGCAGAAGCUCGGCGAAGCCCUGCCGGAGACCCGCUACAUCCACCACCACGUCGUCGUGCUGCUGGAUCUCCAUCAACCUAUCCUUCCCCCUUGCUGGAUCAAGAAGGAGGAGACGUCGCUGCACCGUACGUGUGUUGAACGCGGAGGUGCCGUCCGUUCAGCACUCGGUCAUCGGUGAUUUGGAUCACGGCGAGUACGACUCCGUCAUCCACGUUCAUUGGAACGCUUCCGCUCGCGAUCUACAAGGGUAUGUAGAUGCACUCCCUUCCCCUCGUUGCUAGUACACUCCGUAGAUGCAUCUUGGUGAGCGUAGGAAAAUUUUAAAUUAUGCUACGAUUCCCAACAGUUGGUGCUGUGAUGUUCACUGAAUUGCUCCCGACAAAGAUGGGAAGGGGAAGGCCUCCGACCCUUUUUAUUUGGAUUGCUCUUCAACCAAUCAAAAAUUGCUGGAAUCAAGCUGGCCACCGCGUCACUGACCGCUGCAUUGACUACCCUAAGCAACUCUUCUUUGGCCUCAGCUUUGGUCUUAUUGACCACAAUCGCGACCUUCUCGUUGAUGGUAUGCUGAGUGACGACCAACCGUCUCUUCCUUCUUUCCUCUGGCCCCUCGUGGUACCAUGUCUUCCACGAGGCGCCAUCUCCGACGCCAUGCACACGUCCAUAGGACGUCAGUUUGUGCUCCGGGACCUUUUUCAAUAUGUUCAGGGCCCGGCUGAAUGGGGUGUCUCACUUGGGCCUCGCCGACGACUGUGAGGACUCGUUGCUUUAGGCUGCCUUUUGGUGCUGCUCUUUCUGCAAAAGGAACGUGGAUGGUUUACUAAUGUGAAAAAGCUUGUAGUCGAAUUGAUUGGGAGCUAAUAUGAUAAUGUGGUAAUAUAAAAAUUACCAGAAGUCUCAUGAACUCCCUCGUGUUUGGGUCCGUGUAAGAGCAUCUCCACUAGCCUCCCCAGGACGCCCCCUAGGACAUCUUUUUAGGCUCGGUUUUAGGCUCGGACGGCACUUUUCGCCGAAAAACGGCCCAGCCACGCCCCCAACGCCCCCAGGACGUCAAAAUAGCGUCGGUAAACCCAGGCGAAACCCGGCGCGCUGGAUGUCUCUGGGGGGCGCCGGCGGAAGUUUCAGCGAAUCAUGUCUCACCACAUGUCCUUUUUCUUGGCCCACUUAAUCAUUCUCCUCACAAACUUUUGCUUGGGGUGGGGUGUGACUGGGAACAUGCCCUCUUUAUUUCGCCGGAUUUUGCCGGAUGACCCCCAAGACACCAACUUUUUUGGUUCGGUGAUGUUCUUGGGGGUGCCAACGGCUGGAGAUGCUCUAAAAGAUCUUUUUGACGCGGUCCCACUUGUACCGGGCCCUGAUCCAGUCACGCUCCAGCGGGUCGGUGAACUCAGCCAAGGGGUCUAGGUUUCCGUGACUUUCACGUUCGGCGUCCUCCUUGGACCAUACGUGCCUCUUUCCCUCGUACCAUGGCUUCCGAGGCGGCGGGGGGCGUGUUCCUGGCCUGGAGCGCCUUCAUUUUCUCCGACCUUGCGUUGACUUCUUCUUUAGCGCAAGUCUCCUUAAAUUUUUCAAAGUCCUCUUCCUUUAUUGAUGGAUUAUCAGCAUGAAUCUUGGACCACAGUUCAUUCUUCGCAAUCGCUUUUUUCACCCGAACUUUCCAGGAGGACAAGUCGUUGGUGAACGUCACCAUCGCCUUGUCGUUUAUCUUUGUCAUGUUGAUGUCGUCCCACGGCUCUUUAAAUUUGCUUUCAUCCCGGUGGGGGAACAUGAACCUAUUGUGUAACUUCUUUAGGAGCAUUUUCUUCAUAUGUGGUAUCUUCUUCAACUUCUCGUCGUUGAUGUUGGCGGUUUCCCCGUGGGUGCAUCCUACUUGAUUGCCCCAGCACGAGCGCGCUUCCUCCGGCACUGUUGGCUCUAACUUCUUGGGGUGCAUCUCCGUGACCACAAUUGGUCCGAUGCCGAGCUCGUUUGGUCUUCAUGACCUCUUCUGCUUCGGUGCUUUACCAGCCACGACAGCAUCGUUGCCGGUCUCGGGGGUGGUGUCGGUGCCGGUGCCAGUGCCGGUGUCGGGGUUGGUGCCACUGCCGCCACCAUGCAACCCCAUCUGGUGUUCGUCCAGGUAAUCGAAAUAGUGAUUUGCUGCCUCGAUGGGGUCUUCUUCGAGGCGAGCAGAACCCCCGGCUUCGGCGUGGGUAGACAUGUCUCCUAUUCAACAAUUGUAAAUAAAAGAUAUAAUGAAGAGAAAAAAGGGGCCUCUAUUUGGUUGGAAUGUUGAUUCAUUCCCCAUCCGGCAAAUCCCGGGCACUCCAUAUGUCCUAGUUUCUAGCAUAAGUCAUGCCGAAAAUCAUGGAAAUUUUCGGCAUGACCUUUGCUAAAAAGUGGACAUAUGGAGCGCCUGAAAUUUGCCGGAACGGAAAUGAAUCAACGUUUCGGCAAAACAUAGGCCACUCGGAUAUUUUAUCGACAUUCAACCAACAUUGCAAAAUCAUAUAACAUCAACGACAAAUAUCAGUUGCAAAAUAUAUCAUUCAAUCAAGUACAUGGAGUGAAAUGACCUCACUAAACAUUGCAAAUUAGUGGCCUUUUCAAAAACGAAAAACCUUUGCAAAAUGACCUCAAUAAACAUUUGCUACUGUUUUUUUAUUUAUAGCUAUUAUAUAUACCUACAAAAUUCCUAAAUGCUCUCUCUCUGCUACUGACCUAACCAACUAAAUUGAUAUUAUAUACCCUAAACUAAAUUGCCCUAAACAAACUUGCUAAAUGUCCUAAACUAAAUUGCCCUAAACUAAUUUGCUACUGUUUUUUUUGCUAAAUUAUCUCUCUCUCCCUCUCUCUCUCUCUCUCUAUUUGCUACUGUUUGCUAAUUUGCUACUAAACUAAUUUACUAAUUUGCUACUAGUUUGCCCUAAACUAAUUUACUAAUUUGCUACUGUUUUUUAUUUAUAGGUAUUUUAUAUACCCUAAUUAGCUACUGCCCUAAACAAAUUUGCCCUAGCUAUAUUUGCUAAUUUGCUAAAAAAAAUUGGCCCUAGCUAUAUUUGCUACUGCCCUAAUUAGCUACUGUUUUUUAUAAAAAAAUUCUACUAUUUUUAUAGCUAAUUUAUAUACCUACAAAAACUAAAUUGCCCUAGGGUUCAUAUACUUCAUCUAAAUUGCCCUAGGGCCAUGGUUAAAAAAAUUUCCUAGGGUUCAUCCAGAGAGAGAGAGAGAGAGAGAGGAGGGCAGGGGAGAGGAGAGGGAGAGGCUUACUGAGAGGCGGCGAGGUCAAGGGCGGGGAAGAUGGCGGCGACGGCAAGGUCGAGGGCAGGGGAGAGGGCAGCGGUGGCGACGAGGUCGAGGGCAGGGGAGAGGGGGCCCGUGCAGCGACGGUGAGGUCGAGGGAGGGCUCCGGCGACGAGGUCGAUGGCGGUCCACGACGGGCAGGGGCGACGGCGGGUAGGGUCGACGGCGGCGAGGAAGGGCAGGGCCACGACAGCGAUAGAGAGUGGGAGGAGAGAGGUGGGAGGGACAGUGGGGGAAAUGACUUGGCAAAAAUUUGAGCGCCCGCACGGGGUUUAACUAAAACUAGCAGUAGUGCUGGACCAGGACCCAGCGCUAUAGCUAACUUAGCUAUAACGCUGGGUCCUAGUCGAGCGCUACUGCUAACUGUUCCAAUUUUUGUUUUUUUAAUUCUGAAAUACACAUAGCAGUAGCGUUUGUUCACGGACCAGCGCUAUAGCUAAGUUAUCUAUAGCGCCUGGUCGUAAACCAACGCUACUGCUAUUAUUCUUUUCUUUUUAUUAUUUUCCUUUUCUAGUUUUUAGUUUUCUUUUCUUUCAUUAUUUUCCUUUCCUUUUCUGUUUACUUUUCUUUUUCUUUUGCAUUGCUUUCUCCCUUUUGUUUUUGUUUUUUUUUGUUUUCCUCGCACGCAGUCGACGAGAACGUCUCCCUCCCACACUGCGCGAAUAUCACCGGAACCAUGCAUGUGGUGGUAAUUGAAAUGGAUACGAUGUAUACAUCAUUUGACCGAUAACGGUUACUUAAGUACGUACACAAAAUAGAUACAUAUAUAUAAAUGAUGGUUUCUCUGCUGCGUCGACGACGUUUCACAUUGAGCUUCUUCCCUUUCUUGUUCAUUGCCGAAUAAUUGAGCCCCUCCUUGUGACUUUUCCGGAACCAUGGAGUACGAUCUUUCUUAGGUAAUGUAGUAUUGAUUCUUAUUUUCACAUAUGCCUCAUCGUCAUCGUCAUCUUCCCUCAUCGGGUUGCCGUAAUGGUCGUAGUCUUCCUCGUUGGCGACUCCAUCCAUUUCGACGAUGCUCCUUCUGCCUCUCCUCACAACAACACGACUGGGAUUGGCUAGGUUAGUUAUGAAGAAGCAUUGUGUCAUGUGCUUAGCAUGUACCAAUGGCUCAUUUUUGGCGAUGACGUUAACAUUCACGGGAGUGCUCUUCGCGUCGGGUAUAGACAUGGUAGUGAAAUACUUGUUUUCUCUUGCGACGUCCUUAGCCCAUCAGACACGGAACAUCGUCGCAUUGUGCAUUCUAGUAUAGUCAAGCUUCCAGAUCUCUUCGACCCUUUCGUAGAAUCUUUUAGUUGUGCCGUUGGCGUCGGUCACGCAUUCAAUUGUCACCCCAGAGUUUUGGUAAUCAUUGUCCAUGUCUUUGGCCUCCGUGUAGAACAUGUACCCGUUGAUAUCCUAUGACUGAUAGGUCGCGAGUUUGGGCACGGGGCCAUGUGCUAAGACGUGUAUGAGCAAUCCGUCCAAACUUCCCUCUUCCGGGGGAUUUUCAAGAACUUGCUCUUUGAACCAAUGCAAGAAAGUGGCGUUGUGCUCUACAGUAACUUCACCGUCCGUCUUGAGCAUCCCCUUAUCACGGUACUUAUUUGCGAUGCUUUCUUUGUGCCGUGCCACAUAAUCAUCUACCACAUGUAGGUGUUGUAGCACUACUAAGGUAGCCCUGUCAAAGUUGUUCCGUCGAUCCGUGUAGUCCACAUGCAAUUCCCUCCGGCCGUUGUUGUGACCUUCUCCUUCGAGCCUCCCAUCGUGCUUCUUGAUGGGCAACCCAACAAUAGGGUCUCCGACGCCUAUAUAAUUCUCCCAAAAGGAGAUGCAUCAUGCAUCAGAUACCCCUGGACGAUGCUCCCAUCGGGACGGGACAUGUUACGAAUGAAUCCUUUGAUGAUCCCAUUCACCCUCUCGAACUGCACCAUGCUGUGAAGGAAUGUCGGCCUGAGGUCGAUGAUGUCAUCCACGAUGUGGACACACAGAUGCACGAUGAUGUCAAAGCACGCGGGCGUGAAGUACAUCUCGAGCUCACAUAGUAUGACAACGAUCUCUUCCUAUAGCCUUCGGAGCUGCUUCACACUUAUGGACUUUUGUGAGAUAACGUCGAAAAAGUUGCAGAGACCAGUAAGCGUGUCACGGACAUGCUUCUCCAUUAUCCCUCUAAUGGCAACCGGGAGUAUCUACGUCAUCAUCAUGUGACAGUCAUGAGACUUCAACCCACUAAACCUUUUCUUCUUGGGGUCUAGAAAUCUUCUUAUCUUCCCAUAGUAACCGGAACUCACUUUGAUUCCCAUAAGGCACUUGAUGAAUUAAUCGAUCUCCUUCGCACUUAAGGUGAAGCAAGAAGGGGGGCAAUAAUUCUCCUCCUUCUUCUAGACUUUUCUGCCCCUUUCCCCCUCCUCCUUCUCCGUCUCCAUCUCCUCCGUCGACUUUUUAUGGUGGAGAUCUUUCCUGAUCUUCAAGUCUUCCAAGUCUUUCCUUGCCUUUGGCCCAUCCUUGGUCUUCUCUGGCAUGUUCAUCAGUGUGCCAAGCAAGCUCUCGAGGACAUUCUUCGUGAUAUGCAUUUGAUCAAGGCAAUGAGGCGUGUCAUGAUUGGGCCAGUACUCCAAUUCCCAGAAACAGACCUCGUUUUCCAUACCUUCAGCAACGGCUUCGACGCCUUUUUCAUCUUUCCCGACGCAGGGCACUGUUCCAGUUUUGCAACAGCUCGUUGAUUUCGGUGUCACUCCUCUUACAUGGAGGUCUGAUACGUCUCCAACGUAUCUAUAAUUUAUGAAGUAUUCAUGCUAUUAUAUUAUCCUUCUAGGAUGUUUUAUAUGCAUUUAUAUGCUAUUUUAUAUGAUUUUUGGGACUAACCUAUUAACCUAGUGCCCAGUGCCAGUUUUUGUUUUUUCCUUGUUUUUGAGUUCUACAGAAAAGGAAUACCAAACGGAGUCCAAUUGACGUGCCAAUUUUUGAUGAUUUUUUAUGGACCAAAAGAAGCCUCCGGAGCAAAAGAGUUGGUCCAGAAGAGUCCCGAGCGGUCCACGACGGUGGAGGGCGCGCCUACCCCCUGGGCAUGGGCCCCUGCCUCGUGGAUGACUCGGGAACCUCCUUGACGUGAGACCUAUGCCAAAAAUUUCCUAUAAAUACUGAAACCUCCAGAAAAUAACCUAGAUCGGGAGUUCCGCCGCCGCAAGCCUCUGUAGCCACCAAAAACCAAUCGGGACCCUGUUCCGGCACCCUGCUGGAGGGGGGAUCCCUCACUGGUGGCCAUCUUCAUCAUCCCGACGCUCUCCAUGACGAGGAUGGAGUAGUUCACCCUCGGGGCUGAGGGUAUGUACCAGUAGCUAUGUGUUUGAUCUCUCUCAUGUUCUUGAGGUGGUACGAUCUUGAUGUAUCGCGAGCUUUGCUAUUAUAGUUGGAUCUUAUGAUGUUUCUCCCCCUCUACUCUCUUGUAAUGGAUUGAGUUUUCCCUUUGAAGUUAUCUUAUCGGAUUGAGUCUUUAAGGAUUUGAGAACACUUGAUGUAUGUCUUGCCGUGCUUAUCUGUGGUGACAAUGGGAUAUCACGUGAUCCAGUUGAUGUAUGUUUUGGUGAUCAACUUGCGGGUUCCGCCCAUGAACCUAUGCAUAGGGGUUGGCACACGUUUUCAUCUUGACUCUCCGGUAGAAACUUUGGGGCACUCUUUGAAGUUCUUUGUGUUGGUUGAAUAGAUGAAUCUGAGAUUGUGUGAUGCAUAUCGUAUAAUCAUACCCACGGAUACUUGAGGUGAUAUUGGAGUAUCUAGGUUUUGGUUGAUUUGUGUCUUAAGGUGUUAUUCUAGUACGAACUCUAUGAUAGAUCGAACGGAAAGAAUAGCUUCGUGUUAUUUUACUACGGACUCUUGAAUAGAUCGAUCAGAAAGGAUAACUUUGAGGUGGUUUCGUACCCUACACUAAUCUCUUCGUUUGUUCUCCGCUAUUAAUGACUUUGGAGUGACUCUUUGUUGCAUGUUUAGGGAUAAUUAUAUGAUCCAAUUAUGUUAUUAUUGUUGAGAGAACUUGCACUAGUGAAAGUAUGAACCCUAGGCCUUGUUUCCUAGCAUUGCAAUACCGUUUACGCUCACUUUUACCACUUGUUACCUUGCUGUUUUUAUAUUUUCAGAUUACAAAAACCUAUAUCUACCAUCCAUAUUGCACUUGUAUCACCAUCUAUUCGCCGAACUAGUGCACCUAUACAAUUUACCAUUGUAUUGGAUGUGUUGGGGACACAAGAGACUCUUUAUUAUUUGGUUGCAGGGUUGUUUGAGAGAGACCAUCUUCAUCCUACACCUCCCACGGAUUGAUAAACCUUAGGUCAUCCACUUGAGGGAAAUUUGCUACUGUCCUACAAACCUCUGCACUUGGAGGCCCAACAACGUCUACAAGGAGAAGGUUGCGUAGUAGACAUCAAGCUCUUUUCUGGCGCUGCUGCCGGGGAGGUGAGUGCUUGAAGGUAUAUCUUUAGAUCUUGCAAUCGAAUCUUUUAGUUUCUUGUUUUAUCACCAGUUAGUUUAUAAAAGAAAACUACAAAAAAUGGAAUUGAGGGUGCCUCAUAUGUUUCAUCUUUUUAAUGUCUUCUGUGAAAAUAAGGAUUCCGAUAAUUGUGCUCAAUUGCUAGAGGAAGAAUGCAUUAAAAUGUUUGGCACUAAAUUUUUGAAUGAUGAGCAUGAUUGCAAUGUUGUUAGUAUGAAUUCCUUGAAUACCCAUGAUACUAAUGAUAUGCAAAGCCACAAGCUUGGGGAUGCUAUGUUUGAUGAAGAUGAUUUGUUUAGUCCCCCAAGUUUUGAUGAGAAUAUUUAUUAUGAUGAAAGCAUGCCUCCUAUUUAUGAUGAUUAUAUUGAUGAAAGUGGAUUUGGAGAGGUCAUGACUUUAUUUAGUGAUGAAUCCACUAUUUCGGAAGAGGUUCCAAUUGAUUAUGAGAACAAAGUUGCUAUCUAUGAUGAUUAUAGUGAUGACUUGUAUGCUAUUAAGAAUAAUGAUAACCAUGAAACUUUUCAUCAUGAUUUUAGUUUUCAAUUGGAUUAUUCCUCACAUGAUAAUUAUUUUGUUGAGUUUGCUCCCACUAUUAUUCUAGAGAGAAGAAAUUUGCUUAUGUGGAGAGUAAUAAAAAUUCUAUGCUUGUGCAUCAUGAGAAUAAUGCUUUAUGUGAUGGUUAUAUUGUUGAAUUCAUUCAUGAUGCUACUGAAAAUUAUUAUGAGGGAGGAAUAUAUGCUUGUAGAAAUUGCAAUAAUAUGAAGUUUCCUCUCUAUGUGCUUAAAGUUUUGAAGUUAUGCUUGUUUUGCCUUCCUAUGCUAGUUGAUUAUUGUUCCCAUAAGUUGUUUGCUCACAAAAUCCCUAUGCAUAGGAAGUGGGUUAGACUUAAAUGUGCUAGUCAUAUUCUUCAUGAUGCUCUCUUUAUGUUUCAAUUCUUAUCUUUUAUGUGAGCAUCAUUGAAAUCAUCAUGCCUAGCUAGGGGCGUUAAACGUUAGCGCUUCUUGGGAGGCAACCCAAUUUUAUUUUCGUUUCUUGCUUUUUGGUUCUAUUUUUUAAUAAAUAUUUGAUCUCGCCUCUGGUUAGAUGUGGUUUUAUGUUUUAGUUAGUGUUUUUGCCAAGUAAAACCUAUAGGAUCUUCUUGGAUGAUAGUUAUUUGAUCUUGCUGAAAAAAUCAGAAACUUUCUGCUCACGAAAACAAUUGUUAAAAAUCACCAGAACGUGAUAAAAUACUGAUUCCAAUUGCAGUAGAUCAAUAAAAAAAUUAUCUAGGUCUUCCUAUUUUGGUAGAAUUUUUGAGUUACAGAAAGUUUGCGUUUGAUACAGAUUACUACAGACUGUUCUGUUUUUGACAGAUUCUGUUUUUCGUGUGUUGUUUGCUUAUUUUGAUGAAUCUAUGGCUAGUACGGAGGUUAUGAACCAUAGGGAAGUUGGAAUACAGUAGGUUUAACACCAUUAUAAACAAAGAAUGAGUUCAUUACAGUACCUUUAAGUGGUGGUUUGUUUUAUUUCGCUAACGGAGCUCAUGAGAUUUUCUGUUGAGUUUUGUGUUGUGAAGUUUUCAAGUUUGGGUAAGAUUCGAUGGACUAUGGAAUAAGGAGUGGCAAGAGCCUAAUAUUGGGGAUGCCCAAGGCACCCCAAGGUAAUAUUCAAGGACAACCAAGAGCCUAAGCUUGGGGAUGCCCCGGAUGGCAUCCCCUCUUUCGUCUUCGUUCAUCGGUAACUUUACUUGGAGCUAUAUUUUUAUUCACCACAUGAUAUGUGUUUUGCGCGGAGCAUCAUUUUAUCUUGUUAGUAUUGGCUUGCUGUUAUUUAGAAUAAUGUUUUUCAUCUCUAUCUUCAAUAAAAAUGUCAAGGAUAGCCUUUACCAUGCUUAUUUUGCAAGUAUACAUGUUGUUGUUUCAAAAUAGAAAGUUUAUCGUUGUUGCAAAAAUUCCCUGGAAAAGUCAGAAUGUGAUAAAAUGUUGAAACUUUUGGCAUAAUAAGCUCUGAUAAAUUUUCUAGUGUGGUAGAAUUUCAUAAUGUUUGGAGUUAGGGAAGUAUGAUGAAUCUUGCAUUCUUUACAGACUGUACUGUUUGGCAGAUUGCUGUUAUGUUUGCAUUGUUUGCAUAUGUUUCCUUGUUUAAUGAUUCUAUUUGAGGAUAGGAGUAUUAAAUAUGCAGAGACAUUUAGUACGCAAUGUUGAAUAAUAAUUUUUGUGAUUUGCUAUAGUAGAGAAUGAUAAGUUUUUGCAUUGGUUUAUACUAACUUAUCUCACGAGUUCUUGUUGAGUUUGGUGUGGAUGAAGCUUUCAAGAUUUAGCAAACCGUGAUAUAAAAGGAAUUAAGGAGACGCAAAAGUUCAAGAGAAGUCUCAAGCAUCUAAGCUUGGGGAUGCCCCGGUAGGCAUCCCACCUUUCUUCUUCAACAAUUAUCGGUUAGUAUCGGUUGAGCCUAAGUUUUUGCUUCUUCACAUGAUGAGUGCUAUCCUUGAAAUGUCGUUUUAUUUUGUUUUGCUUGCUGUUUGAAUAAUAUCCCAAGAUCUUAAAUUCUUAAAUGAGAGAGAGUCUUCACAUAGCUACAUAAAACUACUCAUUGAUCUUCACUUAUAUCUUUUUGGAGUAGUUUGUCAUUUACUCGUGUGCUUCACUUAUAUCCUAUGAGUAAAUGGUUGAAUGAUUUGAAUGUCAUAAAUAUGAAAUUAUAUAUGUUUCAUAUGCCUUUCCCAUGGGGAGUAAUGCCUUCACAUAUAAGAAGUAGAGGUGGUAAUUUUUUUGAAGGUUACCAAACAUUGUAUUGGUCACUUGAACAAUUCAUGAAAGAAUAUUGAAGGAAGAGAGAUUUCACAUAUAAAUAUACUAUCUUGGACAUCUUCUAUGAUUGUGAGCCCCAUUAAUUAUUUUCAAACCUGAGCAAAUUAGUUGAAGUUGGACAAGGAAGACAACAUAAUGAGUUAUGCUUGGGUAUAUUUGUAUAGAAGUUAUAUUGUUAUGGAUCCUCUAACAUGUGGUGCUUGCUAUUUAGAAUCCUUUGCUAGCCAAAAUAUCUGUACUAAGCGGGAAUACUGCUUGUGCAUCCAAAAUCCUUGAACCAAGUUCCUUCCAUGAGUGUCCACCAUAUCUACCUAUAUGCAGUAUUUACCUACCGUUCCAAGUAAAUUUGCAUGUGCCAAACUCUAAACCUUCAAAUAAUAAUAUGUUUUGUAUGCCCGAAUCGCUCAUGUAGCGACUAGGGGCUGUCAGUAUCUUCCAUGCUAGGUGGGUUAUUCUCACGAUGAGUGGACUCCGCUCAUCAUUCACGAGAAAAUGUCUGGUAACUGGGAUGCCCAGUCCUAUGAUCAAGAGAUCAAAAACAAAUUCGCAAGUAAUUUAAACAAACUCCCCCAGGAUUGUUGAAAGUUGGACGGCACCCAUUGUUUCGGACAAGCCGUGGAGUGUGAUUGUUGGUGGAGGGGGAGUAAAAUCUUUACCUUUCUGUUUGGGAACCGCCUAUAAUGUAUCUAGUAUGGAAGAUAUUGGGAACUCUUGGUCGUUAUGUUGACAAUGAAAGCAUACCUCUCAAAAUUAUUUUCAUCUCUGUUUUAGCUUCGAGCUCUGGCACCUCUGCAAAUCCCUGCUUCCCUCUGCGAAGGGUCUAUCUUCUACUUUUAUGCAAGAGUCAGUAGUAUUCAUUCUCAUUCCAACCUACUUUUUAGUUGGCAAGCAUCAUGUGGUGGAGAAAGAUCUAAGCAUAUAUGGCCAUUCAAAUAUAUUUGAUCAUGAAUUAUUAUUGUUGACAAUUAUCUAUAUGAUAAAUAAGUUGGGAGGCGAAACAUUAAGCCCCUAUCUUUCUCUGUGUUCGAUGGAUGCUAUUUGUUCUAAAAAUGUGCUUUGAGUGGUAGCAAUCAUGGAAGACUAUAUGAUAGUUGAGUAUGUGGGAUUUGCUAAAUCAAAGCUCUUACAUAGACCCUUCCUGAAAAUAAGAUGAAUUGCAAUUGUUUGAUGACUGAGAAUGUGGUUUGUUAGUUUUCAAGAAAGUUUAUGAUCUAUACUUUAACAUGUGAAUAGCUUGUUACUUGAUCAUGAGAAGCUUUAUGAUAUGAGCUACUGUUAUGACAUAUAAUGAUGCUAAAAAAGGUGAUUGAAAUUAUCAUUGAUCAAACUUGUGCACCUGCUAACAUUCACACUUCAUAAAUUAUUUCUUUUAUCAUUUACCUACUCGAGGACGAGCAGGAAUUAAGCUUGGGGAUGCUGAUACAUCUCCAACGUAUAUAUAAUUUAUGAAGUAUUCAUGCUAUUAUAUUAUCCUUCUAGGAUGUUUAUAUGAAUUUAUAUGCUAUUUUAUAUGAUUUUUGGGACUAACCUAUUAACCUAGAGCCCAGUGCCAGUUUUUGUUUUUUUCCUUGUUUUUGAGUUUUACAGAAAAGGAGUACCAAACGGAGUCCAAUUGACGUGCCAAUUUUUGAUGAUUUUUUAUGGACCAAAAGAAGCCUCCGGAGCAAAAGAGUUGGGCCAGAAGAGUCCCGAGCUGUCCACAAGGGUGGAGGGCGUGCCCACCCCCCUGGGCGUGGGCCCCUGCCUCGUGGACGACUCGGGAACCUCCUUGACAUGAGACCUACGCCAAAAAUUCCUAUAAAUACUGAAACCUCCAGAAAAUAACCUAGAUCGGGAGUUCCGCCGCUGCAAGCCUCUGUAGCCACCAAAAACCAAUCGGGACCCUGUUCCGGCACCCUGCCGGAGGGGGGAUCCCUCACCGAUGGCCAUCUUCAUCAUCCGGCGCUCUCCAUGACGAGGAGGGAGUAGUUCACCCUUGGGGCUGAGGGUAUGUACCAGUAGCUAUGUGUUUGAUCUCUCUCUCGUGUUCUUGAGGUGGUACGAUCUUUAUGUAUCGCGAGCUUUGCUAUUAUAGUUGGAUCUUAUGAUGUUUCUCCCCCUCUACUCUCUUGUAAUGGAUUGAGUUUUCCCUUUGAAGUUAUCUUAUCGGAUUGAGUCUUUAAGGAUUUGAGAACACUUGACGUAUGUCUUGCCGUGCUUCUCUGUGGUGAUGUCGGAGUAAAUAGCCACGAAUAGCCUAACCGACUACCCCUGGCUCUUCAAAAAAUUAUCAGGCCAUUUGGGCCUUCCAGCAUUUCAAGCAUUGGGCCGCCUUCCCUGGCCGGCUACCUCUGAAGCCGACUCUCAGAAGGCGACCCAGCCUCAGCAACCUCCCCCCAAGAUAACCACGGGAUGGCCGACUCCGGGAAGCCGGCCAUAGAGGAUGCCGACUCCCCAGAGCCGGCCAUGAAGAACGCCGACUCCCCAGAGCCGGCCGCGAAGAGCGCCGACUCCAAGAAGCCGACCAAGACCGCACCCACCAAAACUACACCCACAUAACGGUGACAAGACGGGGUGUGGCCACAGUGCAGCCCACUACCCCCGAAGCCCGAGGCAGGGAUGGCCACAGGACGCCGUACGGGACGGCCAUCUCCCGUCCGGCUCGGCACUGUAGCCAUGCUGGCCUCAACGUCACCCAUGAUGGACGCCAGUACGGCCCACGGGCGGCGGGCCCCUUUAGCCAGAGAGAGGCGCGAAGGCGGCCCAGCCUCCCCUAGUCGGCCAAGUGCGUGGCCGGCCUCCAGAAGCCGGCUACCCCUUCCCAUGAAGCAUGUGCCACAUUAAGGAGACAAGACGAGGUAAGGCUACAGUGAGAGCCCUCGAGGCGGCACACUGUAGCCACGCUUACCUCGACGAAACCCUCGUCAUCAGGGACGAGGCUACAGUAAGCAGCCGCCGACAAGACCCUAGGCAGUGGGGCCGGCCUGUCGAUCGAGAGGCCGGCAGCCGGCGGGACCCACCAGUCGGCAGGCCCCAGCGGCCGGCGGAGAAGCCGGCGAGCGCAGACACUGACGCUGGGACCCGCGCCCAGCCGGAUUACAAUUGUACCCCCGGGGGGUAGGACUAUAUAAACCCCCCGGGGCACCCAUGCAAAGGGUUGGCUUCUUAGAGUUACACACACACCAUAGAGAGAGGGAAGCAAGAGCUAGCCUUGCUCUUCUUCUCCCUUGAACCCAACAGCUCUAGGAGCAUUUGUAGCUACUCUUUCUGAUCUAGUGAUCAUGCGGAGACCCCGCAGAGCAGGACUAGGGGUGUUAUCUCCUCGGAGAGCCCCGAACCUGGGUAAGAUUCGCGGGCGUGCAUGUCUUCGCCUCAUCCCGUUUCCAGGCAUCGGCGACGUCUUACUGUCACCCACCAUGAUAAGCCACCCGUUGGCAUAUGUCGCACCUACCACCCGACAUUUGGCGCCCACCGUGGGGCCAGGUGCACCGUUGUCCGGAGACCUGUUCUGGACGGGAACCCUCUUCCUCCCCCGCGAGCGCAGCCAGCCUGCUGCGCCCGAUGGCGUUUGCCUCGACGCGCUGCAAGGCGUCGACGACGCCUGCGCGGCGAGCUGCCUCGCCGAUCUUCUCGGCGAGACUCGCAUCUCCGAGGAGCCCGCGUCCGACGCGGGCACGGACUACCCCGAGAGCCGCCUUGUCAGCCUCCUCGACCAGCUUCACGUCUCUAGCGAGCCUACUGCAGAUGUGGAGUCGGUCGGCUCCACCGACCCGAUGCUCGUCGACUCCGACACGGCAUCGCUCGACGCCUACCCCUCCGACGUGGUGGUCUUCGACGAUCUUCUCCCUCGAGCUGACAGUGGCAGCCGCGCUGUCACCAAAGUGUUGGUCAUCAGUCACGUCGCCAACUCGGGCGAGAACGCCCACGACGCCCUGCAAGCGGCGAUGCACGACCUCUCCGUCCCCAUCCCGUCCGACGCCGACGCCGAGACCCUGGAGGCACGUCGCCUCGCCCUCGUCGCGGAGGGCCAGAAGAUAGCCUCCAUGAGACGCCUCACCGAGGCCCACCAGCGCGAAGUCGACCGCGCUGCCUUUGGUUCGCCGCCGCCUAGCGGACCGAGCCAAGCCGGCUUCUUCCAGAAGCGCGGCGCGGCUAUUGCCAGCAUGUUGGGGGCAGGUCGCCCCAUCUACCCCACCCAGCUCGAGAAUCUGCGAGCCGCUCAGGCGGCCGCCGAAGAGCUAAAUGGGCUGGGAGCCGACGAGCUCCCCUACAUGACAAGACGGAUCCAGCAGCUGAUCGACGCGGCUGCAGAAUGGCAUGAAGCCGGCGCCCGCGCCGAUAGUCAUCCCCCGCGCCGAGAGCACGCCGCGACGUCCCGCUCGCCGACUGCGAGCGGCGCCCGCCAGAAGAAAGACAAGGAGCCGGCUGCUAGCCGCAGCCGGACUCGUAUCACCAUCGAGCGCGACGCGGAAGGCCGCCCUCGAGCGGUGGAGCGCCCAAGGAAACCUGCCUCCUCCCCCGCCUCGAAGAGAGAGACGCCUCACCCCGCCACCCGUCACGCACCCGACUCUUGGCGACCGACUCGGCCGCCGAGAAGGAGUCGGCGAGAACGACGCCCACCACCGGAUAGACCGCCUUGCUCGAUCCUUGGCGUUAGAAGAAGAAGACGAUGUCGGCCCGCCAUGCUUUGGCCCCCGCAUCCGCGACGAGCCCUUCCCCAAAGGGUUCUCGCUCCCCAGAGACACGCCCAAGUACAACGGCUCAGUGAAGCUGGAAGAUUGGCUCAUCGAUUAUUCUACUGCAGUCAGCAUAGCCAACGGCAACCGACGCGUCGCCAUGAAGUACGUCCCCCUCAUGCUGCAAGGCACAGCAGGCACAUGGCUCAACAGCCUCAAGCCCUACAACAUCAACAGCUGGCUGGACUUCACGGAAGUCUUCAUCCGCAACUUCACCAGCACGUACAAGCGGCCUCCCAAGCCUCGCCAGCUCUCCCUGUGCGUCCAAGGGCCCAACGAGUCGACCCGCGACUACCUCACGCGGUGGGCCGAGCUCCGCAACUCCUGCGAGGGGGUGCACGAGGUUCAGGCCAUCGAGUACUUCACCGCCGGGUGCCGAGAGGGCACCCUCCUCAAGCACCGACUCCUCUGCGACGAGCCGGCUACCCUCGACGAACUGUUGGUCAUCGCGGACAAGUACGCCACGGCCGACUCCUCGAUGAAGACCGAGCUUCGAGUAGAUGCCUCUGGGAAGGUGAUUGCUCCGGCUCCCAAGACGCCCGCUGGCGACUCCAAUCGGCGCCCCUACCAGAACGAUCACAAGCGCAAGGCCCCCAUGCCGACUUCCACCAGUCGGCAGGUGGCCACAGUCGAAGAUGAGCAGCCCGAAGAGCGGCCCGCUCCCAAGAAGAAGGGUGGCAGGCCGGCUUGGCAGCCGGCUUUCUCUUACGAGCAGACUCUUGACGCCCCCUGCAAGUUCCACAGCGGCGCGAAGCCGUCCAACCACACGACCCGAAAAUGCCACUGGCUCACGCGAAUCUCCAAGGGCGAAGGGUUGUUGCCGCCUCCGCCUCUCGGCCCGCCGCCUCCAGCCCCCCAGCAGCCGGCGGCUCGGCCGGCAGUCGGAGCCAUCCAAGGCGAGUUCCCUGAAGAGCACGCCGCCUACGUCGUCUUCACCAGCCAAGCCGAUGACAAGCAUAGUCGGCGCCGUCAGCAUCAAGAGGUCAACGCAGUCGCCUCUAGCGCUCCUGAGUUCAUGCACUGGUCAGAGAAGCCAAUCAGCUGGAGCCAGGCCGGCCACCCAGAGGUGAUGCCAUCCCCUGGCUCCUAUGCACUGGUCUUGGAUGUUACCCUCGCGACGGAGAGGCGAGCUGCCCGAUUCUCCCGCGUCCUGAUAGAUGGCGGAAGCAGUAUCAAUAUACUGUACCGCGAUACCAUGGAGAAGGUGAACAUCAAGGCAAAGCAGCUUAUGCCAAGCCGAACCGUGUUCCAUGGUAUCGUCCCCGGCUUGUCUUGCUCCCCAAUCGGCAAGAUUAAAAUGGAUGUUCUCUUCGGAGACAAAGAUCAUUUUUGCCGAGAAGCGAUCUGGUUCGAAGUAGUGGAUCUGGAGAGCCCCUACCAUGCUUUUCUUGGCCGACCUGCUCUGGCCAAGUUCAUGGCUGUGCCCCACUACGCCUACCUGAAGAUGAAGAUGCCGAGCUCGAAGGGGAUCAUCACGGUAGCCGGCGACUACAAGAAGUCCAUCGAGUGCGCCAUGGCCAGUAGCUGGUUGGCCGAGUCCCUCGUGGUAGCAGAAGAGAAGAAGAUGCUGGAGCGGGUUGUGGCCAUGGCCAGCAAGCAGCCGGCCUUGUCCCCCAACCCCAAAGACUGUGAUGCACAAGGCUCAUUCCAGCCGGCCAAGGAGACGAAGAAGAUACCUCUGGACCCGGAGAAUCCGGAGAGGUUUGCCGUCAUUGGGGCAAACUUGGACAGUAAAUAGGAAGGCGAGCUCGUCGACUUCCUCCGUGAGAAUCGAGACAUUUUUGCACGGUCCCCAAAGGAUAUGCCGGGUGUCCCGAAGGAUUUCGCCGAGCACAAAUUACUUGUCCGAGCCGACGCGAAGCCGGUCAAGCAGCCCCUCCGCCGACUGUCCGAAGAGAAGCGAAGAAUCGUAGGAGAAGAGAUAGCCCGGCUCCUUGCCGCUGGCUUUAUUAUGGAAGUGUUUUCUCCAGAGUGGCUUGGCAACCCAGUUCUGGGAGUGAAGAAGAAUAACAAGUGGCGUAUGUGUAUAGACUACACCAGCCUGAACAAGGCUUGCCCCAAGGAUCCGUUUGCUCUGCCACGGAUUGACCAAGUGAUAGACUCCAUAGCCGGAUGCGAGCUGUUGAGUUUUUUGGAUGCCUACUCAGGGCACCAUCAGAUCAAGUUGGACCCAGCUGACCGCCUGAAGACUGCCUUCAUCACACCAUUCGGAGCUUUCUCCUACCUGACUAUGACAUUCGGCCUGAGGAAUGCCGGUGCCACUUUUCAGCGUUGCAUGCAGAAAUGCCUCCUCAAGCAACUCGGCAGAAAUGCCCACGUCUAUGUAGACGACAUUGUGGUGAAGACAGAGAAGCGCGGCACCCUGCUGGAAGACCUAAAAGAAACAUUCGCCAACUUGCGCCGAUUCCAAAUCAAGCUCAACCCCGAGAAAUGCGUGUUCGGAGUACCAGCCGGCCAGCUGCUAGGCUUCCUGGUCUCCGAACACGGCAUCGUGUGCAACCCUGUAAAGAUCAAGGCCAUCGAGAGGAUGGAGAUUCCCACCAAACUGCGAGAUGUGCAGAAGUUCACCGGGUGCUUGGCCUCCCUAAAUCGCUUUAUCAGCCGACUAGGAGAGAAGGCUCUCCCCCUGUACCGACUCAUGAAGAAGUCCACUCACUUCGAGUGGAAUGACCAAGCUGACCAAGCCUUCCAAGAGUUAAAGAAGAUGCUGACCACUCCGCCUGUCCUGGCAGCGCCGACUGAGAAGGAGCCCAUGCUCCUCUACAUUGCCGCGACUAGCCGAGUAGUCAGUACAGUUGUUGUGGUCCAGCGCCCGGAAGAAGGCCGAGCCCAGCUAGUCCAGAGGCCGGUGUACUAUCUAAGCGAAGUGCUAUCCAGCUCAAAGCAGAACUACCCGCGCUACCAGAAGAUGUGCUAUGGGGUGUACUUCGCCGCCAAGAAGCUGAAGCCCUACUUCCAAGAGCAUCCCAUCACGGUCGUGUGCACCGCCCCGCUCGCCAAGAUCAUAGGUAGCCGGGAUGCAUCCGGCCGGGUGGCUAAAUGGGCCAUUGCACUGGCGCCAUACACGAUCUUAUACCAACCCCGCACCGCCAUCAAGUCCUAAGCAUUGGCCGACUUCCUCGUCGACUGGGCCGAGACCCAGUACCUACCGUCGGCUCCCGACUCUACACAUUGGCGGAUGCACUUCGACGGGUCCAAGAUGCGCGCCGGCUUGGGAGCCGGCAUCGUCCUCACCUCUCCCAAAGGCGACAAGCUCAAAUACACACUGCAGAUCCACUUCGCCGCCUCCAACAACGUGGCCGAGCACGAGGCGCUCGUACAUGGGCUCCGGCUAGCCAAAGAGCUCGGCAUACGCCGGAUCCUGUGUUACGGCGACUCGGACUUGGUGGUCCAGCAGUCGUCUGGCGACUGGGACGCAAAGGACGCGAACAUGGCGAGCUAUCGAUUCCUCGUCCAGCAGAUCAGCGGGUACUUCGAAGGGUGCGAGUUCCUUCACUUGCCAAGGGCCGACAACGACCAAGCAGAUGCCCUUGCACGGAUCGGCUCCAUCCGACAAGCCAUACCGACUGGCGUCUCCCUCCAGCGCCUCCUCAAGCCGCCCAUCAAGCCAGCUCCAGAGUCGGACUCUAUCUUCAUACCGCCUGUGCCAGAUGCAGCCGGAUCCGACUGGAGGAACCCCGCAGGCGGCACGGGGACUUUGACAACUGGCCCGGGGACUGCCGUAGUCGCACCCGGCCCGGGGACUUCAGAACCCGGCCCAGGGACCGCAACAGUCGGCCCGGGGACUGCAACGACACAAGAAGCGGUGGCCGACUCCAACUCCAAGCCACCCAACCCACCCACCCGAGUCAUGGUGGCUACGCUAACAGAAGAAGAAGUCACAGCUCCAUCAUGGGCCCAGCCCAUCCUCAAGUUCCUAGUCAGCAGAGAGCUGCCGGCUGAUGAGAUCUCAGCAAGACUAGUGCAACGACGAGCCAGAGCAUAUGCAAUAAUGAACAGAGAGCUUGUGAAGCGCAGCGUCACUGGAGUCUUCCAGCGUUGUGUCGAGCCAGAAAAAGGAGUGGCAAUCCUCAAGGAUAUCCACCAAGGCGAAUGCAGCCACCACGCAGCCUCAAGAUCACUUGUGGCCAAGGCUUUCCGCCAUGGUUUCUUUUGGCCGACUGCCUUGGAAGAUGCCAAAGAGAUAGUCAAGAGCUGCAGAGGAUACCAAGUUUUCAGUUCCAAGCAACACCUGUCGGCUUCUGCACUCAAGACCAUUCCCCUUACCUGGUCCUUUGCCGUCUGGGGACUGGACAUGGUGGGCCCUUUCAAGACAGCCCGCGGCGGCUUGACACAUCUACUUGUCGCCGUGGACAAGUUCACAAAGUGGAUCGAAGCGAAGCCAAUCAAGAAGCUGAACGGGCCGACUGCCGUAACAUUCAGCACCGACAACACUACUCGGUACGGCGUACCGCACAACAACAUCACCGACAACGGCACAAACUUUGCCAAAGGAGCACUGGCACGUUUCUGCGCGACGCAGGGCAUCCGACUGGACUUAGCGUCCGUUGCCCACCUGCAGUCAAACGGCCAGGUCGAGCGAGCAAAUGGACUCAUCCUCUCCGGCAUCAAGCCCCGACUGGUUGUACCACUAGAGCGAUCGGCUGGCUGCUGGCUCGAUGAGUUGCCGGCUGUCCUCUGGAGUCUAGGCACUACACCCAACAAGUCAACCGGCUUCACUCCGUUCUUCCUUGUAUAUGGUGCCGAGGCUGUCAUCCCAACCGACAUCGAGUUCGACUCGCCUCGGGUCACCAUGUACACGGAGGCGGAGGCCAAGGAAGCAAGAGAAGACGGCGUCGACCUACUAGAAGAAGGCCGGCUGUUAGCACUUAGCCGGUCCGCCAUCUACCAGCAAGGGCUGCGCCGCUACCACAACCGCAAGGUCAAGCCAAGAUCCUUCCAAGAGGGCGACCUUGUGCUUCGGCUGAUCCAGCGAACAGCCGGCCAGCACAAGCUCUUGGCCCCUUGGGAAGGCCCCUUCGUCAUCAGCAAGGCACUAGGCAACGACUCCUACUACUUGAUCGACGCGCAAAAACCAAGAGCACGCAAGAGAGAUGACUCCGGCAAGGAGUCGGAGCGACCAUGGAACGCGAACCUCCUAAGAAGAUUUUACAGUUGAAAGCAGUAUGUAUCAUGCUACCCUUUUGUAUUAAGCACGAACCAACAGGCCCCCCGAACAGUACUCGGGGACUGCCUUUAUUUACCUAUGAAUGACGAGUGUCAUAUCCAUGAAUGUAUUAUUACAUUUGAUUUCUUGUCUGGCACCGGGUCGACUAGUCGGCCCGGGGACUGGCCGGCUUGAGCUAUAUUAAAAGUUCUACCUGAAGUCAGACAAGUAGUGUGCCGGCUCCCGAGUCCUCUCUUGUUAAAAGUCGCAGCUCGAAGAACCGACUGUCCGACUAGCAAGAGACAAGGCAGAAAGGAUGCCCACACGAAAAAUGGCUAAGGACUAACGAACUUAUAUAGCAAAAAGACGGCCUCCAACCACGCUUGCCGGCUGCCUAAACACUUAGCUCUAAUCCAACAAAGCUAAAGUACUUGCCCUCCCAAUUGGCCAAGCUCUCCUCCAGCCACAGAUCGCAGAGCAACUGUCUGACUAGGGAGGCGGCAACCAAGGGAGGGCGGCAAAGGAAACAGCGGAAGGAUGAAAAGCAAAGAACAAGGAAAGGCCAAACGCAUGCAUAGUCAUAUAUACAUAUAAAGCCCCCAACAGGCCGGCAAUCGACAUAGUUCGAAUACACCCCCAGUGGGUGGAAUUGUGCAGACUUAACAGAAUAUUGUUCCAAAAGUGACAAGACAGGAAAACAAAAGAUAGCAGACUAGACUAAGGCGCGGUGCGGGAGCCAGGCUGGUCGGUGGAGAUGGCGUCGCCGGCUGAAGGAGUGGCCGGCUGGCGGGUCUCGGCUUGGUCACCACCGGUGGCAGGCGACGCACCCGCGCGUGACGUGGUGCUGGAGGCACGGUCAGCCUGAGGCUGGUCGGCCGCUCCACCAUCCGGCUCGGCGUCUUCACCCUCCUCCUCGCCCUCGUCGCUCGAGUCGAUCUCCUCCGCCGAGUCUUCACCGUCUGCCGGGUUCAGCCCGAACCACUCCUCCGGCUGGGCGACACCGUUGUCAUCUACCUCAGGGGCGAAGACACUGGUGUCGGUGUACUCGGCGAUCGCCAAAGCCCGCCGGAUGAUAGCCGGCCGCGCCGGCUCCAGCUCCGUGUCGGCUUGCUACCGCCAGGUAGCCAGCUGGUCCAGACUCGGGUCGGGGUACCAGGCCUUGACGAACUCCAGCGCCCGCCUGGCGCCGGAUUGAGCCGCCGAGGCCUUCCAGGCUUCAAAGGGGCCGACUGCCACCUCCAGCCAGUCGGCAGUCCGACUGGGGGUGCGAGGAACCACUUCGCCGGGCCAGAGGGUGGCCAAUACUUGCGCCCCGGCACGCUGAAGCCGGCGGAGCAGUCGGUAAGCCGGCCGGAGACGGGCCUGGAUCGCCAAGAGCUGCUCCUGCAGCGAACGGCCAGCGUUUGGUGCAAUCUCGACGCCAGCCUGCCGUCGUGCUUGGCGGUGGGCCUCGAUGAUCUGGCUGGCGGCGGUAGAGUAGCCAGGGAAGUACUCUGCGCAAGAAAGAAAGAGAAAGAAGAGAAAACACCAAGUCAGAAACCGAGCCAAAAGCGGCAGACGGCAAGAAAGGACGAAGAAGUAGGCGGCUUACCGUCAACCAGAUCUUCGAUCUGGCCAUAGCCAUUGAUCAGAGUCUGCCUUGCUUCAGCCCAACCAGCCGCUUCUGUCUCGUACUUAGCCUGGAGGGCGGCUUCGCGGUCCUACACCGCCUUCAGAGCCGCCUUGUGGCCCUCCUCCUGGUCGGCCAACCUCUUGGCCAGGCGGUCACGUUCCUGCACCAAGGCGGCAAACUCGGCCUCCUUGGCACGAAGGGCAGUCUGAGACUCUCCCAGCUGUGCCCUCAGACUGGCAUUGGCCGCUGCAGGGACGGCAGAAAAAGAAGAAACAAUAAGAGGAAGUCAUCAAGGAAGAUCCGACCCGACUGCUCAGCAGUCGGCCCGAAUCUCGGGGACUACACCCAGUGGGUGCGCUGACGCGCCCCCACGUGAGAUAAAGAACAAAGCACUUACCCCGGCUCUCAGUUAGGUCGGCGGUCUUCUGGGUCAGCUCCCGAGCCUGGGAGUUGAAGGCAGCCGCGCGAAGAUUGUGGUAGUCCUGCAAUACAGGCAGAAGAUCGAAGUAAGAACAAGAAUAGCAAAGCCAAAUCCACUAAGAAGUUCCAAGCCGCCUGCUCAGCAGCCGACUCGGAACUCGGGGACUACACCCAGUGGGUGCGCUGACGCGCCCCCAUGGAAGAAACCAAGAUCAAGAAGAAGCAAGAUAAGAAAACUAACCCGGAUGGCCGCCCGCAUCGCAAGGAAUUCAUCAGUGUAUUGCCUCAGCGCCGUAGCCUGGGCCUGGAGCCGGGUCCGGAUGUCCUGCGCGGCCACGUUCAUCACGGCCGUCCCUCCGCUCGGCGUCCACCCCGAGGUAGCGCUGGCCACCUCCACAUCCUCGGCCGACGAGCUGGAGCCCGCGGCCGGCUGCGGCUCCGACGCAGCCUUCUGUGGCUCUGACGCAGCCUUCCCCACGCGCCGGCUCGGCGGCAUCCGGACCGCCAGCUCAGUCCUCGCGGCCGGCUCGCCCCCCGCCGACUGCGUAGGCGGCAAAUCAGGCCGGCCGCCUUGAGCCGCCCCAGUCGGCGGGGUCGGCACCGGCGCCCUCUCCAGGAUGACGACGUCGUCAUCCCUCUCCAGCCCCGGCUGGUCACCGCCGGCUUCUUCUGGCGGGGGCUCCGGGGCCCCAGGCGCUGCGACGCGAAGUGGGGUGACCAACAAGGCCCCCUCCGCCAUCGCCGUAGCUGCAGCUUCCGCUUGGGCCUUGGCUGCGGAGUCGGCGCGCGCCUUCGCCGCCUCCUCCUCCUGCGCCGCCUGGGCGGCGGCCGCCUUCCGUGCCUCGGCCUCCCGCGCCUCCCGCUCCUCCCGCACCUCUUGCGCGUUCCGUUCCGUCGCCGCCUGAAGGUUGGCACGGGGGGUCCACGCGGCGAGUGGUGCUCCCAGAUCCCCUCGGCGACUCAACGACUGAGCCGGCAGCCGCCCGCUCGAGCGACAAUGGAGCUCUGAUUGUUUGGAGAAAAAGACAAGGAUUCAGGAGCCUCCAGAGAAAACAAAAAAAGAGUACACGAUGGAGUUUGAACUUACGCCGACACCGUCUGUGGUUUCUUCACCGCCUUGCGGAAGCGAGCCGCCUUCGUGGCCGCCUCCUCCCGCCUGGUCGCCGCCGCCCCGCCCCUGGGUUUCUUCGUCCGACUGCCGAACAAACCCUGCGCGGCACGACGCUUUUGCCCGCCGCCCCGAGCAGGCGGUGCAGCGGAGGAACCCGCGCCGCGGCCAGACGACGGCUGACGGCGCGGGACGACUUCGGCCUCGUCGUCGUCCGGCCAAUCGUCGAAGCUGACUCCGUGCCCGGAGCCGCCUGCUUCGCCGCCGGCUUGGCCACCGCCCGGCUCGGUGUUGUCGUCCAUAGCAGCCGCCCCCAAGUCGGGGUCCUCCAGAUCGUGCUCCGUCCAGUCCGGGACGAAUCGGAGCUCACCCGCCGGCAGGCCGAAGAAGAGGGCUCUAUCGAAAACAAGCCGACUAGUCAGAGUCGGCCAAAAGGAACUCGGCGACAAAACCGAGAAAAGAGAAAGAGACAAGGAGAACAUACCGUAGGCGGCGGAUUGGCUCGGCAAUAUGGCUCCUUGCCGAACUGCCACUCUGCGGAGAGUUUGCAGUUCGCAAGGUAGUUCACCAUAUAUGCCACCUCGUCGUGCGGCAUGUCCUUGGUACACAUCCGGUUCGGAUCGAGCUGGCCGCUCAUCUGACAGAUCAGAUGAGGGCGGCUCUGGAGCGGGAGUACCCAGCGCGUGACGAAGGCGGCCAGCAGGUCGGGCCCCGACAAGCCCUCCGACUGGAUCAUCAGUCGCACUCGGGAGAUGGCUGCGUUUCCAGCCGGCGUCAGUGUCACGGCCCGGUAGGACCACUGGGGCCGCCUGCCCGUCGGGGGGCCGGCUACGUAAGCCGGCAGAUUGACGUAGUCGCCCUGCGGGGCGACGUUCCGCACGUAGAAGUACGACUUUUGCCAUAGCUUCACCGACUGGAUCAGCGUGACGACGGGGAAGGGGUUGUCGGCGGCCACCCUCCGCAUCGCGAUGAAGGCGCCACUCUGAGCCGGCACGCCUUGCAUGCGCGUGCCCAGCUUGCACUGGAAGAACUCCCCCCAGAGCUCGAGGGUGGGGAGGACGCCGAGGUAGCCUUCGCACAGGGUGACGAAGGCAGACAGUAGCACCACCGUGUUUGGGGGGAGGUGGUGCGGCUGGAGCUGGUAGAACUCGAGCCAAGAGCGGAAGAAAGCGCUCACGGGCAGGCCGAUGCCGUGCAGGAAGUGCGAGCGGAAGACUACCUGCUCGCCUUCCCGCGACUCCGGCGUAAUCUCCUUCGCCGGCGCGAGACGGACCUCCACCUUGUCCGCGCCGGGCAGCCGCCGCGUCUUGCGGAGGAAUUCGACGUGAUCCUCGUGGACGUUGGAGCCGUCCCAAUCCCCGCCGUACUGCAUCGUGGCGUGGGGCUGGCGAGAACGAGCGCGGCGGCGGAGGAGCGAGUGGUGGAAGAGCGCGGCGGCGAGGCGCUGUUGCAAGAAACGGCAGGAGGAAGAAGAUGGUGGAAAGAGGAGAAGCGUGCGAAAGCCUGCCACUCUCCCUCUCCCCCUACUUAUAGCUUCGCGAGGUGAAGCCGGGGAGGCCGGACGUGGGGUGAGACGUGGGAUUAACUGCACCCACUCCCCCCACGCCUCACGAUUAUUAUGCCCUAAAGGCGUGCCGAAACCGCCGCAGGGAGACGUGCGGGCGGUUUCGGGCUACAGAGAAUCCACGCCUGGGCCCGGGCGUGGGCGUGCCAGGCCCCCGCCCUGCGGCGACGUCCCGUCGCGCGCGUGGGCUGGCAGGCUUUUUAGCCAAGAGAGGUCACGUGGUUCGCUGGCGGCAAGUGGCCGGCCCGCGGCCCGGUGCACGCGCUGGCGAGCUCCUGCCCUCCGACUCCAAAAUUUUUGGCCAAGACGGCGCGCCUAACCAAAGCCGGCUCCCAGCUACCGGCUUGUCAAGAUAGGAAGCUGAUCGAGCUUCUCGACUCCUACCCAACCUCGAAGCCCAAUCAGCUUCGGGGACUACUGUCGGAGUAAAUAGCCACAGGUAGCCUAACCGACUGCCCCUGGCUCUUCAAAAAAUUAUCAGGCCAUUUGGGCCUUCAAGCAUUUCAAGCAUUGGGCCGCCUUCCCUGGCCGGCUACCUCUGAAGCCGACUCUCAGAAGGCGACCCAGCCUCAGCAACCUCCCCCCAAGAUAACCACGGGAUGGCCGACUCCGGGGAGCCGGCCAUAGAGGAUGCCGACUCCCCAGAGCCGGCCAUGAAGAACGCCGACUCCCCAGAGCCGGCCGCGAAGAGCGCCGACUCCAAGAAGCCGGCCAAGACCGCACCCACCAAAACUACACCCACAUAACGGUGACAAGACGGGGUGUGGCCACAGUGCAGCCCACUACCCCCGAAGCCCGAGGCAGGCAUGGCCACAGGACGCCGUACGGGACGGCCAUCUCCCGUCCGGCUCGGCACUGUAGCCAUGCUGGCCUCAACGUCACCCACGACGGACGCCGGUACGGCCCAUGGGCGGCGGGCCCCUUUAACCAGAGAGAGGCGCGAAGGCGGCCCGGCCUCCCCUAGUCGGCCAAGGGCGUGGCCGGCCUCCAGAAGCCGGCUACCCCUUCCCUCGAAGCAUGUGCCACAUUAAGGAGACAAGACGAGGUAAGGCUACAGUGAGAGCCCUCGAGGCGGCACACUGUAGCCACGCUUACCUCGACGAAGCCCUCGUCAUCAGGGACAAGGAUACAGUAAGCAGCCGCCGACAAGACCCUAGGCAGUGGGGCCGGCCUGUCAACCGAGAGGCCGGCAGCCGGCGGGACCCACCAGUCGGCAGGCCCCAGCGGCCGGCGGAGAAGCCGGCGAGCGCAGACACUGACGGCUGGGACCCGUGCCCAGCCGGAUUACAAUUGUACCCCUGGGGGGUAGGACUAUAUAAACCCCCCGGGGCACCCAUGCAAAGGGUUGGCUUCUUAGAGUUACACACACACCAUAGAGAGAGGGAAGCAAGAGCUAGCCUUGCUCUUCUUCUCCCUUGAACCCAACAGCUCUAGGAGCAUUUGUAGCUGCUCUUUUUGAUCUAGUGAUCAUGCGGAGACCCCGCAGAGCAGGACUAGGGGUGUUAUCUCCUCGGAGAGCCCCGAACCUGGGUAAGAUUCGCCGGCAUGCAUGUCUUCGCCUCAUCCCGUUUCCAGGCACCGGCGACAUCUUACUGGCACCCACCAUGAUAAGCCACCCGUUGGCAUAUGUCGCACCUACCACCCGACAGGUGACAAUGGGAUAUCACGUGAUCCACUUGAUGUAUGUUUUUUUGAUCAACUUGCGGGUUCCGCCCAUGAACCUAUUUAUAGGGGUUGGCACACGUUUUCGUCUUGACUCUCCGGUAGAAACUUUGGGGCACUCUUUGAAGUUCUUUGUGUUGGUUGAAUAGAUGAAUCUGAGAUUGUGUGAUGCAUAUCGUAUAAUCAUACCCACGGAUUCUUGAGGUGACAUUGGAGUAUCUAGGUGACAUUAGGGUUUUGGUUGAUUUGUGUCUUCAGGUGUUAUUCUAGUAUGAACUCUAUGAUAGAUCGAACAGAAAGAAUAGCUUCGUGUUAUUUUACUACGGACUCUUGAAUAGAUCGAUCAGAAAGGAUAACUUUGAGGUGGUUUCGUACCCUACAAUAAUCUCUUCGUUUUCUCUGCUAUUAGUGACUUUGGAGUGACUCUUUGUUGCAUGUUGAAGGAUAAUUAAAUGAUGCAAUUAUGUUAUUAUUGUUGAGAGAACUUGCACUAGUGAAAGUAUGAACCCUAGGCCUUGUUUCCUAGCAUUGGAAUACCGUUUACGCUCACUUUUACCACUUGUUACCUUGCUGUUUUUAUAUUUUCAGAUUACAAAAACCUAUAUCUACCAUCCAUAUUGCACUUGUAUCACCAUCUUUUCACCGAACUAGUGCACCUAUACAAUUUACCAUUGUAUUGGGUGUGUUGGGUACACAAGAGGCUCUUUGUUAUUUGGUUGCAGGGUUGUUUGAGAGAGACCAUCUUCAUCCUAUACCUCCCACGGAUUGAUAAACCUUAGGUCAUCCACUUGAGGGAAAUUUGCUACUGUCCUACAAACCUCUGUACUUGGAGGCCCAACAACGUCUACAAGGAGAAGGUUGCGUAGUAGACAUCAAGGUCCUCGAUGCUCAGCCAACCCGUUGAAUAGAUCUCCACACUUUAUCCAUGGGUCAUCCUUCUCGAGCCAUCUACGAUGCCCCAUGUAGACGAUUUUCCCGGACCCGCCAUCUUUCAUUGACGUAAGCUGCUGAGAUGUUGUAUCAUCCAUGCACCUCGUGCAUCUGUAGUAUCCGUGGCACACCUGGCCUGAGGUGUACCCGUAACCAAGAUAGUCGUGCACCGUCGUCAUCAGCGCGACUCUCAUAUGGAAAUACACUCCUUUGCGGGUGUCCCAUGUCCAUGCCGGUGUUUUCCAUAACGUGUCUAGCUCCUCUUUCAGAAGCCCCAUAUACAGGUUAAUAUUAUUUCCCGGUUGUUUCGGCCCUUGAAUCAGCAUGCUCAUGUGUAUGUACUUUGUCUUCAUGCACUUCCAUGGGGGGAAGUUGUACAUCCAUACAAAGACGGGCCAUGUGUUGUGGUUGGUGUUCUGGUUUCCAAACGGAUUCAUGCCAUCAGUACUCACACCAAGCACGAUGUUCCUUGGAUCUUCUACAGCAAAUCCAUAUACGGCUGUCGGUGCAACAAACCCUGGGUCUGUUGCCCAGACUGUGCAUAGGCACGUGUACAAGAUUGAAGCACCAGCCCAAGUCAGAGUACAAGGGAUCAAGAGAUUCGAAGGACCAACAUGCAGAUCAGAGGGACCAAGAUCAAGCCAGAGAAGCAAGAUACCACCAAGAGAAAAGCCUCCCUUGCCGGGUAGGCGAGCCCGGCAAGGGGCGAGGCCAUGCCCAGAAGCAGACAAUCCAAGACGUCCCGGCAGAGCCUGCCGUGGCUCACGGAGACGAGACCACCUCAUCAACCACUUCACCACUACCCACGUCGUCGAUCUGUGCGGUGUCAAGCGACAGAGUGACUAAGUGGCAGCCAUUCGCCACAUGGCAUCCUCUCUCUACAGGAAAAACCCACAGAUGACACCCGUCCUGCGACGUGUCAAACAAGCAGGCGUGGAGCUGGCAAGAUAGCCCGGCAAGCCUUGCUGGGCAACCAACGAUGUGACGUUGAGCGGUGCAUUUAAUGCGGCUUGUCAGCCCGCAGAGUUAGGUAUGAUAGCACUGUUGCUAUCUUAUCAUUGUGUAAUGAAUAAUUUUCUAUUGUGGUAACCCCUUGAUCUAUAAAAGGAGGCCCAUGGCAACUGUAGAAAGGGUUAGACGGUUGUAGAACUCACACCCCUAUACGCGCGUAGUCGCUGCUGCCCUGAGGCAACCCAUGCCGGGCAAGUGUACUACACUCCACCACCACCUUUCCACCAUCAAUCCACCAAAGCAGGAGUAGGGUUUUAUGCCUCACGGCGGCCCGAACCUUGGUAAAAUGCCCGUGUGAUCUCUGCCGUGCUGCCCCAUGUUGGUCUGCUCUUUGUGCAACGCGACGUCCCCCUGCCGAACCAGCAAGGGGCCUCCUGGUCCCAUAGGUGGCCGUCGUUUCCCACGACAUCUUUGGCACGCCAGGUAGGGGGCUCGCUUGCGCGAACCUGAAGGCGUGUGCAGCACGUCAUCUUCAUCACUAUUUUCGUCUUUGACGACACCAUCGACCAUGGCGCCCAAGAAGAAACCCGGUCCUCCGGCUCACCCAUCCACUUCGAAGGCUCCGCCGCAUGUGGCCUCCAAUGCUGCGGGGGGUGCGGAGACACACAACGAUGCGGACACUGCUGGGGAUGUGGUCGGAGCAGGCGGCGCCGUCACCACCUCCCCGGCGGCCGACGUGGGAGCAGGAGACGCCAGAGGAGAGCAACAUCAGGAACUCCCCGACGGCCAUGCUCCCCAAGGUACGGGUAAAGGGGUUACUCCAUUUGCGCCCCUCUCACCCACCGACGGGCACACAGCCACAACAACGGCGCUCGGGCCGGGGCGAACUGCCGCCCUCCGGCCGCCCCCACCACGGGUGCGGUCGCAGUGCGUGCACCUCCCCCGGGACGGGUCGACCAAGACGCUGCGCCCGACGGAGCCGCCGGCCCUCGAGCGCCUUCACUGCACCACAUCCAGGUGGUCGCUCCGCAGUAGCAGCGGGGGUGCAGUGCUACCGCUGCUGGCACCGUCAGGAGCCCAGCGACGGUGCGGUCGACUCCAUCAUCAGCCUUGCGAAGUACAGCUUCGGAGGCCAUGGUGUGAGCUCAGCUGCUACUGAGGUUUCCGCCAGCGGCCGAGCAGAUGGACGAAUGGCGUGCCACCAUCCAAAGUUUGCUCUGUUUCACUGAAGCUGAGGGCGCACGGCGAGCUGGCCCGCCACGACCUCCCCAAAUGACAGCGACAUCUCAUGCUGCUGGCCGUACGGAAGGGGCCAUCCCCGCGGUGCAGUCCCCGCCACGGCAGCUAGUGCGAGCGCCACAGAAUCAAGACCCCAACGACGUCUCGAUGGCCCCUUCUGACCCUCGAGCGCGUCCAGGCCAACGUCGAGCCCCGGAAGCUAGGCAGAGAGGGGACAUGCGCGUCGUCGUCGAGCAACGCCGUGACGACCUCCGCCGGACCGGCGGGUGCGACGGCCUCAACAUCGACGAGCCCGCACUUGGUGUUGGCGGGUGCCUACCUUUCGAGGUUGGCUGCCCUGCCUUCACACGUGAGCUCUGGCAGGUCCGUUGGCCGUCCGUUCGUGCGUUUAAGCCAAAGAUACCUAAGAAGUACGAUGGAAGGCUCAACCCAGCAGAGUUCCUGAGCAUCUACAUCAUCGCUGUUCAGGCUACCGGGGGAAGAGAUGAGAAGGUGUUUGCCAACUACUUCCCUUUGGCCCUCAAGUCCAAUGUGAGGUCUUGGCUGAUGCACCUACCGGAGAACUCCACUUCAUCAUGGGCUGACCUAUGCCACGAGUUCAUUGGCGCCUUCACUGGCAGUCAUCAAGAACCCGGCAGUCCCAGCGACUUGCAGCUUCUCCAACAAAAGGAAGGAGAAACCCUCCGUAAGUAUUUACAGAGAUUCAACAAAGUUCAUGGAAACAUCCCAAAUAUCCAUCCGGCAGCCGUGAUAGCUGCCUUCCAGUCCAAUGUGCGCAACCGCCGGAUCCGUUCCAAGAUGAACGUACGGUUGCCCAAGACAGUGCAUGAGCUUUACACAUUGGUGGAUAAGUGUGCCCGGAUGGAGGAGGGAAGGAAGUUUCCAGAGAGGAAGUUUGCACCAAUGUUGAUUCAGAGGAUGAUGAUGACUCAACUAGUCAGAAGAAGUGCAAGAAACGCAGUAAGAAGCAGAGAGAUAAGGCAGUGAUGACUGUUGAAGGUUCAGGUACGCCUAGUACCAGAAAGAAGGCCAAAGCUGAGGCCCCCGGCAAGGAGGACACCGUGUGCACUGACUGCUGGGAAGCCGCUGCUGCCGAGAAAGCCAGGAAAGGUGAUGGGCCGUACUUCAAGAUUCAUCGGACCAAGGGCCACGACCUUCAAGAGUGUUAUCAGGUUGAGUAGCUUGUCAAGAGACAGAGAUCAGAGUAUGAGAAGCGUGAUAAGGAAAAGGGUCAGAAUGUUGCUGGCGGUAAGGGCCGUGGUGGUGAAGUAAAUCGCCCCGACAAACCCUUUCGGAACCAAGAAAAGCUUGCUAGAGGUCGAGAGAAGGAAGCCUGUGAUGAUGAGAGUGAUGGAGGGGAUGAAGAGGAAACCAGUGAGCAGGAGUUUCAGGAGGCCACUGACGCCCUGUGUGUUGAUGGGGGUGCAUCUCUGCACACCUCUCACCGACAACUCAAGCGGUGGGCGCGAGAAGUCAAUGCCGUGGAACCAGCGCCAGAGGCCUGAAAGCCGCUCAAAUGGUCCCGUACGCCCAUCAUCUUUGACGAGGAGGAUCAUCCUAGCCAUACCACUGCGGUGGGAUGUUUGCUGUUGUUGGUCUCCCCAAUAGUUCGCAACUUCAAGGUCAUAAAGAUGCUUGUGGACGGUGGGGUUGGGUUGAAUCUGAUUUCCCCAGCAGUUAUGAUCAGCAAGCUUCAGAUAGCAGAGGAAGAGCUAGAGGUUACUGACACGUUUCAAGGAGUUAAUCCCGGCAGGAGCCAUCCUAAGGGAAAGAUCACGUUGCCGGUGACAUUUGCGGGAGAACUAAACUACCGGACUGAGAGGAUUGUGUUUGAUGUGCUCCAUCUCCCCCCGGCAUACAAUGGGAUUCUUGGAUGCCCGGCCUUGGCUAAAUUCAUGGCGGCAUCCCACUAUGCCUACAACACCUUGAAGAUGCCUGGGCCACUCGGAGUCAUCACCAUCCCAUCAGAUGAGAAGGAUGCAAUCAUUUGUGUGGACAAGAUGUACCGGAACACUGUCGCAGCAGAGGCAGCGGCGGCUCCCGCUAAGGAAAGCAAAGGAAAUAAGAGGGAUUGUAGGGACUCCAGCAAAGAUUCCGGGAAGCGUGCCCCCACCGAGUGCACGACACCCAUUGGCGACGUGCCUGAGUGUUCCCACAGCAAGAGAUCCAAGGUAGCUGCACCCCAAGUGAAGAAGGUCCUGGCAGGGCUGGCUGGCAUUGACGGUACUUUCACUAUCAGCGCCACCCUCGAUGACAAAUAGGAAAGCCCACUCGUUGCCUUCCUGCGAGCGAAUAUCGAUGUGUUUGCCUGGCAACCAUCUGAUAUCCCCGGUGUUCCAGGGAGGUAAUCGAGGACCACCUUGUUGUCUGCCCACACGCCCGACCUGUUAAGUAGAAAGUCUAGAAGCAGGCCUUGGAGAGGCAGUAGUUCAUUACAGAAGAGAUCAAGAAACUUGAGGCAGCUGGUUUGGUCAGAGGAGUGCUGCAUCCCACGUGGUUGGCAAAUCCAGUGGUAUUCCGGAAGGCUAACGAGAAGUGGAGGCUUUGCAUAGAUUUCACAUAUCUCAACAAAGCUUGCCCGAAGGACCUGUUUCGCUUGCCGCGUAUCUAUCAGAUUGUGGAUUCCACUUCAGGUUGUGAUUUGCUCUCCUUCUUGGAUGCAUAUUCUGGAUAUCACCAAAUCUUCAUAUCCAAGGAAGAUGAAGAGAAGACAUUGUUCAUCACUCCAUGUGGUACGUACUGUUUUAUCCGCAUGCCAUUCGGAUUAAAGAGUGUCGGGUCCACCUUUGCAAGAGCAGUCCAGAUUGUUUUUGAGCCACAGUUGCACAGAAAUAUAGAAGCCUAUAUGGAUGACAUUUGCUAAUCUGCACAAGAUCAAGGCCAAGUAUAGGGCCACCCUUAUUCAGGAUUUGGAGGAGACAUUUGCUAAUCUGCACAAGAUCAAUUUGAAGCUCAACCCAGAGAAGUGUGUAUUGUGUUCCCUCUGGUAAGCUGCUUGGGUUCUUCGUAUCCCAUACGGGAUCAAAGCCAACCCCCACAAGAUCAAAGCUAUUGAGCAGAUCCAAGCGCCAAGGACAGUUAAGGAUGUGAGGCGUCUGAUGGGAUGCAUUGCUGCGCUAAGCAGAUUCAUCUCCAAGUCUGCCGAGCGCGCCCUGCCGUUCUUCAAAAUUUUGAAGAAGGCAGGGCCCAUGAAGUGGACCCCAGAAGCAGAUGCAGCUUUGCAAGAGUUGAAGGCCUACUUGUCUUUUGUGCCUACCUUGGUUGCUCCCAAACCCCAGGAGCCGUUGCUGCUAUACCUAGCGGCAACCAACCAAGUGGUAAGUGCAGCCUUGGUAGCACAGCGAGAAGUGGAUGAGGCAAAGAGUGAACAGGGACCAGCAAGGUUAGAAAAGGACUGGGACAGCAAUCAGCACGGCAACGAGAGCAACCCCAAGGACGCGGCAAGGAAGAAAGUGGUGUAGCGCCCAGUGUACUUCGUCAGAUCCUUGUCACAGGGGCUACAUCGAGGUACUCUGGCGUGAAAAAGUUGAUCUUUGGUCUCAUUAUGGCCUCAAGGAAACUGCACCACUACUUCCAAGCCCAUGAGAUCACAGUUGUUACUCGUUUUCCGUUGCAAAGGAUACUCCGAAACCCUAAGGCUACUGGCAGAAUAGUGGAGUGGGCUUUGGAGUUAUCCAUCUUUGGUUUGAAGUUUGAGAGCACAUCAACUAUUCAGAGAGAGCAUUGGCAGAGUUUAUUGCAGAAUGGACGCCAACCCCUGAUGAGGAAGUGAUAGAGACAGUUAUACCCGGCAAGGAAUCGCCCCAAGAAUGGAUUAUGUAUUUUCAUGGUGCUUUUUCCCUACAAGGUGCAGGAGCUGGCGUGCUUCUUGUCGCCCCCUCCGGGAGAACUUCAAGUACGUCGUCCAAAUGCAUUUUUCCCGGGAAGAAGCAACCAACAAUACAACUGAGUAUGAAGGGCUCCUUGCCGAGCUCAGGAUUGCGGCUGAAUUGGGAAUUAAGAAGCUGAUCAUUUGAGGAGAUUCACAGCUUGUGGUGAGACAAGUCAACAAGGAUUACCAAAUUCCAUUGAUGGAGGCAUACGUCGAGGAAGUGACGAGAUUGGAGGAGCGCUUUGACGGAUUGCAAAGAAAGCACGUACCCUGUGCGGAAAAUAGCAUAGUUGAUCAUCUGUCAAAGUGUGUUGCGCAGAAGCUUCCUAUGGAACCAGGAACUUUUGUUCUCCAUCUCACUCAGCCCUCCAUAUCCCUAGCAAUAAUGGCCCGGAAAAGGAGAAAGUUGGACACCGGUAAGCCUCUCCCGGUAGAGCCGUCCGCUCCCGGCAGAGACCCUGCUGGAAACAACUCCUCACAGCCUGCCGGACCACACCCUCCAGUCGGGCCCAUGGACCCCGCGAACGAGGCUUGUGCUCCCGCAGCAGAGGAGGUGCCGCUAGUCCUCGUUGACGAGCCCAGGCUCCAACUUGGGCAAGGCACAUUGCCCACUUCCUCCAAACCGGAGAGCUUUCCGGCGACCAAGACGAAGCUGAAAAAGUAGCCCAGAGGGCCAGUAUCUAUUAGUUUUUCGAUGACACUCUGUACAGAAGGAGGACCAACGGUGUGAAAUUUAAGUGUGUCUACCGGGAAGAAGGAAAGGAACUGCUGGCUGAGAUUUACAAAGGCAUGUGCGGCUCCCACAUUGGAUCAAGGGCAUUAGUUGCGAAAGUAUUUCGGCAAGGAUUCUAGUGGCCCACAGCCCUCCAAGAUGCGGUCGAGCCAGUCACGAAAUGUGAAGCCUGCCAGUUCCAUUCCAAGGAAACCCACCUGCCUGCCCAAGCUCUUCAAACAAUCCCUCUAUCAAGGCCAUUUUCAGUCUGGGGGCUCGAUAUCCUCAGCCCCUUCCCUCGAGCAAUCGGGGGAUUUGAAUUCUUGUUCGUUGCCAUCGACAAGUUUACAAAGUGGCUGGAAGUGACUGCCUUGAGAAAGAUGACUGCUCACUCAGCUAUCAAGUUCUUGAAAGAUCCGGUGUGUCGUUUUGGAGUUCCGGCAAGGAUCAUUACCAACAACGGAACCCAGUUCACGAGCCGCGCCUUAAUGCCCUCGGAUGCAAGAUCUCAUUUGCCUCUGUGUCACACCCUCGGAGCAAUGGACAAGCUGAGAGGACGAACGCUGAAGUGCUACGCAAACUCAAGACAAGAACUUCUGAUACGCUGCAGAAGCACGGCAUGCUGUGGAUCGAGGACCUGCCGGUAGUUCUCUGGUCCCUCCGAAUGACACCAAAUCGAGCUACCAGGCAGACUCCCUUCUCCCUGGUCUACGGGGCAGAAGCAGUUAUCCCCAUAAAACUCAUUUACGGGUCGCCUCGAGUGCUUGCCUACGUUGAAGUAGCGCAAGAUCAGCACUGGUUUGACGAUGCUGUGCUACUCGAGGAGAACCGUCUUCAGGCUGCUACGCGUGCUGCACGCUAUCAGCAAGCCCUGCGUCGCUAUCAUAGCCGCAGGGUUCACGCCCGGUGUUUUGAGGAAGGUGACCUUGUCCUUAGGCGCGUUCAGUCUGCAGAGGGUACAAACAAGUUGUCACCGAAGUGGGAAGUCCCUUACCGGGUAGUACGAGCCACCAGACCCGGCGCUGUCUGUCUGGAGACCGGAGAUAGCACUCAGUUGCAAAACUCAUGGAAUAUUGAGCAUCUCUGCAAGUUCUACCCGUAAGGCGCGGCUGUCGGGCCCUGCCCGGCAGCCACCCCUUUGUACAGGCCUUGCCUCAGCUGCAUGUAACCCCUUGUACAAAGUCGGGGCGAUGACCCCGUGCAAGAGAAAAUAAAGAAGCGCUGUGGGGGGCCCCGACCAAGUUUGCAUGCAUGCAUGAGCAUUCCAAGAUCACUGCAUCAGCAUUUCAUGAGCAUUUGCAUAUGCAUAUAGAUAGGAUCGCAUCUUGCAUUCACUCUCAUCUGCAUGAAGCUGGAGGUUCUUGCCGUGAACUCGGCUUUGACAAGGAGUUGAGAAGAUUGCCCGGCACAACGAUCCCCGGCAAGCCAGACAAAUAAGUUCUACCUCCUGUCCAUUAGUGUUCUGUAAGUUAUAACUUGUGCAUAAGAAAACCUUGCCACUCUUUUGAAACUUUGGUGCUCCCAUCCCUGACUCGAACGUUGCUUUAGUCAGAAUGGUUGAAGUGGACUUUGGUAAAAAGAAGUUGGCUGGGGGGCUGGUCCCUCUAUCUGUUCCCCGGUAGACGCAGCUCUCCAGCAGACAUGAGGGUACCGGAAGGAUAGCCUGCCGGAAAAAACUCAUUUAUUUACAUUAAAGAGGCAUCUCGCCUCUGCAUGGACAUACACAUGCACGGGUUUCCGACAAGGUUCAUCUUUUUUAUUAAUACGCUGAUACAAGUACAAGCAUUACAUAAUACAAAUAUGGACUCGAGAGAUUACAUUAUUCAAAUUAAAAUUUGGCAAAUGCCUACAGAUUUAAGAUUGAAAGAAGAUAAGUGCUCCGUAAUGCCCUUUCUUGUCCCUCUCCUCCGAGGCACGGCCGUCGAAGGUGAGGAGGGCAAAAGGAGCGCCUGGGAAGGAGCCCAACCCGCUCCCCUCGGGCUCCAGGAGAGGUAGCCUGACGGGAAAGGGAGCACGAGGGAACGCCUCGAUGGAGAGCACGGCGGAGGCGACCCCUUCGACCACCGCCACCAGGGCCAGCAGGACACGACAGGGCUAACGGAGCUGCAACCCGAGAGGAAGCCUACCGGGGUCUAGCUGGAAGACUGCUGGAGGAGCCCGGGAACACCAUCCCCACCUCUGCAUCCAACUCCCCGGCAAAUCGCGCUGUUGGGAAGGAGAUGUGGAUGCAGAUGAUGGUGCUGCCACCUGAUGAAGAUGGUGUGGGCGGCGAUCAGCCAGAGUCAGAGUCGUCGCUCUCCCGCCCGCUGCCGUCAUCAUCGCCGUCACUGUCCUCCUCGUUGCUCCCACUCGGGGAGGAGCUUUCGUCGUCGGUCGAGCUCUCCGCGCAACACCCUAAGCGACCUCCCAAGCGCCCGAAGAUCUUGACAGAAAGCAAGCCGUUCUCCAUUAAUUUGAACUGGAGAACGUGCCCCUUUGAGAAGCCAUGAGCAUGGGCGAAGGUUUUCCAACCGAGGCGGAGGUACAUUACGUGAGGGGCGGGGAAGUCAACAUCAACUCGCAUACCGCCGUUCCCAUAGCCCCUCAUGUGCAUCCUCAGAGCACGUGGUGUUUGAGCUCCAUCUCCCGCGCGAAGGGAGUUGGGAAGCGAAGAUGACCACACAAGGGCUUGUAUAGCCUGGUGAUGAAUGAUACGUCUACAACGUAUCUAUAAUUUUUGAUUGUUCCAUGCUAUUAUAUUAUCGGUUUUGGAUGUUUAAUGGGCUUUAAUAUGCUCUUUUAUAUUAUUUUUGGGACAAACCUAUUAACCAAAGGCCCAGUCCCAGUUUCUGUUUUUUUUCUAUUUCAGUGUUUUGCAGAAAAUGAAUACCAAACGGAAUGAAACCUUCAUGAUGAUCUUUCUUGGAAUGAAAGCAAUCCAGAAGACUUGGAGUUGAAGUCUGGAACUCCGCGAGGCAACCACGAGGCAGGAGGGCGCACCCAGGGGGGUAGGCGCACCCCCACCUUCGUGGGCCCCAUGGAGCUCCACCGACGUAGGUAUUUCGCCUAUAUAUACUCUUAUACUCUAAAAACAUUAGGGGGGGCAUGAAACCACUUUUCCACCGCCGCAACCUUCUGUACCCGUGAGAUACCAUCUUGGGGCCUUUUCCAGCGCUCUGCCGGAGGGGGAAUCGAUCACGGAGGGCUGCUACAUCAACACCAUAGCCUCUCCGAUGAUGUGUGAGUAGUUUACCACAGACCUUCGGGUCCAUAGUUAUUAGCUAGAUGGCUUCUUCUCUCACUUUGAUUCUCAAUACAAAGUUCUCCUCGAUGUCCUUGGAGAUCUAUUCGACGUAAUACUCUUUUGCGGUGUGUUUGCUGAGAUCCGAUGAAUUGUGGAUUUAUGAUCAAGAUUAUCUAUGAAUAAUAUUUGGUUCUUCUCUGAAUUCUUAUAUGCAUGAUUUGAUAUCUUUGCAAGUCUCUCCGAAUUAUCGGUUUAGUUUGGCCUACUAGAUUGAUCUUUCUCGCAAUGGGAGAAGUGCUUAGCUUUGGGUUCAAUCUUGCGGUGUCCAUUCCUAGUGACAGUAGGGGCAGCAAGGCACGUAUUGUAUUGUUGCCAUCGAGGAUAAAAAGAUGGGGUUUAUAUCAUAUUGCUUGAGUUUAUCCCUCUACAUCAUGUCAUCUUGCUUAAUGCGUUACUCUGUUCUUAUGAACUUAAUACUCUAGAUGCAUGCUGGAUAGCGGUCGAUGUGUGGAGUAAUAGUAGUAGAUGCAGAAUCGUUUCGGUCUACUUGACACGGACGUGAUGCCUAUAUUCAUGAUCAUUGCCUAGAUAUUCUCAUAACUAUGCGCUUUUCUAUCAAUUGCUCGGCAGUAAUUUGUUCACCCAUUGUAAUACAUGCUAUCUUGAGAGAAGCCACUAGUGAAACCUAUGGCCCCCGGAUCUCUUUCUUAUUAUAUUGCAUCUCUUUUAUUUACAUCACAUCUCGUUUACUAUUUUGCAUUCUUUAUUUUUCCAAUCUAUACAACAAAAAUACCAAAAAUAUUUAUCUUACUAUCUUUAUUAGAUCUCACUUUUGCGAGUGACCGUGAAGGGAUUGACAAGCCCUUUAUCGCGUUGGUUGCAAGGUUCUUGAUUAUUUGUGCAGGUACUAGGUGACUUGUGUGUUAUCUCCUACUGGAUUGAUACCUUGGUUCUCAAAAACUGACGGAAAUACUUACGCUACUUUGCUGCAUCACCCUUUCCUCUUCAAGGGAAAACCAACGCAUGCUCAAGAGGUAGCAAGAAGGAUUUCUGGCGCCGUUGCCGGGGAGAUCUACGCUCAACUCAGGACAUACCAAGUACCUAUCAUACACUCUUCUCCCUCGCAUUACAUUAUUUGCCAUUCGCCUCUCGUUUUCCUCACCCCCACUUCUAAAACGAUUUUCGAAAACCUUUGCCUUCUCUCGUUGUCCUCUUGUUUGCUUAAGUUUGCCUUUCUAUCGCUAUGGCUGAACCAAAAGGGGCUAAGGGUUUUCUCCCGGGUUUUAAUACUUUGGAUAGUCCCUCUGUCCUUUCUAAGCUCAUAAAUAAUGAUGCUAUGGAAAGACCUACCGGGAUUAUCAAUGAGAGUUUGAAUAAUUUUGAUCAAGAUGACCCAGGAAUUUUCCGUUAUUUGCUUGAUGAAUCUUUGAAAGAUGCUUGUUCUUAUGUUGGGUUACCCUCCUAUUUCAAGCAAGUUUUGGAUUCUAUUUUUGAAGAAGGUUUUCUUGAGGGGGAUGCCAUCGACACCUAUGAAAAGAUGAAAGCUAUAUUUGGGCACCCCAUGAGUGAAAAGGUUGAAUCCACCUCUCUUUUGUGUUUUUAUCAGAAUGAAAUUAUCAAAGAGAUAAGGCUAGCUUAGAUGCAGAUUUUCAUAGUGUGCUUAAUCUUUCUUCUACCAUUAAUGGCCACGUGCUUUCGCAAAAUAGAAAAUAAGUGCUUUAGACAAGAAAUUCUCUCUUUAUCACAAAAAGGGAGAAGAUGGCAAUACCUAGAUCUAUUCAUGCUUUAUGCCUAGCUAGGGGCGUUAAACGAUAGCGCUUGUUGGGAGGCAACCCAAUUUUAUUUUUGUUCUUUGCUUUCUGUUCCUGUUUAGUAAUAAAUAAUUAAUCUAGCUUCUGUUUAAAUGUGGUUUUAUGUUUUAAUUAGUGUUUGUGCCAAGUAGAACCUUUGGGAAGACUUGGGUGAAUUCUUCGCGAACUUGCUGUAAAAAACAGAUACUUUUGCGCUCACGAGAUUAGCUGUCAUUUUUUUACUGGAGAGUGAUUUUAGAUUGAUUCUUUUUGCAGAUGAUUAAUAGACAAAUUCCUCACGUCCGCCAAUUUAUUUCAGAAUUGUUGGAGUUACAGAAGUAUUCGUUUGAAUCAUAUUGCCACAGACUAUUCUGUUUUGACAGAUUCUGUUUUUCGUGUGUUGUUUGCUUAUUUUAAUGAAUCUAUGAGUAGUAUCGGGGGGUAUGAACCAUAGAGAAGUUGGAAUACAGUAGUUUCAACACCAAUAUAAAUAAAGAAUGAUUUCAUUACAGUAACUUAAAGUGGUGGUUUGUUUUCUUAUACUAACGGAGCUCAUGAGAUUUUCUGUUAAGUUUCGUGUUGUGAAGUUUUCAAGUUUUUGGGUAAAGAUGUGAUGGAUUUUGGAAUAAGGAGUGGCAAGAGCCUAAGCUUGGGGAUCCCCAAGGAACCCCAAGGUAAAAUUCAAGGACAACCAAAAGCCUAAGCUUGGGGAUGCCCCAGAAGGCAUCCCCUCUUUCGUCUUCGUCUAUCGGUAACUUUACUUGAGGCUAUAUUUUUAUUCACCACAUGAUAUGUGUUUUGCUUGGAGCGUCUUGUAUGAUUUGAGUCUUUGCUUUUUAGUUUACCACAAUCAUCCUUGCUUUACACACCUUUUGGGAGAGACACGCAUGAAUCGGAAUUUAUUAGAAUACUCUAUGGGCUUCACUUAUAUCUUUUGAGCUAGAUAAUUUUGCUCUAGUGCUUCACUUAUAUCUUUUUAGAGCACGGUGGUGGUUUUGUUUUAUAGAAAUUAUUAAUCUCUCAUGCUUCACUUAUAUUAUUUUGAGAGUCUUUUAGAACACCAUGGUAAUUUGCUUUGGCUAUAAAAUUAGUCCUAAUAUGAUGAGCAUCCAAGAUGGGUAUAAUAAAAACUAUCAUAUAAAGUGCAUUGAAUACGAUGAGAAGUUUGAUGCUUGAUGAUUGUUUUGAGAUAUGAAGAUGGUGAUUUUAGAGUCAUGCUAGCUGAGUAAUUGUGAAUUUGAGAGAUACUUGUGUUAAGGUUUGUGAUUCCCGUAGCAUGCACGUAUGGUGAACCAUUAUGUGAUGAAGUCGGAGCAUGAUUCAUUUAUUGAUUGUCUUCCUUAUGAGUGACGGUCGGAGACGAGCGAUGGUCUUUUCCUACCAAUCUACCCCCCUAGGAGCAUGCGCGUAGUACUUCGUUUGGAUAACUCAUAUAUUUUUACAAUAAGUAUGUGAGUUCUUUAUGACUAAUGUUGAGUCCAUGGAUUAUACGCACUCUCACCCUUCCACCAUUGCUAGCCUCUCCAAUACCGCGCACCUUUCGCCGGUAUCAUACACCCACCAUAUACCUUCCUCAAAACAGCCACCAUACCUACCUAUUAUGGCAUUUCCAUAGCCAUUCCGAGAUAUAUUGCCAUGCAACUUUCCACCGUUCCGUUUAUUAUGACAUCCUCCAUCAUUGUCAUAUUGCUUUGCAUGAUCAUGUAGUUGAUAUCGUAUUUGUGGCAAAGCCACCGUUCAUGAUUUUCAUACAUGUCACUCUUGAUUCAUUGCACAUCCCGGUACACCGCCGGAGGCAUUCACAUAGAGUCAUAUUUUGUUCUAAGUAUUGAGUUGUAAUUCUUGAAUUGUAAGUAAAUAAAAGUGUGAUGAUCAUCAUUAUUAGAGCAUUGUCCCAGUGAGGAAAGGAUGAUAGAGACUAUGAUUCCCCCACAAGUCGGGAUGAGACUCCGGACGAAAAAAAAAGAGGCCAUAAAAAAAGAGAAAGGCCCAAAUAAAAAAAUAAAAAAAUGAGAGAAAAAGAGAGAAGGGACAAUGCUACUAUCCUUUUUCCACACAUGUGCUUCAAAGUAGCACCAUGAUCUUCAUGAUAAAGAGUCUCCUAUGUUGUCACGUUUAUACUAGUGGGAAUUUUACAUUAUAGAACUUGGCUUGUAUAUUCCAUUGAUGGGCUUCUUCAAAUUGCCCUAGGUCUUCGUGAGCAAGCAAGUUGGAUGCACACCCACUUAGUUUCUGUUGUUGAGCUUUCAUACACUUAUAACUCUAGUGCAUCCGUUGCAUGGGAAUCCCUACUCACUCACAUUGAUAUCUAUUGAUGGGCAUCUCCAUAGCCCGUUGAUACGCCUAGUUGAUGUGAGACUAUCUUCUCCUUUUUGUCUUCUCCACAACCACCAUUCUAUUCCACAUAUAGUGUUAUGUCCAUGGCUCACGCUCAUGUAUCGCGUGAAAGUUGAAAAGGUUUGAGAACAUCAAAAGUAUGAAACAAUUGCUUGGCUUGUCAUCGGGGUUGUGCAUGAUUUAAAUAUUUUGUGUGAUGAAGAUAGAGCAUAGCCAGACUAUAUGAUUUUGUAGGGAUAACUUUCUUUAGCCAUGUUAUUUCGAGAAGACAUGAUUGCUUUAUUAGUAUUCUUGAAGUAUUAUUGUUUUUAUGUCAAUAUUAAACUUUUGUCUUGAAUCUUUCGGAUCUGAACAUUCAUGCCACAAUAAAGAAAAUUACGUUGAAAAUUAUGUUAGGUAGCAUUCCACAUCAAAAAUUCUGUUUUUAUCAUUUACCUACUCAAGGACAAGCAGGAAUUAAGCUUGGGGAUGCUUGAUACGUCUCCAACGUAUCUAUAAUUUUUUUAUUGUUCCAUGCUAUUAUAUUAUCUAUUUUGGAUGUUUAAUGGGCUGUAAUAUGCUCUUUUAUAUUAUUUUUGGGACUAACCUAUUAACCAAAGGCCCAGUACCAGUUUCUGUUUUUUUUGCCUAUUUCAGUGUUUUGCAGAAAAGGAAUACCAAACGGAAUCCAAACAGAAUGAAACCUUCGCGAUGAUCUUUCUUGAAACGAAAGCAAUCCAGAAGACUUGGAGUUGAAGUCUGGAACUCCGCGAGGCGGCCACGAGGCAGGAGGGUGCGCCCAGGGGGUAGGCGCGCCCCCCACCCUCGUGGGCCCCACGGAGCUCCACCGACGUACUUCUUUCGCCUAUAUAUACUCUUAUACCCUAAAAACAUCAGGGGGAGCCACGAAACCACUUUUCCACCGCCGCAACCUUAUGUACCCAUGAGAUCCCAUCUUGGGGCCUUUUCCGGCGCUCUGCCGGAGGGGGAAUCGAUCACGGAGGGCUUCUACAUCAACACCAUAGCCUCUCUGAUGAUGUGUGAGUAGUUUACCACAGACCUUCGGGUCCAUAGUUAUUAGCUAGAUGGCUUCUUCUCUCUCUUUGAUUCUCAAUACAAAGUUCUCCUCGAUGUUCUUGGAGAUCUAUUCGAUGUAAUACUCUUUUGCAGUGUGUUUGCCGAGAUCCAAUGAAUUGUGGAUUUAUGAUCAAGAUUAUCUAUGAAUAAUAUUUGGUUCUUCUUUGAAUUCUUAUAUGCAUGAUUUCAUAUCUUUGCAAGUCUCUUCGAAUUAUCGGUUUAGUUUGGCCUACUAGAUUGAUCUUUCUUUAAAUGGGAGAAGUGCUUAGCUUUGGGUUCAAUCUUGCGGUGUCCUUUCCCAGUGACAGUAGGGGCAGCAAGGAUUGUUGCCAUCGAGGAUAAAAAGAUGUGGUUUAUAUCAUAUUGCUUGAGUUUAUCCCUCUACAUCAUGUCAUCUUGCUUAAUGCAUUACUCUGUUCUUAUGAACUUAAUACUCUAGAUGCAUGCUGGAUAGCGGUCAAUGUGUGGAGUAAUAGUAGUAGAUGCAGAAUCGUUUCGGUCUACUUGACACAGACGUGAUGCCUAUAUUCAUGAUCAUUGCCUAGAUAUUCUCAUAACUAUGCGCUUUUCUAUCAAUUGCUCGGCAGUAAUUUGUUCACCCACCAUAAUACAUGCUAUCUUGAGAGAAGCCACUAGUGAAACAUAUGGCCCCCGAGUCUCUUUCUUAUUAUAUUGAAUCUCUUUUAUUUACAUCACAUCUCGUUUACUAUUUUGCAAUCUUUAUUUUCCAAUCUAUACAACAAAAAUACUAAAAAUAUUUAUCUUACUAUCUUUAUUAGAUCUCACUUUUGCGAGUGACCGUGAAGGGACUGACAACCCCUUUAUCGCGUUGGUUGCAAGGUUCUUGAUUGUUUGUGCAGGAACUAGGUGACUUUUGUGUUAUCUCCUACUGGAUUGAUACCUUGGUUCUCAAAAACUGAGGGAAAUACUUACGCUACUUUGCUGCAUCACCCUUUCCUCUUCGAGGGAAAACCAACGCAUGCUCAAGAGGUAGCAAUGAACUCCCAAGGUUGGUCCCUGACGUGGCCUUCCAUCGGGGGAGGAGCCGCCGGUGGGGGCGCAGCCAAGGCGCCGCCCCGCCCUCCUCCUCCUCGAGCACCGCGGCGACCUUGACCCCGUCCCCUUCCUCCUCCCCUCACGGUGGGUUCCACCACCACAGGAUCUGGGGGAGGAGGGACGCACUGUCGAGCAGACGCCAUCGUCGCCGCCGCCAGGACACCGCUACGCCCUCGCCCUCUCACCAUGGCUACAAGGGAAGGGUUGCGGAGAAGAAGAAGAAGAAGAAGUGUGUGCAGAGAGGCGCCGCCCCUGCCCCUUUUUAUAGGGGGACGAGGCAGGGGGCUGGCUCCUCAUGCAGGGAAUGGCCGCCCCGCUCCUCCAAUGCGGCCUCUCUGCGCCCUCUGUAGCUCUGAGAACCAAGGCCGACCCUCUGCUCCAACCAGCAGUGCUCGGUUUUUGGCCAUGGCACUCCUCCCCGUGCCCUCUGCAUCCACCACCAACCACACCCAAUGCAUGCGGAACACGUGGCAGAUGCAUGCGGAACUGGAGGCAAUUGGGAUGGCAGUUUCCGCCCCGUGAUCGUGGGGCAAGGAGAAUCCACAGGCCACGAUCAAAGUUCUUCCACAACAUUGCGCACAACGCGCGGAGAAACCGGAAACUGGCCCGGAAUCAAGACUGAUGAAGAAGCAAAGAAGACCUCAAGAGACCAGCCUCUUCAGCAACCCCGCCUAUGCACUUAUUAGGCCCUACCCCGACGACGCUCGGCAACGCGUUCGGGGCAGGCCCGAGGGCUUAUAUCGGUGCAACAAAUCCUGAGUCUGUUUCCCAGACUGUGCGCAGGUGUGACACCCAAAUUUUUUUUUGGCUUUUUCAAACUUUUAUUUGAUUUGAGGGAGCUUAUUCAAAAAAAUUCUUCUAAAAGAACUCUCCCUCUCAAAAAAUUUCUUUUAUAACAAGUAUUUGGUUUAAAUUCACCCAAGACUUGAUUUUGGUCUUGGAGGUUUUUCCACCUUAUGUUGACCAAUCACAAAUGUUUUUCAUUUGGAAAGAGUUUUUGAAAAUCUUUUUAAAUGGCCCUAUGGCUUUUGGAGUGAUCUUUUCCCCUUUCAAAAAUCCACUCUUGCCAUGACAUGAGUGGAAAUCCCCUCCCAAAAGCCAUCUCCCAUCUUUGUGUCAAGAUAUACUUCAAAUCCAGCAAGUUGAACCUCCCCAUAAAUUUUUCUUCCAUUUAUUUCCUAUCAAAAAUAUUUUCUGCCCUCUACUUUAGCUCUUGGAGAUUUACAAAGGGACUACCAUUUCUACUUUGAGUUUGGCCUCCAAACAAAUUUCCUUGGCUAGUCCUUAGAACCCUCAACCAAGAUCCAUGAUGAUCCACUCGUCUCCAGUUCAAAAAUUUCAAGUUGUGCUUGCUGCAAGUUUGGACCAUAUUUGCCAAAUUUGAUGAAAUUCAUUUGUUUUCUCCUCCUAAAAAUCUGAGAAAAUUCAGGCAGCCUCUGGAUGCAUUGAGAGGUCACCUCACCAAGUCCCAGCUCCAGAAAAAAAUUUCUUCAUGCCAAAUCAUUUCGUCGAACACCUGAAGGGCACUGUUACUGUCAAUGUUCAGAGAUUCAGAGUUACAGUUUCAGUGAGCACCGUCGUUUUCUUCAGAACCCGUUCUCGAUCUCGCCAGUAGCCGCGGUGGCGCCGUGCGCCCUGUGCUUCCUUCUUAUCCCUGCGCCGCAUGAACGCCUGGAAGUUUGUGGGCGUCGGCGACGAGCAGGAGGAGGUGCGCCACCCCGUGAGCGACGGCAGCAGCGGCCUUUGCGGCUGCCAGAGAGGCGCAGCGUUGGACGGUGCCGUCCAGCGCCGCCCAAGCCACCAGAGGCCACCGCGUGGCCAUCCACUCACCCGUGAACGCUGCAGUCCGUCGUCGUGAACUGGUAGGCGCGGAGCGCCCUCACUGCCGCCGCCAUGCCCGUACGGCCGUCCCGUCGAGGAUCGGCGCAUUACGGCUAGCCCGACCGAGGUUUGGCGGGGGAACGGCACCAGUGAUCCUCCCUGAUGGUGCCUAGCCGCUUAAACCCCCUGCCCAACCUCUGCCUCGCUGUAAUCGCUCGCCGGAGAUAUCCCGUUCACGGCCACCCCCUCGGAUCGCCUAUAAAAGGAGGUCCCGAGCUUGAACUCGAACCUGCACCACCUCUGCACACCUCCAAUACCACGCCAAGCCACUGGAAGAGCCCCGAGGGAGCCUUCUUCCCCAACUCCAGCAGCAUCGACCCGCCACGGGAUCUAGCUCGAUUCACCCCCGUGCGUGCACCCCUACCUCUCAGCUCUUGCCAGUAACCUCCUAGUACAUCCACUCUUCUGACCCGCGCAUCAAUUUGGAGUUUGCAGCACCCACCGGAGUACUCCACCAUCGCCCGAACCACCGUCCGCCGGAGAAAGUGUCGCCGUCGACGUGGUGCUCUCCGACGGCCAAGUCCACCACCCACCGACGCAGAAGAUCACCCUGAACCUAUUGGUACCCUCCGACCUCUCUGCCUCGCUGUGGUUCAACGCCGGCGACCACCGCAGCCUUCGGGCGCCGGCGAGCUUCGUUGGGAGUUUUAAACCUGACGGGUGGGACCCCCCCAUCAGCCUCUCUUCUUUCCCCCCCUCGAACCGUUUUCUGAUAGCGCCUUCGGGCAAAAUGCGUUUUCUCUUUGGGCUGGCGCAUUUCAUUCCGAACCGUUUUCUGUUUUCUCAAACAAGUCCCUGGAUCUUUUCUGUUUCAUCACAGAUCAGUCCCUGGACUAAAACCCUUAUAUCUUUUUAAUAAAAGAUGAUUUUUGAUUGAUUCUUUUUCUGUAAGUCUUGUAUUUUUGUCUAGUUUUUUAUAGUAUUUAUUUGGAAAAAAUUUGGAACAAUUUUUAUGCACGCGACGAUUUUCACGUUAGUGUACGGUUUCGUUAUACCGUAGGUUCCGGAGGAGGUGACGGAGCCGCGAACUUCGCCGAGCUAGACUCCGACUUCUCCGAACCAGGCAAGCAUGUUUGAACCUUUGAUAUGAUAGGUGUUUUGCAUGUUUGCUGAAAUGGUUUGUGCAUGGCAUAUGAGCAUCGGUGAGUAUUACGUUGCAUGCAAGGCAACCAACCGUGUGUUUCGAAGUUACAGUGAUCUUUGAUGAGAGAUGACUUGAUCAUGUAGUGACAUGAAAGUUAGUAAGAUGGUAUUGUUGUAGCAUGCCAGUCUUGCGUCAUCCGAUAAACUCCGACGUUAGCGUGGACUGAGCCACAUUACCGUUCUCCCCCCUUUCGUGCUGCCACAUGUUUUCUGCAAAGAGUACGGUUUAGUAAGUUGUUAACCUCUUUCCUUGUACACACCAAAUAGAGGGGCCGGGAUGAGGGUUCCAUGGCCCUGGAUUAAAGCCAGUCAUCCGGUCAGGGGGCAUGGGUGUUUCCAGUUGGGACCGAGAGGGGGGCACCACUUAGAGCGCGCGGUAUAAAUUUGAUCCCAUGCUACGCGAGGUUGUAGCCUCCCCGUCUCAAAGUUUUUCUUGAAUGUUGCCGAGGGUGAUUCCUGGCAUCGGAAUGUUGAAUGGGUGUGUACACGUUAGAUGUGUUUCUCCUAAAACACCGUAAACGGAACUAGUCCCCUUGUGACUACCGAAAUCCGUUGGCUGUGGUUAAAUAGUACAAACUCUGCAGAGUCAAAUCCUUCCGAGUCAUCGUGUCCAAGGUCAAGGACCAUGGCCAGUAUAUCCAUAUCCAUGUCGGUCCCUAUGUCAGUCUUCGUGGUAAAUCCCCGGUGAACCAGCUUGAGUGGUAAACCCGGUUGAAUUGUUAUUCCUGUAGAUGGACUAACCUUUUAUUUAUCUCGUAUCUGAAUAUUCCCUUGCAAUGAUUUAAAUUCAUGAGCUACUGAAAUAUUAAGUUAUGAAAUAUAAGCCCUUUAUGUGAUGUCGCUUAGACGUCCGACUGUGGCACUCUUGUCAUUUACUUUCAAUAUAAGCCCUUUAUGUGAUGUCGCUCAGACGUCCGACUGUGGCACGCCCGUUAUUUACUUUUGAUAUAAGCCCUUUACGUGAUGUCGCUCAGACGUCCGACUGUGGCACGCACUGUCAGUUAUAUUCCAUUAUAAGCCCUUUAUGUGGUGUCGCCUUGACGCCCGACUGCGGCAUUGUUAUUUCUUUGUAUCCUUUCGAGGAGUCAUUCAGACACUCGAUUGGCCUUCAGUAUUACAUUGGGAUUUCGGGAGGACUACCGCCUGACUUCUCUUUUAUUUCCCAUGCAUUGCUAUCUCAUUGUCGGAGUGCACUCCAUUAAUCUGUUCAUAUGCAUCAUGUUUACAUUUGUUAUAUCUUAUGUCCGAACUGUCUUGCGAGUACUUUCAUAGUACUCACCUGGCUUGUUGAUUUGGCCAGAUGUUGACGAAGGCGAUCUCAUGGAUGAAGAGUUUGAUAGUGAGUCCGACGCCUAGAGGAAUCCCAGUCAGUCCCGUGUGAUCCUGGAUAUUGGUCACUUGUAUUAUAUACGCUUCCGCCACCCACAAUAAGAAUCCUCGAGCCUCACUCCGACGCUCGAAGAGCUGUUAGAUUCAGGAGUCAUGUCACCCACUUCGCUGUGACAUAUCCGCCACCGCUUUUAUUUUGAGUCAGUAGUUAUGCCACCCUAUCCGCCGUUAUGUGUAAUAUUGGCGUGCUUGUAAUAAAUUGUUGGGCAGCCUCCGCUCAACCUUGUAUUAUGUUUAGUACUCCUGGUUUUCUUCUGUGAUCAAGAAUUUGUCUACUAGUGAGAAGGAUUCUUCUCCACUGGUCCGUAAAAGGGAUCGGUUUCUGAAUAAAUAGUUUUAUUGGAAAACCGGUCGUGAUAGCAGGCAUGCGUACAAUAUUGAGGCACCAGCCCAAGUCAGAGUACAAGGGAUCAAGAGAUUCGAAGGACCAACAUGCAGAUCAGAGGGAUCAAGAUCAAGCCAGAGAAGCAAGAUACCACCAACAGAAAAGCCUCCCUUGCCGGGCAGGUGAACCCGGCAAGGGGCCAGGCCACGCCCAGAAGCAGACAAGCCAAGACGUCCCGGCAGGGCCUGCCGGGGCUCACGAAGACGAGACCACCUCACCAACCACUUCACCACGACCCACGUCAUUGAUCGGUGCGGUGUUAAGCCGCAGAGUGACUAAGUGGCAGCCAUUCGCCACAUGGCAGCCUCUCUCUACAGGAAAAGCCCACAGAUGACACCCGUCCUGCGACGUGUCAAACGAGCAGGCGAGGAGCUGGUAAGAUAGCCCAUGGCAACCGUAGAAAGGGUUAGAAGGUUGGGGAACAUACACCCCCAUAGGCGCGUGGUCGCUGCUGCCCUGAGGCAACCCUUGCUGGGAAUGUGUACUACGCUCCACCACCACAUUUCCAGCAUCAAUCCACCAAAGCAGGAGUAGGGUUUUACACCUCACGGCGGCCCGAACCUGGGUAAAAAUGCCCGCGUGAUCUCUGUCGUGCUGCCCCAUGUUGGUCUGCUCUUUGUCCAACGCGACGUCCCCCUGCCGAACCAGCAAGGGGCCUCCUGGUCCCAUAGGUGGUCGUGGUUUCCCGCGACAACGGCGUUGAAUGCUCUCCACUGGCUACCAUCUACGAGGUGUCUCAGCUCCGGAUCAUCUCCAUUGUCGGGCUUCUUCCUCUCCACGAGCCAGCGCAUGAGCUUUGCUUCCUUAGGAUCUACAAAAUACGGCUGCAGUCGGGGAGUGAUCAGAAAGUACCAUACAACUUUCUAAGGAGCUUUCUUUCUUGCCUUCUUGUAUCGAGAAGCAUUGCACACUGGACAGCUAGUUUUUUCCGUGUGCUCCCCCCGAUAAAUGAUGCAAUCGUUGAUGCAUGCGUGGUACCUAAUGUGCGGCAAAUUAAUAGGGCAAACGUUUUUCUUGGCCUCCUCCACACUAUAGGACACAGGUUCCCCGCGGGAAGAACUUUAUUAUGUAGAUACUUCAAAUGCUCAUCGAGGCUUUUGUCUAUCCAUUUGUUUUUGGCCUUCGUCUUUAGAAGUUCGAGCGUGAAACUCAAGCGGGUCACCUCGGGAUCGCAACCGUCAUACAAUGGAGUCUUCGAGUCUACUUCAAGUUGCGCCAGCUUGGCCUCCUCUCUAGAAGCAGCUCUCUCGCUAGUUGUACUCUUGCGAAGGAGGUCUCGAACAUGAGGGUCCUGCACAACUGCACUUAGUAGCAUCGAAGACUAUGGCGUGACCGCCGCCUCUUCUCCGCCAUGUCUGGACUUUUCUUUGCCAUGUCCGGAAUUUUCUCCGCCGCCGUCAUUUCCGGACUCUUCCCCGCCGCCAUGUCCGGCGCCAUCGUCUUCGUGUCGAUCGGUCAUCUCUUCGUCUAGCCCCAUGUCGCCGUUAUUCCCUGCCAUGUAGACGUCCUCAUCAUCAUCUUCUUCUUCACUUAUCCACCGAGUAUAGCCAUCCAUGAAACCAUUCAUCAGCAGGUGCGCCUUCAAAGAGCCACGAUCAAAAGGGUCCAAAAGGACUCCUUCUUUGCAUCUUGCACACGGACAUCUAAUCCUAGUCCGAUUAUUUGCAUACAUGUCCAUCACCGUGGAUUGCAUGUAUCGCUCCACGUUCCAUCCACUCACCUUCAUGACCGACUGCACGGUAUAACAAGUAAGAGGGUUAUAAACAAAAUGCAUGCAUGCAUCAAAGUCAUAUAAAAAUUUGGCAUGACCUUGCCUAAAAAUAGGACAUAUCGAGUUUGCUCGAAAUUCACCGAAAUAGAAAUAAAUCGACAUUUCGGCAAAACAUAAGCAACUCGGGGGCAUGUCACUCGCACACAUCUCUUCAUAUCCCCAACACACAUAUUCCCAUUCAGACUCAUAUUCCCAUUCUUGAAAUGAACAACUUUUUACUCAUCUAUAUAUCUCCCGAGAGAGACCGAGCACGGUUAGAUGAGGCCUUUCGCUACCUAUACGGAUCGAAAGUGUGGAUGGCUAAAUAGCUAGCUAGAUCUAGUUGUUGGGGAGGAGAGAUGACUCUAGCUAACUAAUGGAGAGGGAGUUAUGGUGGAGGGGCAUUAAUGGGGAGAGAAGAGAGGUAGGAGGAAGAGAGAGAUGAGAAGGCCAUUUAUGGAGGAGAGUUAUGGUGGAGGGGGGCAUUAAUGGGGAGAGAAGAGAGGUAGGAGGAAGAGAGAAGAAGGGAAACAAUGGUGGAUAAGGAGAGGGGAAAGGAGGGGGAGAGGGGGGCUGGGGGGUGAAAAGGUGGCACCAGCUGCAACUAGCAGUAGCGCUGUUUCACAGAAAGCAUUGCUGCUAUGGUACUUAGUAGUAGCGCUUUCCAGGAAAAGCGCUACUAUUAAGUGGGGCCCAUUAGCAGUAGCGGUGCUGUAAAAUAAAGCGCUACUGCUAAAAUCUUAGUAGUAGUGUUGUUUUCCAGACAACGUUGCUACUACAACUAGCGUCAGUGGGAGCGUUGUGUCUGAUACGUCUCCAAUGUAUCUAUAAUUUUUUGUUGUUCCAUGCUAUAUUAUAUUCUGUUUUGGACAUUAUUAGGCUUUAUUAUACACUUUUACAUUAUUUUUGGGACUAACCUAUUAACCGAAGGCCCAGCCCAUAAUUGUUGUUUUUUGCCUAUUUCAGAGUUUCGCGGAAAAAGAAUAUCAAACGGAGUCCAAACGGAAUGAAACCUUCGGGAACGUGAUUUUCGGAACGAGCGUGAUCCAGAGGACUUGGACCCUACGUCAAGAGACUUCAACCAGGAGGCCACGAGGUUGGGGGCGCGCCUACCCCCCCAGGCGCGCCCUCCACCCUCGUGGUCCCCCUGUUGCUCCACCGACGUACUCCUUCCUCCUAUAUAUACCUACGUACCCCCAAACUACCAGAUACGGAGCCAAAAACCUAAUUCCACCACCGCAACCUUCUGUACCCGUGAGAUCCCAUAUUGGGGCCUGUUCUGGAGCUCCGCCGGAGGGGGCAUCGAUCACGGAGGCUUCUACAUCAACACCAUAGCCUCUUCGAUGAUGUGUGAGUAGUUUACCUCAGACCUUCGGGUCCAUAGUUAUUAGCUAGAUGGCUUCUUCUCUCUUUUUGGAUCUCAAUACAAUGUUCUCCCCCUCUCUCGUGGAGAUCUAUUCGAUGUAAUCUUCUUUUGCGGUGUGUUUGUUGAGACCGAUGAAUUGUGGGUUUAUGAUCAAGUUUAUCUAUGAACAAUAUUUGAAUCUUCUGAAUUCUUUUAUGUAUGAUUGGUUAUCUUUGCAAGUCUCUUCGAAUUAUCUGUUUGGUUUGGCCUACUAGAUUGAUCUUUCUUGCAAUGGGAGAAGUGCUUAGCUUUGGGUUCAAUCUUGCGGUGUCCUUUCCCAGUGAUAGUAGGGCAGCAAGGCACGUAUUGUAUUGUUGCCAUCGAGGAUAACAAGAUGGGGUUUAUAUCAUAUUGCAUGAGUUUAUCCCUCUACAUCAUGUCAUCUUGCUUAAAGCGUUACUCUGUUCUUAUGAACUUAAUACUCUAGAUGCAUGCUGGAUAGCGGUCGAUGUGUGGAGUAAUAGUAGUAGAUGCAGGCAGGAGCCGGUCUACUUGUCUCGGACGUGAUGCCUAUAUACAUGAUCAUACCUACAUAUUAUCAUAACUAUGCUCAAUUCUGUCAAUUGCUCAACAGUAAUUUGUUCACCCACCAUAAAUACUUAUGCUCUUGAGAGAAGCCACUAGUGAAACCUAUGGCCCCGGGUCUAUUUUCCAUCAUAUUAAUCUUCCAACACUUAGCUAUUUCCGUUGCCUUUUAUUUUGCUUCUAUUUUACUUUGCAUCUUUAUCAUAAAAAUACCAAAAAUAUUAUCCUAUCAUAUCUAUUAGAUCUCACUCCCGUAAGUGACCGUGAAGGGAUUGACAACCCCUUAUCACGUUGGUUGCGAGGAUUUAUUUGUUUGUGUAGGUGCGAGGGACUCGUGCGUGGCCUCCUACUGGAUUGAUACCUUGGUUCUCAAAAACUAAGGAAAAUACUUACACUACUUUGCUGCAUCACCCUUUCCUCAUCAAGGGAAAACCAACGCAAUGCUCAAGAGGUAGCAAGAAGGAUUUCUAGCGCCGUUGCCGGGGAGUCUACGCAAAAGUCAACAUACCAAGUACCCAUCACAAACCCUUAUCUCCCUCAUUACAUUAUUUGACAUUUUCCUCUCAUUUUGCUCUCCCCCACUUCACGCUUGUCGUUUUAUUCGCCCUUUUCCGUUUGUCUUUUCGUUUGCCUUGAUGUCUUACUUGGCUCGUUUGCUCGUUUGGUUGAAAUAGUUGAGUAUUUAUUCCUAAACUGAGAAGCUAAUAUCUAUGGAUCCUCAUCCGCUUGCCAAUCUUUUUAAGAGAUCCAAUUAUGAUGAACUAGUUUCUAGUGAUUUGGGUGCACUAGAUUAUCUUUAUGAGGUUUUUCUUGAAAUUCGUGAAUCUGAAAAUUGUGAUGAAGAAAUUUAUGAAGAGAUUCACGAUAGCUCCUUGAAUAAAACGCAUGAUUGCAAUGAUUUCACUAUAAAUUCUCUUGAUGUCAAUUGUGCUACUAAUAUGCAAAACCCUAAGCUUGGGGAUGCUAGUUUUGCUAUGUCUACUACUUGUUGCAAUGAUCAUGAUUUGGGUGAUUCUUCGUAUGAUCUUGAAAAUUUAUUUAAGCCCCAUGAUGAAUAUGAGAUUGAUAAUAAUUUUUGCAAUAAUAUUGAAAGUGGGUUUGGAAGAGUGUCAACUUUAGAUCCCACAUAUUUGGAUAAUGUUCAAUCUUAUGAAGUUUUUGAUAAAAGUGGGUCUGGAGAGGUCAUGACUUUAGUUAAUUUUAAUCCCACUAUUUCGGAAGAGUGUCAACUUUGCAUGCAUGUGGAUCGUGUUGAGAAUAUUUUAUGUGAUAGCUAUGUUGUUGAAAUGAUUAUGAUCCCACAUGUAAUUAUUAUGAGAGAGAGAAAUAUGGUUGUGGAGAUUUUCAUGUUACUAAAUUACCUCUCGUUAUGUUGAGAUUCUAUUGUUCCUUUCCGCUUCCUUGCAUAUGCUAGUUUUUGCUUGCUAUGAUAAUUUGUUUUUCUAUAAGAUGCCUAUGCAUAGGAAGUAUGUUAGACUUAGAUGUGUUUUUCACGUGUUUUAUGAUGCUCUUUUUGUGCUUCAAUUCUUGUCUUUCAUGUGAGCAUCAUUAAAAUUAUCAAUGCCUAGCUAAAAGGCUUUAAAGAAAAGCGCUUGUUGGGAGACAACCCAAUAUUUUUCCUUACUGUUAUUGAAUAAAUAUUUUAUCUAGCCUCUGGUUAGAUGUCUUUUUAUGUUUUAAUUAGUGUUUGUGCCACGUUUAACCUAUAGGAUCUUCUUGGAUGAUAGUUAUUUGAUCUUGCUGUAAAUUCCAGAAACUUUCUGUUCACGAAAAUAAUUGUUAAAAAUCACCAGAAUGUGAUCAAAUAUUGAUUCCAAUUGCUGCUGAUCAAUAAACAAAUUUUCUAGGUCUUCCUAUUUUGGCUGAAUUUUUGGAGUUCCAGAAGUUUGCGUUAGUUACAGAUUACUACAGACUGUUCUGUUUUUGACGGAUUCUGUUUUUCGUGUGUUGAUUGCUUAUUUUGAUGAAUCUAUGGCUAGUAAAAUAGUUUAUAAACCAUAGAGUAGUUGGAAUACAGUAGGUUUAACACCAAUAUAAAUAAAGAAUGAGUUCAUUACAGUACCUUGAAGUGGUCUUUUGUUUUCUUUCGCUAACGGAGCUUACGAGAUUUUCUGCUGAGUUUUGUGUUGUGAAGUUUUGAAGUUUUGGGUGAAAGAUUUGAUGGAUUAUGAAACAAGGAGUGGCAAGAGCCUAAGCUUGGGGAUGCCCAUGGCACCCCAAGAUAAUCUAAGGACACCUAAAAGCCAAAGCUUGGGGAUGCCCCGGAAGGCAUCCCCUCUUUUGUCCACUUCCAUCGGUAACUUUACUUGGAGCUAUAUUUUUAUUCACCACAUGAUAUGUGUUUUGCUUGGAGCGUCUUGUAUUAUUUGAGUCUUUAUUUGUUAGUUUACCACAAUCAUCCUUGCUGUACACACCUUUUGAGAGAGUCACACUUGAUUCGGAAUUUAUUAGAAUACUCUAUGUGCUUCACUUAUAUUUUUUGAGCUAUAUAGUUUUGCUCUAGUGCUUCACUUAUAUCUUUUAGAGCACGAUGGUGGAUUUGUUUUAUAGAAAAUAUUGAUCUCUCAUGCUUCACUUAUAUUAUUUUGAGAGUCUUAAAAUAUCAUGGCAAUUUGCUUUAAAUAAUAUCAUGAGAUUUGAUGCUUGAUAAUUGUUUUGAGAUAUAAAGGUGGUAAUGUCAUAGUUGUGCUAGUUGAGUAAUUGUGGAAUUGAAAAAUACAUGUGUUGGAGUUUGUGAUUCCCGUAGCAUGCACGUAUGGUGAACCGUUAUGUAACAAAGUCGGAGCAUGAGGUAUUUGUUGAUUGUCUUCCUUUGUGUGGCGGUCGGGAUCGCGUGAUGGUUAACUCCUACCAACCCUUCCCCUAGGAGCAUGCGUAGUAGUACUUUGCUUCGAGGGCUAAUAAAUUUUUGCAAUAAGUAUAUGAGUUCUUUAUGACUAAUGUGAGUCCAUGGAUUAUACGCACACUUACCUUUCCGCAAUUUUCUAGCCUCUUCGGUACCGCGCAUUGCCCUUUCUCACCUUGAGAGUUGGUGCAAACUUCGCCGGUGCAUCCAAACCCCGUGAUAUGAUAUGCUCUAUCACACAUAAACAUCCUUAUAUCUUCCUCAAAACAGCCACCAUACCUACCUAUCAUGGCAUUUCCAUAGCCAUUCCGAGAUAUAUUGCCAUGCAACUUUCCACCGUUUCAUUUAUCAUGACAUGCUCCAUUAUUGUCAUAUUGUUUUGCAUGAUCAUGUAGUUGACAUUGUAUUUGUGGCAAAGCCACCGUUCAUAAUUCUUUCAUACAUGUCGCUCUUGAUUCAUUGCAUAUCCUGGUACACCGCCGGAGGCAUUCAUAUAGAGUCAUAUUUUGUUCUAAGUAUUGAGUUGCAAUUCAUGAGUUGUAAGUAAAUAAAAGUGUGAUGAUCAUCAUUAUUAGAGCAUUGUCCCAAGUGAGGAAAGGAUGAUGGAGACCAUGAUUCCCCCACAAGUCGGGAUGAGACUCUGGACUAAAUAAAAAAAGGCCAUAAAAAAGAGAAAAGGCCCAAAUAAAAAAAUUAUGAGAGAAAAAGAGAGAAGGGACAAUGUUACUAUCCUUUUACCACACUUGUGCUUCAAAGUAGCACCGUGAUCUUCAUAAUAGAGAGUCUCUCAUUUUGUCACUUUCAUAUACUAGUGGGAAAUUUCAUUAUAGAAAUUGGCUUGUAUAUUCCAAUGAUGGGCUUCCUCAAAUGCCCAAGGUCUUCGUGAGCAAGCAAGUUCGAUGCACACCCACUUAGUUUCUUUUUGAGCUUUCAUACACUUAUAGCUCUAGUGCAUCCGUUGCAUGGCAAUCCCUACUCCUCGCAUUAACAUCAAUUGUUGGGCAUCUCCAUAGCCCGUUGAUUAGCCUCGUUGAUGUGAGACUUUCUCUUUUUUUGUCUUCCCACAUAACCCCUACCAUUAUACCUUAUUCCACCAUAGUGCUAUAUCCAUGGCUUGCGCUCAUGUAUUGCGUAAGAGUUGAAAAGGCUGAAGCGCGUUAAAAGUAUGAACCAAAUGCUUGGCCAAAACCGGGGUCGUACAUGAUAUGAAUAUUUUGUGUGGGGAAGAUGGAGCAUAGCCAGACUAUAUGAUUUUGUAGGGAUAACUUGCUUUGGCUAUGUUAUUUUGAUAAGACAUAAUUGCUUAGUUAGUAUGCUUGAAGUAUUAUUGUUUUUAUGUCAACAUUAAACUUUAUCUUGAAUCAUAUCAAUCUGAACAUUCAUGCCACAAUAAGAAGAAUUAUAUUGAAAUUAUGCUAAGUAGCAUUCCACAUCAAAAAUUCUGUUUUUAUCAUUUACCUACUCGAGGACGAGCAGGAAUUAAGCUUGGGGAUGCUUGAUACGUGUCCAACGUAUCUAUAAUUUUUUUUAUUGUUCCAUGCUAUAUUAUAUUCUGUUUUGGACAUUAUUGGGCUUUAUUAUACACUUCUAUAUUAUUUUUGGGACUAACCUAUUAACCGGAGGCCCAGCCCAGAAUUGCUGUUUUUUGCCUAUUUCAGAGUUUCGUAGAAAAAGAAUAUCAGACGGAGUCCAAACGGAAUGAAACCUUCGGGAACGUGAUUUUCGGAACGAACGUGAUCCAGAGGACUUGGACCCUACGUCAAGACUUCAACCAGGAGGCCACGAGGUAGGGGGCGCGCCUACCCCCCCCCCCCCCAGGCGCGCCCUCCACCUGAAGGAAAUAUGCCCUAGAGGCAAUAAUAAAGUUAUUAUUUAUUUCCUUAUAUCAUGAUAAAUGUUUAUUAUUCAUGCUAGAAUUUUAUUAACCGGAAACAUAAUACUUGUGUGAAUACAUAGACAAACAGAGUGUCACUNNNNNNNNNNGAUUAUUGACUCUAGUGCAAGUGGGAGACUGAAGGAAAUAUGCCCUAGAGGCAAUAAUAAAGUUAUUAUUUAUUUCCUUAUAUCAUGAUAAAUGUUUAUUAUUCAUGCUAGAAUUUUAUUAACCGGAAACAUAAUACUUGUGUGAAUACAUAGACAAACAGAGUGUCACUAGUAUGCCUCUACUUGACUAGCUCGUUGAUCAAAGAUGGUUAUGUUUCCUAGCCAUAGACAUGAGUUGUCAUUUGAUUAACGGGAUCACAUCAUUAGGAGAAUGAUGUGAUUGACUUGACCCAUUCCGUUAGCUUAGCACUCGAUCGUUUAGUAUGUUGCUAUUGCUUUCUUCAUGACUUAUACAUGUUCCUAUGACUAUGAGAUUAUGCAACUCCCAUUUACCGGAGGAACACUUUGUGUGCUACCAAACGUCACAACGUAACUGAGUGAUUAUAAAGGUGCUCUACAGGUGUCUCCGAAGGUACUUGUUGGGUUGGCGUAUUUCGAGAUUAGGAUUUGUCACUCCGAUUGUCGGAGAGGUAUCUCUGGGCCCUCUCAGUAAUGCACAUCACUUAAGCCUUGCAAGCAUUGCAACUAAUGAGUUUGUUGCGAGAUGAUGUAUUACGGAACGAGUAAAGAGACUUGCCGGUAACGAGAUUGAACUAGGUAUCGAGAUACCGACGAUCGAAUCUCGGGCAAGUAACAUACCGAUGACAAAGGGAACAACGUAUGUUGUUAUGCGGUCUGACCGAUAAAGAUCUUCGUAGAAUAUGUGGGAGCCAAUAUGAGCAUCCAGGUUCCUCUAUUGGUUAUUGACCGGAGAGGUGUCUCGGUCAUGUCUACAUAGUUCUCGAACCCGUAGGGUCCGCACGCUUAACGUUACGAUGACAGUUGUAUUAUGAGUUUAUAUGUUUUGAUGUACCGAAGGUUGUUCGGAGUCCCGGAUGUGAUCACGGACAUGACGAGGAGUCUCGAAAUGGUCGAGACAUAAAGAUUGAUAUAUUGGAAGCCUAUGUUUGGAUAUCGGAAGUGUUCCGGGUGAAAUCGGGAUUUUUCCGGAGUACCGGGAGGUUACCGGAACCCCCUGGUAACUUAAUGGCCCUUAGUGGGCCUAGGUGGAAGAGAGGAGAGGAGGCCAGGGCAGGGCCGCCCGCCCCUCCCCCCCAGUCCGAAUAGGACAAGGAGAGGGGGGCGGCGCCCCCCCUUUCCUUCCUCCCCUCCACCUCUUCCCNNNNNNNNNNNNNNNNNNNNNNNNNNNNNNNNNNNNNNNNNNGGGCAGGGGGCACCUCUAGAUACACAAUUGAUCAUUGAUCUCUUAGCCGUGUGCGGUGCCCCCCUCCACCAUAUUACACCUCGAUAAUAUCGUAGCAAUGCUUAGGCGAAGCCCUGCAUCGGUAGAACAUCAUCAUUGUCACCACGCCGUCGUGCUGACGAAACUCUCCCUCAACACUCGGCUGGAUCGGAGUUCGAGGGACGUCAUCGAGCUGAACGUGUGCUGAACUCGGAGGUGCCGUACGUUCGGUACUUGAUCGGUCGGAUCAUGAAGACGUAUGACUACAUCAACCGCGUUGUGUUAACGCUUCCGCUUUCGGUCUACGAGGUUAUGUGGAGAACACUCUCCCCUCUCGUUGCUACGCAUCACCAUGAUCUUGCGUGUGCGUAGGAAUUUUUUUUUUGAAAUUACUAUGUUCCCCUACAGUGGCAUCAGAGCCUGGUUUUAUGCGUUGAUGUUAUAUGCACGAGUAGAACACAAGUGAGUUGUGUGCGAUAUAAGUCAUACUGCUUACCAGCAUGUCCUAUUUUGGUUCAGCGGUAUUGUGAGAUGAAGAGGCCCGGACCGACAUUACGCGUACGCUUACGCGAGACUGGUUUCACCGUUGCGAGCACUCGUUGCUUAAAGGUGACUGGCGGGUGUCUGUCUCUCUCACUUUAGUUGAACCGAGUGUGGCUACGCCCGGUCCUUGCGAAGGUUAAAAACAGCACCAACUUGACAAACUAUCGUUGUGGUUUUGAUGCGUAGGUAAGAACGGUUCUUGCUAAGCCCGUAGCAGCCACGUAAAACUUGCAACAACAAAGUAGAGGACGUCUAACUUGUUUUUGCAGGGCAUGUUGUGAUGUGAUAUGGUCAAGACAUGAUGCUGAAUUUUAUUGGAUGAGAUGAUCAUGUUUUGUAACCGAGUUAUCGGCAACUGGGAGGAGCCAUAUGGUUGUCGCUUUAUUGUAUGCAAUGCAAUCGCCAUGUAAUUGUUUUACUUUAUCACUAAGCGGUAGCGAUAGUCGUAGAAGCAAUAAUUGGCGAGACGACAACGAUGCUAUGAUGGAGAUCAAGGUGUCGUGCCGGUGACGAUGGUGAUCAUGACGGUGCUUCGGAGAUGGAGAUCACAAGCACAAGAUGAUGAUGGCCAUAUCAUAUCACUUAUAUUGAUUGCAUGUGAUGUUUAUCUUUUAUGCAUCUUAUCUUGCUUUGAUUGACGGUAGCAUUAUAAGAUUCUCUCACUAAAUUUCAAGAUAAAAGUGUUCUCCCUGAGUAUGCACCGUUGCCAAAGUUCGUUGUGCCCAGACACCACGUGAUGAUCGGGUGUGAUAAGCUCUACGUCCAUCUACAACGGGUGCAAGCCAGUUUUGCACACGCAGAAUACUUAGGUUAAACUUAACGAGCCUAGCAUAUGCAGAUAUGGCCUCGGAACACUGAGACCGAAACGUCGGGCGUGAAUCAUAUAGUAGAUAUGAUCAACAUAGUGAUGUUCACCAUUGAAAACUACUCCAUUACACGUGAUGAUCGGUUAUGGUUUAGUUGAUUUGGAUCACGUAAUCACUUAGAUGAUUAGAGGGAUGUCUAUCUAAGUGGGAGUUCUUAAGUAAUAUGAUUAAUUGAACUUAAAUUUAUCACGAACUUAGUCCUGAUAGUAUUUUGCAAAUUAUGUUGUAGAUCAAUAGCUCGCGUUGUUGCUUCCCUAUGUUUAUUUUGAUAUGUUCCUAGAGAAAAAUUAUGUUGAAAGAUGUUAGUAGCAAAGAUGCGGAUUGGAUCCGUGAUCUGAGGAUUAUCGUCAUUGCUGCACAGAAGAAUUAUGUCCUUGAUGCACCGCUAGGUGACAGACCUAUUGCAGGAGCAGAUGCAGACGUUAUGAACGUUUGGCUAGCUCAAUAUGAUGACUACUUGAUAGUUUAGUGCACCAUGCUUAACGGCUUAGAAUCGGGACUUCAAAGACGUUUUGAACGUCAUGGACCAUACGAGAUGUUCCAGGAGUUGAAGUUAAUAUUUCAAGCAAAUACCCGAGUUGAGAGAUAUGAAGUCUCCAACAAGUUCUAUAGCUAAAAGAUGGAGGAGAAUAGCUCAAGCAGUGAGCAUGUGCUCAGAUUGUCUGGGUACUACAAUCGCUUGAAUCAAGUGGGAGUUAAUCUUCCAGAUAAAAUAGUGAUUGACAGAAUUCUCUAGUCACCAUCACCAAGUUAGUAGAACUUCGUGAUGAACUAUAGUAUGCAAGGGAUGACGAAAGUAAUUCCCGAGCUCUUCGCGAUGCUGAAAUCGACGAAGGUAGAAAUCAAGAAAGAGCAUCAAGUGUUGAUGGUUAACAAGACCACUAGUUUCAAGAAAAGGGCAAAGGGAUAGAAGGGGAACUUCAAGAAGAACGGCAAGCACGUUGCUGCUCAAGUGAAGAAGCCCAAGUCUGGAUCUAAGCCUGAGACUAAGUGCUUCUACUGCAAAGGGACUGGUCACUGGAAGCGGAACUACCCAAGUAUUUGGUGGAUAAGAAGGAUGGCAAAGUGAACAAAGGUAUAUUGGAUAUACAUGUUAUUGAUGUGUACUUUACUAGUGUUUAUAGCAACCCCUCGGCAUUUGAUACUGGUUCAGUUGCUAAGAGUAGUAACUCGAAACGGGAGUUGCAGAAUAAACAGAGACUAGUAAAAGGCGAGGUGACGAUGUCUAUUGGAAGUAGUUCCAAGAUUGAUAUGAUCAUCAUCGCACACUCCCUAUACUUUCGGGAUUAGUGUUGAAACUAAAUAAGUGUUAUUUGCUGUUUGCGUUGAGCAUGAAUAUGAUUUGAUCAUGUUUGUUGCAAUACGGUUAUUCAUUUAAAUUAGAGAAUAAUUGUUGUUCUGUUUACAUGAAUAAAACCUUCUAUGGUCAUACACCCAAUAAAAUGUUGUGUUGGAUCUCGAUCGUAGUGAUACACAUAUUCAUAAUAAUGAAGCCAAAAGAUGCAAAGUUAAUAAUGAUAGUGCAACUUAUUUGUGGCACUGCCGUUUAGGUCAUAUUGGUGUAAAGCGCAUGAAGAAACUCCAUACUGAUGGGAUUUUGGAAUCACUUGAUUAUUAAUCACUUGAUGCUUGCGAACCAUGCCUCAUGGGCAAGAUGACUAAAACGCCGUUCUCCCGAACUAUGGAGAGACCAACAGAUUUGUUGGAAGUCAUACAUACAGAUGUAUGUGGUCCAAUGAAUAUUGAGGCUCGUGGGGGAUAUCGUUAUUUUCGCACCUUCACGGAUGAUUUGAGCAGAUAUGGGUAUAUCUAGUUAAUGAAACAUAAGUCUGAAACAUUUGAAAAGUUCAUAUAAUUUCAGAGUAAAGUGGAAAAUCAUUGUAACAAUAAAAUAAAGUUUCUACGAUCUGAUCGUGGAGAAGAGUAUUUGAGUUACGAGUUUGGUCUUCAGUUAAAACAAUGUGAAAUAGUUUCACUGCUCACGCCACCUGGAACACCACAGUGUAAUGGUGUGUCCGAACAUCGUAACCGUACUUUAUUAGAUAUGGUGCAAUCUAUGAUGUCUCUUACCGAUUUACCACUAUCGUUUUGGGGUUAUGCAUUAAAGACAGCUGCAUCCACAUUAAAAAGGGCACCGUCUAAGUCCGUUGAGACGACACAAUAUGAACUGUGGUUUGGCAAGAAACCAAAGUUGUCAUUUCUUAAAGUUUGGGGUUGCGAUGCUUAUGUGAAAAAGUUUCAUCCUGAUAAGCUCAAACCCAAAUCGAAGAAAUGUGUCUUCAUAGGAUACCCAAAGGAGACAAUUGGGUACACCUUCUAUCACAGAUCUGAAGGCAAGAUAUUCAUUGCUGAGAAUGGAUCCUUUCUAGAGAAGGAGUUUCUCUUGAAAGAAAUGAGUGGGAGGAAAGUAGAACUUGAUGAGGUAAUUGUACCAGCUCCCUUAUUGGAAAGUAGUUCAUCGCAGAAAUUCGUUCCUGUGACUCCUACACCAAUUAGUGAGGAAGCUAAUGAUGAUGAUCAUGUAACUUCAGAUCAAGUUAAUACUGAACCUCGUAGGUCAACCAGAGUAAGAUCCGCACCAGAGUGGUACGGUACUCCUGUUCUGAAGGUUAUGUUACUAGACCAUGACGAACCUACGAACUAUGAAGAAGCGAUGGUGAGCCCAGAUUCCGCAAAAUGGCUUGAGGCCAUGAAAUCUGAGAUGAGAUCCAUGUAUGAGAACAAAGUAUGGACUUUGAUUGACUUGCCCAAUGAUCGGCGAGACAUUGAGAUUAAAUGGAUCUUCAAGAGGAAGACGGACGCUGACGGUAAUGUUACUGUCUAUAAAGCUCGACUUGUUGCGGAAGGUUUUCGACAAGUUCAAGGGAUUGACUACGAUGAGACCUUCUCACCCGUAGCGAUGCUCAAGUCUGUCCGAAUCAUGUUAGCAAUUGCCGCAUUUUAUGAUUAUGAAAUUUGGCAAAUGGAUGUCAAAACUGCAUUCCUGAAUGGAUUUCUGGAAGAAGAGUUGUAUAUGAUGCAACCAGAAGGUUUUGUCAAUCCUAAAGGUGCUAACAAAAUAUGCAAGCUCCAGCGAUCCAUCUAUGGACUGGUGCAAGUAUCUCGGAGUUGGAAUAUACGCUUUGAUAAGUUGAUCAAAGGAUAUAGUUUUAUACAGACUUGCGAUGAAGCCUGUAUUUACAAGAAAGUGAGUGGGAGCACUACAACAUUUCUGAUAAGUAUAUGUGAAUGACAUAUUGUUGAUCGGAAAUAAUGUAGAAUUAUUCUGCAAAGCAUAAAGGAGUGUUUGAAAGGAGUUUUUCAAAGAAAGACCUCGGUGAAGCUGCCUACAUAUUGAGCAUCAAGAUCUAUAGAGAUAGAUCAAGACGCUUGAUAAGUUUUUUCAAUGAGUACAUACCUUAACAAGAUUUUGAAGUGGUUCAAAAUGGAACAGUCAAAGAAAGAGUUUCUUGCCUUUUUUACAAGGUGUGAAAUUGAGUAAGACUCAAAGCCCGACCAUGGCAGAAGAUAGAAAAAGAAUGAAAGUCAUUCCCUAUGCAUCGGCCAUAGGUUCUAUAAACUAUGCCAUGCUGUGUACCAGAUCUAUUGUAUAUCAUACACUGAUUUUUGCAAGGGAGUACAAUAGUGAUCUAGGAGUAGAUCACUGGACAGCGGUCAAAAUUAUCCUUACUGGAAUAAGGAUAUGUUUGUCGAUUAUGGAAGUGACAAAAGGUUCAUCGUAAAGGGUUACGUCGAUGCAAGUUCUGACACUAAUCUAGAUGACUCUAAGUCUCGGUCUAGAUACAUAUUGAAAGUGGGAGCAAUUAGCUAGAGUAGCUCCGUGCAUAGCAUUGUAGACAUAGGAAUUUGCAAAAUACUUACGAAUCUGAAUGUGACAGACCCGUUGACUAAAAUUAUCUCACAAGCAAAACAUGAUCACACCUUAGUACUCUUUGGGUGUUAAUCACAUAGCGAUGUGAACUAGAUUACUGACUCUAGUAAACCCUUUGGGUGUUGGUCACAUGACGAUGUGAACUAUGGGUCUUAAUCACAUGGUGAUGUGAACUAUUGAUGUUAAAUCACAUGGCGAUGUGAACUAGAUUAUUGACUCUAGUGCAAGUGGGAGACUGAAGGAAAUAUGCCCUAGAGGCAAUAAUAAAGUUAUUAUUUAUUUCCUUAUAUCAUGAUAAAUGUUUAUUAUUCAUGCUAGAAUUGUAUUAACCGGAAACAUAAUACUUGUGUGAAUACAUAGACAAACAGAGUGUCACUAGUAUGCCUCUACUUGACUAGCUCGUUGAUCAAAGAUGGUUAUGUUUCCUAGCCAUAGACAUGAGUUGUCAUUUGAUUAACGGGAUCACAUCAUUAGGAGAAUGAUGUGAUUGACUUGACCCAUUCCGUUAGCUUAGCACUCGAUCGUUUAGUAUGUUGCUAUUGCUUUCUUCAUGACUUAUACAUGUUCCUAUGACUAUGAGAUUAUGCAACUCCCGUUUACCGGAGGAACACUUUGUGUGCUACCAAACGUCACAACGUAACUGAGUGAUUAUAAAGGUGCUCUACAGGUGUCUCCAAAGGUACUUGUUGGGUUGGCGUAUUUCGAGAUUAGGAUUUGUCACUCCGAUUGUCGGAGAGGUAUCUCUGGGCCCUCUCGGUAAUGCACAUCACUUAAGCCUUGCAAGCAUUGCAACUAAUGAGUUUGUUGCGAGGUGAUGUAUUACGGAACGAGUAAAGAGACUUGCCGGUAACGAGAUUGAACUAGGUAUCGAGAUACCGACAAUCGAAUCUCGGGCAAGUAACAUACUGAUGACAAAGGGAACAACGUAUGUUGUUAUGCGGUCUGACCGAUAAAGAUCUUCGUAGAAUAUGUGGGAGCCAAUAUGAGCAUCCAGGUUCCGCUAUUGGUUAUUGACCGGAGAGGUGUCCCGGUCAUGUCUACAUAGUUCUCGAACCCGUAGGGUCCGCACGCUUAACGUUACGUUGACAGUUGUAUUAUGAGUUUAUAUGUUUUGAUGUACCGAAGGUUGUUCGGAGUCCCGGAUGUGAUCACGGACAUGACAAGGAGUCUCGAAAUGGUCGAGACAUAAAGAUUGAUAUAUUGGAAGCCUAUGUUUGGAUAUCGGAAGUGUUCCGGUUGAAAUCGGGAUUUUUCCGGAGUACCGGGAGGUUACCGGAACCCCCCGGUAACUUAAUGGGCCUUAGUGGGCCAAGGUGGAAGAGAGGAGAGGAGGCCAGGGCAGGGGCGCACGCCCCUCCNNNNNNNNNNNNNNNNNNNNNNNNNNNNNNNNNNNNNNNNNNNNNNNNNNNNNNNNNNNNNNNNNNNNNNNNNNNNNNNNNNNNNNNNNNNNNNNNNNNNNNNNNNNNNNNNNNNNNNNNNNNNNNNNNNNNNNNNNNNNNNNNNNNNNNNNNNNNNNNNNNNNNNNNNNNNNNNNNNNNNNNNNNNNNNNNNNNNNNNNNNNNNNNNNNNNNNNNNNNNNNNNNNNNNNNNNNNNNNNNNNNNNNNNNNNNNNNNNNNNNNNNNNNNNNNNNNNNNNNNNNNNNNNNNNNNNNNNNNNNNNNNNNNNNNNNNNNNNNNNNNNNNNNNNNNNNNNNNNNNNNNNNNNNNNNNNNNNNNNNNNNNNNNNNNNNNNNNNNNNNNNNNNNNNNNNNNNNNNNNNNNNNNNNNNNNNNNNNNGGGGGGCACCUCUAGAUACACAAUUGAUCAUUGAUCUCUUAGCCGUGUGCGGUGCCCCCCUCCACCAUAUUACACCUCGAUAAUAUCGUAGCAGUGCUUAGGCGAAGCCCUGCAUCGGUAGAACAUCAUCAUUGUCACCACGCCGUCGUGCUGAUGAAACUCUCCCUCAACACUCGGCUGGAUCGGAGUUCGAGGGACGUCAUCGAGCUGAACGUGUGCUGAACUCGGAGGUGCCGUACGUUCGGUACUUGAUCGGUCGGAUCGAGAAGACGUACGACUACAUCAACCGCGUUGUGUUAACGCUUCCGCUUUCGGUCUACGAGGGUAUGUGGACAGCACUCUCCCCUCUCGUUGCUAUGCAUCACCAUGAUCUUGCGUGUGCGUAGGAAUAUUUUUUUGAAAUUACUACGUUCCCCUACACCACCCCCCUGUUGCUCCACCGACAUACUCCUUCCUCCUAUAUAUAUAUCUACGUACCCCCAAACUACCAGAUACGGAGCCAAAAACCUAAUUCCACCGCCGCAACCUUCUGUACCCGUGAGAUCCCAUCCUGGGGCCUGUUCCGGAGCUCCGCCAGAGGGGGCAUCGGUCACGGAGGGCUUCUACAUCAACACCAUAGCCUCUCCGAUGAUGUGUGAGUAGUUUACCUCAGACCUUCGGGUCCAUAGUUAUUAGCUAGAUGGCUUCUUCUCUCUUUUUGGAUCUCAAUACAAUGUUCUCCCCCUCUCUCGUGGAGAUCUAUUCGAUGUAAUCUUCUUUUGCGGUGUGUUUGUUGAGACCGAUGAAUUGUGGGUUUAUGAUCAAGUUUAUGUAUGAACAAUAUUUGAAUCUUCUGAAUUCUUUUAUGUAUGAUUGGUUAUCUUUGCAAGUCUCUUCAAAUUAUUAGUUUGGUUUGGCCUACUAGAUUGAUCUUUCUUGCAAUGGGAGAAGUGCUUAGCUUUGGGUUCAAUCUUGCGGUGUCCUUUCCCAGUGACAGUAGGGGCAGCAAGGCACGUAUUGUAUUGUUGCCAUCGAGGAUAACAAGAUGGGGUUUAUAUCAUAUUGCAUGAGUUUAUCCCCCUACAUCAUGUCAUCUUGCUUAAAGCGUUACUCUGUUCUUAUGAACUUAAUACUCUAGAUGCAUGCUGGAUAGCGGUCGAUGUGUGGAGUAAUAGUAGUAGAUGCAGGCAGGAGUCGGUCCACUUGUCUCUGACGUGAUGCCUAUAUACAUGAUCAUACCUAGAUAUUCUCAUAACUAUGCUCAAUUAUGUCAAUUGCUCAACAGUAAUUUGUUCACCCACCGUAAGUACUUAUGCUCUUGAGAGAAGCCACUAGUGAAACCUAUGGCCCCCGGGUCUAUUUUCCAUCAUAUUAAUCUUCCAACACUUUGUUAUUUCCGUUGCCUUUUAUUUUGCUUCUUUUUUACUUUGCAUCUUUAUCAUAAAAAUACCAAAAAUAUUAUCCUAUCAUAUCUAUCAGAUCUCACUCUCGUAAGUGACCGUGAAGGGAUUGACAACCCCUUAUCGUGUUGGUUGCGAGGAUUUAUUUGUUUGUGUAGGUGCGAGGGACUCGUGCGUGGCCUCCUACUGGAUUGAUACCUUGGUUCUCAAAAACUGAGGGAAAUACUUACGCUACUUUGUUGCAUCACCCUUUCCUCUUCAAGAGAAAACCAACGCAGUGCUCAAGAGGUAGCAGUGUCCCACUUAGUAGUAGCGCUUUUUCUGUUUCUAGCGCUACUGCUAAAGCAUUACUUGUAGCGCUGCCCCGGACCAGUGCUCCUGCUAAUUAGCAGCAGCUCGUGCUUUUUUCCCGCGCUACUACUAAUGUCCUACCUAUAGCAUUUUUCUAGUAGUGUUGGCUUGGUGGUGCUCUUCAAGCACCGGAACUCGAGCCCCGGCCUGUAAACCCUAAGCCCGACCUUUGAUGGUCGCACCAGGUAAAGUGGCUGCAUGCAUCUCCGAGAUGCAGAGGCCGGGGGUCAUCCUCCUUUUCUAAUAAAAGAAGUGUAAAGUGGUGGUUACGCUUGUGUCUUUGUUGAAGACAUUGGUUUCAAGUAUGCUCAGACGUGCUCUUCAGGAUGAACAAGAUCUAACUCUUAGUGGUUGGAUCAAGAUCAAUAUCUGACUCUUUGUUGGAAAAACUUGUUUUGCUUGGAGGUUUGAAAACCAUAUGCAGCUCAUAGAUUUAUCAAAAAAGUCCAGUUGUAGAAUCUUAUAGUUUUCCCUGGUUCUUAGAUGUGUGUGAUAAUAUAAAUUAGUCGUCAAAUUUACAUAUUAAACUAGAUAAUGCCCUGUGUGUUGCUACAUAUUCUUUUAGCAAUGAACUUAUAAAAAACAAAAUUAUCGUACGAGAAUAGUAGUACCGCACUACAUUUAACCUAAGAUAAAUGGGGGGGGGGGGUGGAAGCAUGUUAUAUUGUAUUGCAACAUUCAAGUUCAAUUACUUAUUGUUUAAAAUAAAAAUAAAAAUUAAUGAUGUGGAGGAUUUUCAUGUUCUUUAAUGAUGUGGAGGAUUUGCAUGCCGUAGAAAGUGGAAAGCGAAAAGUUGAAUGGUUGCAUUGACACUUGAUGAUAUGGAUGGCGUGCAUGUGGUAAAAAGUUAAAAGUUGAUUGAUUGCAUGCCUUUGAUGAUGUGGAGGCUUGCAUGCGCAUUUUUUUGGGUGUUAUACGUGAGCAUGUGCAUUUAUAUGGUGGCAUAUGUGAUGAAAUAAAUUGGCUACAUGUUAAGAUAAAUAAGAAAGUGAAGAUGAACUUCUUAGAUAUCUAGAUACUAUGUCAAUGUUUUCUUUUGCGAAAUGUCAAUGUGUAAAGCAUCACUUGGUUGUGAUACGAAGGGAGUACAUGAUUUGCAUAGGCCCUUAAAAAAAGCAAUUGCACGCAGGUGGGUGGACCGUGUAGCAAAUGACACAUCGUCCGUCGCUACCAUCGUUCGUCUCUUGUCCCAUGCUAAUUAGCCACACGCUACGCUACAGUAUGGACGUAGUAUCUUCUGAUUGAAGGGACGGGAUGGUACGUAGCAGAUAGCAUCGUGUUUUUGUCUUUGCACGUCGACUGAGCAGUGCUGACCUAAGUGUCGCCACAGUGUUCUCCGUGCAUGCCUUAACCUUUGUAUCUGCUGUAUAGGAGUGUGUUUUUGCGUGCAGUAUUCAUACAUGUAGCGUACGUGUUGCUGCACUUUUCAUAAAAAUACUUUUGCAUAUAUUCAGCGCGUAACAGUGCACUCCUAUCUAUAAUUAGCACCCGUCACUGUGGCAUGUAUACGAGUAUCUUGGGACAAUGAAUAAUAUACUGUCGUCAUUGGUGUACAGUACGGCAGAGAGUCUCUCUGAAAAAACCCAAAAGGGUACAGUUGAGAUCUUUCGCCGUAUCGCGCAAUAGGAAAAUGUCCCCAUCUUUUUGUCCCACGCGCCCCAAGCUGAACUCUUCAGCAUAGCCCAUCCCAUUUGUUUCUCAAAAAGAACAAAUAUCCCAUUCCAUUUCUCUAGUAUGAUCACCCAUGAUCCAUCCAUGACUGUUACUCGUCACCACAGUGUGGAGUACGUCGACCACACGGGCAGGCCUGCAGUGCCCAGAUGUACCGAGGUAUACCGUAUACGUGGACCUGUUGCCAUGCCACACGAACACUGGCCGGAGGGACCGGUACCUGACGGCAGAUGUACUGCACGGAAAUCUCAUACCGUAGGGCGAGGCCGACGUUUCUUGUUCCCAGACCACGAGUGACUCGGACUGCAGAGAGGAGCUACUUCAAUGGUGAGCAGAGAGACCCGUACGUGCGGCAGCUAGGCAGCGCCCGUCAGACAUUGUCAAUGGCGCAACUGAUGAACACUGCUAAGCCAGUGUGAUCCAUCUAUCCACGACCUGCCGCGCUUUCGUCGACAGUGCUGCGGGCUCGCCGCCCCAUCUGCAUGCACCGGUGCCGUCGCGCAUUCACGUACCGAUCGGUCGAAUUUUCUUCCCGAGAGACUACCACUUGCGCGGCGCCGGCGGGAGCUUUCGGCCGUCGCGGUCGGCACGGAUGCGACGGAUCGGGUUGGAUACACGGGGGCGCUAGAUCCUGGACGGAUCGUAUGUAUCUUAGCUUCAAAGUACUGCACCCCGAUGAGUAUGUACCUGUGGAGCCAGAGGGGAGUAACUAUUGACGGGACGAGACAUUCAUCCAUCGUUGCCGUUGCUGUCCCGUGGGAGCCCGCACGGCUGCACCGCCACCGCGCAGGAUCAUGUCGUCCUCCUUGAUCGGCUGUUUGCCUUUUUUGCGAGACGGCGAUCUCCGCCCAGGAUCUACGUCAACUAUAGUGGUACUGGUAAUAUAUUUUUUUUAAAUAACUAUAGUGGUACUGGUGUGGUAUGGUAUGAUACGACGGUAUCCUUCCAUCCUCCCGCCCCUGGUUUGUGGUGGUUUGUGGCUGUGUACAAUCUCCUUGGACCCUCCAUCGAUUGUGUAGUGCAUGCAGUUAAUGGCGACGCUUCUCUGGGUCUUAUUAUGAUGGAUUUCGACAUGAAAUGAAGUUGGUGCAUACUGUGUUACUCGUGUACCGUCAGUCCGUCAAGUCUUUCGCUAGCAACUUCGUACUACCUCCGUCUCAUAUUAAUUCACGCUACAAUACUACUGAUCAUUCUUCUUCCCCAAUGCACUUUAGGCUUUGUUCUGAUCAUGGGUCUCGAUGUGGUGGAUGGGCUAGCACUAGCAGUGUGUUGUCUGCUCGGCCCAUCCAAAACCAUCGUCUCUCCUGAACUAGACCAUCGUCUCUCCUGAACUAGACCAUCGUCUCUCCUGCUCUCCGAUGUUUGUUUCCUGGGAAGAAUCAUGUGAUUGCGCGCUUGUUCAUCAAGUCCCAGGUCAGGCGAGCCAAAGCAGAACGAUGCGCUCGUGUGUAGUCAUUUCUUGUGUCCGUCCCUUCGGUCUUUAUAUGGACGAACGGGAAUCAAUGCCCGUGUCGGCCGUGCUCGCGUCGCCCCAACAACCGAACUGGGAUCAUCCACCAGUAUUACAACUGUGGAGCCGUAAACAGUUCUUUUCAACGAAAAACGUCCUUACUACAACUCCAGGUCUAUUAUUUUCGAUCACGAUGGGAACGAGCCGACGUUACUAAUUGGGACAUUGGUCUGGCUAAUAAUUUCAAUGGUAAUGAUCUUUUGGGUUAGCUUAACAAGAAAAUUGUGUCAGCGGAGCCGGUCACCGUCGGCCCAAUAAUGGGACAGGCAGGCCGACCCAAAAUUAGUAGAUUAUGUGAAGUUUGCAGAUGUGGUUGCAAGGUGGUUAUCCUAGUGUGCUUAUAUGAAGUUUUCAUAAUAUUGACCCAAGACUGCUUUUGUUUAGGAGUUGCAUAUCUUAUGAUGUAAACGAUUCAUCGUACAACUGAAAUGGACUUGCAUAUGCCCUUUUUUCUUCCAAUAAAAUAAAUUCUAAAUAUCUUCACGUACUAAAAAUUCCUAUUGCUAAAAGAUGCUAGUUGAAAAAAAUGUUCUCAUGUAAAUGCUUUUUUUAGAUAGCUCACCGCUCAUACUGAAUGGUGUAAAUGCUCCUUGUUCUUGUGCAAUGUAAUAUUAAAAUUGAUUGGACCAUGUUGACCAAUGGUACAUGAGGCCACCCGGUAUUGAACCACUAGGCCCGCUCUAUGUCCUUGAACAAAACAGAGUGGUUGGCAGAGACCAUGACCGUGUCGAAGAGGGCCGGCCCAUUCCCAUCCUGAAUUUUUGAGUUAUGCAUGCGAAACCACCAAUGGCAUCUCUAACAUUUUCCCUGUUUUAUAACUCCCUUAAGGCUCAUUUGAUUCAAGGAAAUUUCAUCGGGUUUUGAAGGAUUUAGAUCAUUUGGAAUUUUUUCUACAAUGGCCGUUUGAUUUCUAUGAUUGAAAUACUGGGUUUUUUUUUCCACAAUAUUCAUUUGCACUACAUUUUUCAUAAAGAAAAUUUCCGUCAACUCAACUCAUUUGGUAGAAUUCCUUUUGCUUUUUUAUGUGCUAUCAAACACUCUUUCAUCCAGAUUCCCAUAAUUUUGCAAUUCUGUAGGAUAGAAGAGGGCAUGCCACUUUAUUUAUGCAUUCUGAGAAUCAUGUGAAUAAAAGAGACCCUAAGUAUCUUCGCAAACUUUAACUCAUAAAAUAUGAAGAGUCGAAAAAAGUGUGGACCUAGGCCUUUCCUCAAAAUUCCCACCCCACAAAAAAACAAAGGUGCCCAAACAAGUAAUUUCAAAUGCAACUAUCCACUCAAUUUAGACUAAACAAUGCCACAUUAAUAUAUUGUAGUGCUUAAUUAUGCAUAAUAGUGCCGCAUUAACAUCAUUUGGUGCUUAAUUCUAACAUUGCUAUAUUAAAUAUCAAAAUACUUCAAUUAAACUAACUACAACAUAAGUAACACAGAUUAAGAGCUAAAACGAGAUAAAACUUGCUAGUCCUCGUCGGAGGAGAGGUAGAUCACCAGCGCCUUGCAGAAGCCCGACGCCUCUAUUGGGGAACGUAGUAAUUUCAAAAAAAAUCCUACGCACACGCAACAUCAUGGUGAUGCAUAGCAACAUGAGGGGAGAGUGUUGUCUACGUACCCUCGUAGACCGAAAGCGGAAGCGUUAGCACAACGCGGUUGAUGUAGUCGUGCGUCUUCACGAUCUGACCGAUCAAGUACCGAACGCACGGCACCUCCGAGUCCUGCACACGUUCAACUCGAUGACGUCCCUCGAACUGCGAUCCAGCCGAGCUUUGAGGGAGAGUUCCGUCAGCACGACGGCGUGGUGACGAUGAUGAUGUUCUACCGAUGCAGGGCUUCGCCUAAGCAUCGCUACGAUAUUAUCGAGGUGGAUUAUGAUGGAGGGGGCACCGCACACGGCUAAGAGAUCCAAGAGAUCAAUUGUUGUGUCUAUGGGGUGCCCCCUGCCCCCGUAUAUAAAGGAGCAAGGGAGAGGUCGGCCCUAGAGGGGGCGCGCCAAGUGUGGGGAGUCCUACUAGGACUCCCAAGUCCUAGUAGGAUUCCCCUUUCCUUUUCGGAGUAGGAGAGAAGGAAAGAGGGGGAGAGGGAGAAGGAAAAAGGGGCUGCACCCCUUGUCCAAUUCGGACCAGAGGGGGGGCGCGCGCCUGCUUCCUUUUGGCCUCUCUCCUCUAUUCCCGUAUGGCCCAAUAAGGCCCAAUACUUCUCGCGGUGAAUUCCCGUAACUCCCCGGUACUCCGAAAAUACCUGAAUCACUCGGAACCUUUCCGAUGUCCGAAUAUAGUCGUCCGAUAUAUCAAUCUUUACGUCUCGACCAUUUCGAGACUCCUCGUCAUGUCCCCGAUCUCAUCCUGGACUCCGAACUACCUUCGGUACAUCAAAUCACAUAACUCAUAAUACAAAUCGUCAUCGAACUUUAAGCGUGCGGACCCUACGGGUUCGAGAACUAUGUAGACAUGACCGAGAUAUGUCUCCGGUCAAUAAUCAAUAGCGGAACCUGGAUGCUCAUAUUGGCUCCAACAUAUUCUACGAAGAUCUUUUAUCGGUCAGACCGCAUAACAACAUACGUUGUUCCCUUUGUCAUCGGUAUGUUACUUGCCCGAGAUUCGAUCGUCGGUAUCUCAAUACCUAGUUCAAUCUCGUUACCGGCAAGUCUCUUUACUCGUUCCGUAAUACAUCAUCCCGCAACUAACUCAUUAGUUGCAAUGCUUGCAAGGCUUAUAGUGAUGUGCAUUACCGAGUGGGCCCAGAGAUACCUCUCCGACAAUCGGAGUGACAAAUCCUAAUCUCGAAAUACGCCAACCCAACAAGUACCUUUGGAGACACCUGUAGAGCACCUUUAUAAUCACCCAGUUACGUUGUGACGUUUGGUAGCACACAAAGUGUUCCUCCGGUAAACGGGAGUUGCAUAAUUUCAUAGUCAUAGGAACAUGUAUAAGUCAUGAAGAAAGCAAUAGCAACAUACUAAACGAUCGAGUGCUAAGCUAACGGAAUGGGUCAAGUCAAUCACAUCAUUCUCCUAAUGAUGUCAUCCCGUUAAUCAAAUGACAACUCAUGUCUAUGGUUAGGAAACAUAACCAUCUUUAGUUAAUGAGCUAGUCAAGUAGAGGCAUACUAGUGACACUCUGUUUGUCUAUGUAUUCACACAUGUAUUAUGUAUCCGGUUAAUACAAUUCUAGCAUGAAUAAUAAACAUUUAUCAUGAAAUAAGGAAAUAAAUAAUAACUUUAUUAUUGCCUCUAGGGCAUAUUUCCUUCAGCCUCAACGUUGUGGGUGCCCUGCCAUGGCACCAGUGCAUCACUGGAGUUAUCGGCGGCAAGCUCGACGAAGAGCACUCCUCCCCCGUUAUUGCUCCUCCAUGGCCAACGCAUAGAAGUUCUCGACUACCUUGCUUGGACCGUCGAUGGAUCUCAUGAAAGCGAGAGGUGCUCCCACAUCGCUCGGUGUGGGUCCACUCCACAACGAGCUACCCCUCCGCAGCUCAGUGCUCCUCCUCCUCCUCCUUAGCGAGUGCCCUACCAUACUCCCUCCACGCUUCCUCCCACCAUAAGAUGCAUAUUUCACCAGCAUCGCUGCCUCGUUCAUUCCCUAUCCCUCUCGUAUUGUCGGGCUCCUCCUUGUCAUCUUCCCUCAUGCCAGCCUCCUCCCGUGACUCCUCAAUGACCGACGCGAGCUAUGCCUCCUCGCUCGCUUUGCUGCCAUCAGACCUCAAGGAGUCGACCACACGAUGUCGUUUGCGGCCACACCCACCUCGGCCAUGUGUAGACUGUGAGCCAUGGAAGAAUCAAGCGGUGGUGAGUGGUGACACAGAUUUAGGGCAUCGGCAAGCGAUCAUUUUUGGGAAAUGCAUGGGAGAUGGUUGUGGUUAGUGUCUGAGGUGGGUGCCGAUGGAUUUAUAGCAGCUGUGGGGUGAAUCGGGCGGUGCAUUGGCUCUCCAUUUACUUGGAGUGAGUGAGGAAAGAGGAGGUUUAGGGAGAAAUGGGUGGGCUGUUCAGAUUUUCUCUCAGAUGGAAACUUUUGAGGAUUUUCAAGGAUUUACAGCUAGGCAUCGAGAAAAUGUUAGCUGGGGUAUAACUCGUUGAAAGCGAAUCUUUUGUGGAGUUAAAUAAGUUUGAGGGAAGGGUUAGAGAUGCUCUAACAAUCAUUUUGAACUUGGGUGGAUGGUGGCGCUUCGUCUUCAACUUCGUCUUCAAGGUUCCGAUCCUCCUAGUGUUUUAUCUGUCUGGAUGAAGCUCCAGUGUAGAUUCCUACCAUCUUCAUAGCACGGCGAUGUUAGGAUUUUUCAUCGUGCGUGCACAAUUGCUAGAUUUAGUGUCAUAUGCUUCAGAUAGAUUCAAGGGUUCAACUGUGAUAACUUCGGCUCCACGGCAUUACUAGGGGCACGUGUACGAAAACUUUCCAACUGUGGUCGGCAAGGUCAGUCAACCUUGGAUAGAGGUGUGGCAACAUCAACUUGUUUUGGCAGGGUAACAGUAUGAAUACUUGAAUACUUGAGAGAGCCGACUCCUGUAUGAGCGAGUUUACAUGCCUAGACUCCCUGUACAAGUUCUGCAAGGUUGUUAUUGUUGUGUUUGGCCCUGAAUACUUGAGAGAGCCGACUCCUCAAGAUACAGUCCACUUGUUGGCGAUGAAUGCCAGCAGGGACUUCUCAGGGAUGCUUGGCAGCAUAGACCGCAUGCACUGGGAGUGGAAGAACUGCCCUUCUGCUUGGCAAGGGCAGUAUAAGGGCCAUGCCAGGGCAUGCACUGUCAUACUUGAGGCAGUGGCAUCUCAAGAUCUCUGGAUCUGGCACUCUUUCUUUGGCAUGGCCGGAUCACACAAUGAUAUCAACGUACUUCAGCACUCGCCGGUGUUUGCUAGGCUUGCCGAAGGCAACAGCCCACCGGUGAAUGUUACCAUCAGCGGCCACAACUACGACAAAGGAUACUACCUGGGUGACGGUAUUUAUCCUCAGUGGACCACUAUUAUGAAGACAAUCUCCAACCCUGUCGGAGAGAAGAGGAAAAGAUUUUCCCAAGAGCAAGAGAGUGUUAGGAAGGACGUCGAGCGUGCCUUUGGUGUUUUGCAAUCUCGAUGGGGCAUAGUUCGGUAUCCUGCUAAUACUUGGAGCACGAAAAAACUGCGGGAGGUGAUGACUGCUUGUGUGAUCAUGCACAAUAUGAUCGUAGAAGAUGAGCGUCCGAAACGUCUCUACGAUCAAUGGUUUCAGUUUUAGGGUGAGAAUGUUGUGCCUGAGCAUGGAGGAGCGGUAACGUUUGAAUAGUUCACCCAAUUUCAUCAUGACAUGCGUGACUAGGAAACUCACAUGCCACUGCAAAAUGAUUUGGUUGAGCAUAUGUGGGCUCAUGUUGGCACCCAAUAGAUGUAUCUUUUUUAUUCAGCUUGCAAAACUAUGUGAGACUAUUUUAUUUUUAUUCGGCUUGUAAAACUAUGCUAUUUAUUUGGUUGAAACUAUGCCUUGUGGACUAUAUGUUUGCUUGUGAAAUAAUGCAAAAGUUGUGUGUGAAAUAAUGCAAAAUUUGUGCUAUUUGUUGAAAAAGGACGACUAGCCGGCCACGCCGGCAUAUAUGGGUCGGCGUGUUGAACGCACUGCCGAUCCAAAUAUCAAACAAGGCGGAUGCCGAGCGGACGGCCGACCGAAGACAAAAAAAGACAAAAGCACCGUCCAUUUAGGUCGACGCGUUGGAGUUGCUCUUAGAUUAGCCAUCGUGCAAGCAUCGUCCCAGCAUCAAAAGACCAAACUGCAGAAAGCUGUAUAUCACCUGCCGAUCAAUGGGCUCGCUCGAUACUCAAUACGCGGUCGGUGGCUCGAUCGGCGGGCGCGCGCACGACGCUGCAUGCCGUGGACGGCGUUGGCAUUGGCCGGCCAGACGCGCGCUCCGAGGCCCCGUCCGCCACCCCACCCGAUGCACGCCAUGCCAGUAGGCCAAGACGCGCGCAUCCGCACCGACCGGCAUAUCGUGCGGCCGGUGCCGCGCCGUCGCAUGCACGUAGAACGCCGCGCCGUGCCCCGUGCACCCGGGCGCGUGGUCGUUGGUUGCGAUGGGUUAGGAUAACCUGCUAAUCAUGUGCGCGCCCACGUCGAGACAAUGCAGAUAGUGAGAUAGAUCAUGCAUGCAUCAUCUACGUAUGGUCAAGGGAUCAGGUCGCCAGAUCCCAGAUGCCAUCCACAACGUAGGAGUACCACCAAAUACUACGACCCACCAAAUUAAGUACCCGUCCCUAGAAGCUUAGGUACCACGUACCAUGGGGUCAGUCGAGAUGAUUAGCAGAGAGCAACGGUUCGUCGAACCGGCCGGCGUGGUCCAGGCCAGACGGCCGAGCUACUCCAGAUCUCUCCCGGAGGGCUAGAUUCUGGUUUGUCAGUCUUCCUUUUUCCUUGACCAAUGACCGGGCCGGGGGACAAAACGUCUUGUGCCAUGUUCUAGGCUAGGGUCCUCCCUCUUUGUCUCUCUAGAGUCUAGAGCACCUGCAGGGGGGGCUCGCAUUUUGGUUUCGUCCUUGGCUCAGGAGGGUGUGUACCUGCAUGCAUGCAGUCCCAAACAACAGAUGCGCCAUGAUUAUCGAGCGUGUGUCGUCUAAUGGCAGGUGGAUUCGUACGUACAUAUAUACUCCAACAGCACGGUCUCAACCAGAAUGAUCCUCGAUUUGAUCAUCUUAACAGACACAAAACAGUAAUGGUUAAAGUAUAGCCCGCGCAAGGAGAAAAUUACCACGGUCUGUGCACAUACGCAUCCAGUUCACAUCCGAGACUCGAGAAAGGCCGGCCUAGACACCAGCAACCGAACAGAUGAAAGGGAAACGUAGCAUGUGCGCGCGUGCUUACAACUAGUAGUAGACGCUUUGAGAAACUGAUGCGGCCGGCUCACGUAUGUGUCAAUGUGUGUCGGCAUUCCUCCAGGAGUUAUCUGAAAUUGCGGCAGCCAUGUCGUCACCUAUACUGUUGCGCUGUGGCCAUUAGGUCACCAUUCUGGGAAAGAUCAAUACUACCUGUGAGGAGCCGCUAGCUGCUGUUAGGGUGCACUCAACACACAGUGCACGCCCCCGUUCUCCGUCCCGGCGAUCACGAAACAUGUUGACUCCAAUUAUUUGGAGAUUGGCCAUCACUAUGCAUGUAUAGCAAAGGCUAGACAAAACAUUUAGAUGAUACAUGGGCGAGCAAGCGUAUCCAAGUUAAGUGGAGUAGACCGGUUGAUGUAGCGUCAAUCAUCAUCACAAGUGCUUUAUCGAUAAGAAAAGAGAGUAAAUUUUUCCCAUCCACGCUCUAGUUGCAUGACAUGCCCACAUUGGUCAUCCAACACGUGAAAUGGCAAUCUAACCCACAUAAUAGUUGUUAGGAUGUACAAUAUUGACCAAAACAUGCCAUGCUGGCAUUUUAGCAAGUUUGAUGAGCUAACCUAUACAACCAUUUUCAAAGUUGGAUAAUAAAAGUAUGUGCAAAACACCCAGGGUUAGGGACUGGGAGUGAAUUUUACUCAUUACGCACCAGCUAGGUGUGUGAGUCCUGUCCCCAACUUGGACUAUUUCUUGCCUUAUUGAUAGAGAUUGUCACGGUAUGUUCAUGGUAUAUGGUCAUUUCGUUCAUCAAAAGCAUGGUUGCUCAUAUUAUACGCUCCCUUUUUCGUUCUAGUGAUCGCGAAAGAUGUUGACUCCAAUCAUUUGGAGAUUGUUCAUCACUAUACACAUAUAACGAAGGCUCGAGGAAACAUUUAUAUGAUACAUGUGCUAGCAAGCGUAUCCAAAUUAAGUGGAGUGGACCGGCUGAUGUAGCAUCAAUCAUCAUCACAAAGUGAUUUCUCGUAAAAAGAAGAGCAUAUCCUAAUUCAGCCGGUUGAUGUAGCGCAAUCAUCACCAUAGGAGAUUUUGCGUAAAAAAAGAGAGUGUAUCCGAAUUUAGUGGAUUGGUUGAUGUAGCGCAAAUCAUCAUACAAGUGAUUUCUCGUAAGAAGGAGAGUAGAUUUUGCUCGCCCUCACUCCAUAUUGCAUGCAUGCUCACACUGGUCACCGGACUCUAAAACUGGUGAUCUUACCUACAUAACUUUUGUCGGGGUGUACAAUAUUGUCUAAAAGAUGCUAUGCCAUUUUACCAAGUUCGGUGAGCAACACGAGCAUUUUUAAACUUGGAUAACAAAGGUAAGUGCAAAACAUCAGGGAUUAGAGUCUAGAGACUAUGAAUGAAUUUGACUCAUUACACACCACCUAGGAGCGUGUGUCCUUCCCCCAAUUUGGGACUGUUUCUUGCCUUAACAAUAGAGCUUCCGUGGUGUGCUCGUGGCGUAUGGUCCUUCCAUUCAUCAGAAACGGGAAGGUUGCUCACAUUAUAUGCCCCCUUCUUCAUCUUGGCAAUCACGAAAGAUGUUGAUUCCAAUCAUUUGGAGAUUGUUCAUCACUAUACACAUAUGACGAAGGCUCGAGGAAACAUUUAUAUGAUACAUGUGCGAGCAAGCAUAUUCGAAUUAGUGGAGUGUACCAGUUGAUGUAUUAUCAAUCAUCAUCACAAGUGAUUUCUCGUAAAAAAGAGAGUGUAUCCGAAUUUAGUGGAUCAGUUGAUCUAGCGCAGAUCAUCAUCACAAGCGAGUUCUCGUAAAAAGGAGAGUCGAUUUUGCUUGUCCUCGCUCCCAAUUGCAUGGCAUGCUCACACUGGUCACCCAACUCUAAAAAUGGUGACCUUACCCACAUAACUUUUGUCAAGAUGUACAAUAUUGUCUAAAACAUGCUAUGCCACUUUACCAAGUUCAGUGAGCAACACGAGCUUUUUUUAACUUGGAUAACAAAGGUAAAUGUAAAACAUCAGGGAUUAGAGUCUAGAGACUAUGAAUGAAUUUGACUCAUUACACGCCAUCUAGGAGCGUGUGUCUUUUCCCCAAUUUGGGACUUUUUCUUGGCUUAACAAUAGAGCUUUCGUGGUAUGCUCAUGGUGUAUGGUCCUUCUGUUCAUCAAAAACGGGAAGGUUGCUCACAUUAUACGCCUCCUUCUUCAUCUUGGCAAUCACGAAAGAUGCUGACUCCAAUCGUUUUGAGAGUGUCCAUCACUAUACACACAUAGUGAACGGUGAAGGAAACAUGUAUAUGAUAAAAAGAUAGAGCGAACGUAUCCCGAUUUGGUGGACCAUUCGAUGUAGAGCCAAUAAUCUUAAGUGAUUUCUCGUAACAAGAAAAUGAGACUAAGUUUCAGUGAUUCACUCUACUUGCUCAAGAUGUUCACUUUUAUUGUCAGACAUUGAAAUGGCCACAUAACUAUGUGCAAUAAUAUCUAUAUUAAAUAUGCCGUGUUGGACCCGCAAAAAUAAAGCAUGCCAUGCUGGCAAUAAUAGUAAGCGCAACUCCUGGGUUUAGGGACUACAAGCGAAUUGUACUCAUCACACCACCUAGUCCUUCCCCUAAUUCCCUUUGCGAGUGUUUCCUUAACAUAAAAUUCACAUUUUCUGUGCCUCAAGUUGUUGUGGUGUGCUGAAAGUAUACGGUGCUUCCACCUGUCAUAAGUAAUAUGGCUGCCCAAAGUAUACACCCCCUUCUCUCUCCCGACGAUCACAAAAUAUGUAUAUUACAAUCAUUUCAAGAUUGUCCAUCACUAUACAUGUAUAGCAAAGGAUGAAGAAAACAUUUACAAGAUAAAGACCGAGCGAGCAUAUCCAAAUGUGGUGGACCAGUUGAUGUAGAGCCAAUCAUCACAAUUGAUUUCUCAUUUCUCAUAAAGAAAAAGAGAGAGUAAGUUCUAGUCGUUCUCACUAAGCUUACACAAUAUGCUCACUUUGGUCAUCCAACAAUGAAAAUAGCCUAUUGGCAAAUAUAUAUCUGAAAAUAGACAUCUAGCUAACAUAAAUCUGGGAAAUAUUUCCAAUAAUAUCGAAACCAGUUCCACUUUACAUCAGAAUUUUCUGACUCGUGGCUCAAGUGAAAUCAACCAGCUAAAAUAGUCAACAAAAUAAAAAGUGAAAACAAAAAAACCAAGAAACUUAUUCCGUAACACAACAACCAACAGCACAUUAGGAAACACAAAGUUUCAUUGAGUCAAAAAAUUAAAUAGGAAAAAUUGCAUGAAAUAUAUGGAGAACAUAUUCAGUAACACACAAAAAUUUCUGCACAUUAUAAAAGCACAAGUUGUGCAUCUUGAAAAUGUGCUACUGGUGUAUAUAUAAAGUGCAAAUGACCAAAAUAAAGUUGUAAACACAGAAAAUUAUCAAAAACACAUUUAGUUGCACAAAGAAUUAUUUCACACAUUUUAGGUACAUGCACGUGGUGCAUAUAUUAAAUGCAACAAAUGUUGGGGAACGUAGUAAUUUCAAAAAUUUCCUACGCACACGCAAGAUCAUGGUGAUGCAUAGCAACGAGAGGGGAGAGUGUUGUCUACGUACCCUCGUAGACCGUAAGCGGAAGCGUUAUAUCAACGCGGUUGAUGUAGUCGUACGUCUUCACGAUCCGACCGAUCCAAGUACUGAAAGCACGGCACCUCCGAGUUCUGCACACGUUCGGCUCGGUGACGUCCUCGCCUUCUCGAUCCAGCAAGAGGGGCGAAGUAGUAGAUGAGCUCCGGCAGCACGACGGCGCGGUGACGGUGUUGGUGAAGAACAAUCUUCGCUGGGCUUCGCCUAAGCACUACGAAAACUAUGACGGAGGAUAAACUAGAGGAGACGGGGUUGCCGGCACACGGCUUGGUGUUUCUUGAUGUCUCUUGGGUGCUAGCCCUACCCCUCUAUUUAUACGUUGAGCCUUGGGGUCAAAACUUGGAGUAAAAGCUUCCACAAAGUCGGUUUCACCCGAAAGGCAAGAGUCCUUCUCGGACUCCAGGGCCAGACGCCAGGGUUCCCGGCGUCUGGACCCAGACGCCAGGGACCCUGGUGUUGGAAACAUGCCCUAGAGGCAAUAAUAAAAUGGUUAUUAUUAUAUUUCCUUGUUCAUGAUAAUUCUCUAUUGUUCAUGCUAUAAUUGUGUUAUCCGGAAAUCGUAAUACAUGUGUGAACACAUAGACCAUAACAUGUCCCUAGUGAGCCUCUAGUUGACUAGCUUGUUGAUCAAUAGAUGGUUACGGUUUCCUGACCAUGGACAUUGGAUGUCAUUGAUAACGGGAUCACAUCAUUAGGAGAAUGAUGUGAUGGACAAGACCCAAUCCUAAGCAUAGCACUAGAUCAUGUAGUUCGUCUGCUAAAGCUUUUCUAAUGUCAAGUAUCCUUUCCUUAGACCAUGAGAUUGUGCAACUCCCGGAUACCGUAAGGGUACUUUGGGUGUGCCAAACGUCACAACGUAACUGGGUGGCUAUAAAGGUACACUACGUGUAUCCCCGAAAGUAUCUGUUGGGUUGGCACGAAUCGAGACUGGGAUUUGUCACUCCGUAUGACGGAGAGGUAUCUCUGGGCCCACUCGGUAGGACAUCAUCAUAAUGAGCUCAAUGUGAUCAAGGAGUUGUUCACAGGAUGAUGUGUUACGGGAACGAGUAAAGAGACUUGCCGUAACGAGAUUGAACAAGGUAUCGGUAUACCGACGAUCGAAUCUCGGGCAAGUAUCGUACAGAUAGACAAAGGGAAUUGUAUACGGGAUUGAUUGAAUCCUCGACAUCGUUGUUCAUCCGAUGAGAUUAUCGUGGAGCAUGUAGGAGCCAACAUGGGUAUCCAGAUCCCGCUGUUGGUUAUUGACCGGAGAGUUUCCUCGGUCAUGUCUACGUGUCUCCCGAACCCGUAGGGUCUACACACUUAAGGUUCGGUGACGCUAGAGUUGUAGAGAUAUUAGUAUGCGGUUAACCGAAAGUUGUUCGGAGUCCUAGAUGAGAUCCCGGACGUCACGAGGAGUUCCGGAAUGGUCCGGAGGUAAAGAUUUAUAUAUAGGAAGUCCAGUUUCGGCCACCGGGAGAGUUUCGGGGGUCACCGGUAUUGUACCGGAACCACCGGAAGGGUCCCGGGGGUCCACCGGGUAGGGCCACCUAUCCCGAAGGGCCCCAUGGGCUGAAGUGGCGUGGGAACCAGCCCCUGGUGGGAUGGUGCGCCCCACCCAAGGGCCCAAGGCGCCUAGGGUUGGAAACCCUAGGGGGCCGUUGCCCCCCAAGGGGGCAUGCGCCCCCUGGUUGGAAACCCUAAGGGGGCUGUUGCCCCCCAAGGGGCCGCCGCCCCCCCUCUAUAUAGUGGAGGGGAGGGAGGGCAGCCGCACCCUAAGCCCUGGCGCCUCCCUCUCCCUCCCGUGACACCUCUUCCUCCUCCAGUAGCGCUUGGCGAAGCCCUGCUGGAAUCCCGCUGUUUCCACUACCACACCGUCGUGCUGCUGGAUCUCCAUCAAAUUCUCCUUCCCCCUUGCUGGAUCAAGAAGGAGGAGACGUCUGCGCUCCGUACGUGUGUUGAACGCGGAGGUGCCGUCCGUUCGGCGCUAGGAUCAUCGGUGAUUUGGAUCACGACGAGUACGACUCCAUCAACCCCGUUCUCUUGAACGCUUCCGCUCGCGAUCUACAAGGGUAUGUAGAUGCACUCCUCUCUCUCUCGUUGCUAGAUGACUCCAUAGAUUGAUCUUGGUGAUGCAUAGAAAAUUUUAAAUUUCUGUUACGAUCCCCAACAGUGGUAUCAGAGCCAGGUUUAUGCGUAGUUUCUAUGCACGAGUAGAACACAAGUUGUUGUGGGCGUCGAUUUUGUCAAUUUACUUGCCGUUACUAGUCUUAUCUUGAUUCGGCGGCAUCGUGGGAUGAAGCGGCCCGGACCGACCUUACACGUACGCUUACGUGAGACGGGUUCCACCGACUGACAUGCACUAGUUGCAUAAGGUGGCUAGCGGGUGUCUAUCUCUCCCACUUUAGUCGGAUCAGAUUCGAUGAAAAGGGUCCUUAUGAAGGGUAAAUAGAAAUUGGCAUAUCACGUUGUGGUUUUGGCGUAGGUAAGAAACGUUCUUGCUAGAAACCUAUAGCAGCCACGUAAAAAAUUUGCAACAACAAUUAGAGGACGUCUAACUUGUUUUUGCAGCAAGUGUCAUGUGAUGUGAUAUGGCCAGAAGGAUGUGAUGAAUGAUAUAUGUGAUGUAUGAGAUUGAUCAUGUUCUUGUAAUAGGAAUCACGACUUGCAUGUCGAUGAGUAUGACAACCGGCAGGAGCCAUAGGAGUUGUCUUAAUUUAUUUAUGACCUGCAUGUCAACUGGAACGUCAUGUAAUUACUUUACUUCAUUGCUAACCGUUAGCUAUAGUAGUAGAAGUAAUAGUUGGCGAGGCAACUUCAUGAAGACACGAUGAUGAAGAUCAUGAUGAUGGAGAUCAUGGUGUCAUGCCGGUGACGAUGAUGAUCAUGGCGCCCCGAAGAUGGAGAUCAAAAGGAGCAAAAAAUGAUAUUGGCCAUAUCAUGUCACUAUUUGAUUGCAUGUGAUGUUUUACAUCUUAUUUGCUUAGAACGACGGUAGCAUAAAUAAGAUGAUCUCUCGCUAAAAUUUCAAGAAUUGUGUUCCCCCUAACUGUGCACCGUUGCUAAAGUCUGUUGUUCCGAAGCACCACGUGAUGAUCGGGUGUGAUGUCCUAACGUUCGCAUACAACGGGUGUAAGCCAGAUUUACACACGCAAUACACUUAGGUUGACUUGACGAGCCUAGUAUGUACAGACAUGGCCUCGGAAAACAGAAGACCGAAAGGUCGAAGAUGAGUCGUAUAGAAGAUACGAUCAACAUGAAGAUGUUCACCGAUGAUGACUAGUCUGUCUCACGUGAUGAUCGGACACGGCCUAGUUGACUCGGAUCAUGUGUCACUUAGAUGACUAGAGGGAUGUCUGUCUGAGUGGGAGUUCAUUAAUAAUUUGAUUAGAUGAACUUAAUUAUCAUGAACUUAGUCUCAAAUCUUUGCAAUAUGUCUUGUAGUUCAAAUGGCCCACGCUAAUGUCAACCUCAACUUCAACGCGUUCCUAGAGAAAACCAAGCUGAAAGACGAUGGUAGCAACUAUAUGGACUGGGUCCGGAACUUGAGGAUCAUCCUCAUAGCUGCCAAGAAAGCAUAUGUCCUUGAAGCACCGCUAGGUGAAGCACCUGUGACAGCCUGGUUUUGCCCUUUCUUAUUUGCUUGAAAUUUCAUUUGAAAGUUUUUGAAACUUGGAGUUUCUGAAUCUUUUCAUUUGGACUUAAACACUUGGGCAUCCUUGGCUUUCACCCAAGUGUUCACUUCUCUCCCAAACCAUCACUUCACUUCUGAUCCACCACAAAAUAACCUUUGGAAUAUUUUUCUUAAAUGAAAAAUAUUCAUUUUCUCUCAAAAACCCUAAGUCAGAUCUGUUUGCUUCAAGGCAACCCUAAUUUUUAUGGCUCAGAAAAUUCUAAGAUAAUUCACAAAUAUUCUAGGGACCCUAGGUCACCUCCCUGAGCAAAAAUAUUUCAUCACUUUUUGGAAUAUUUUUGCUACAGAAAAUCUUUUCUGUUCUGGACAGAAAUGGUGGUUUCUACAGCAACUACCAUUUUACUUGCUCCAUUUGACCUGAACUUUCUUGUGCAUCUUUACCUUAGUAACUUAUAACUAGCCUCCAAAGCACAGCCCCAAACUCCCAGCCAUUUGACCACAGUAACAUCACAAAGUUACGGACCAGAAACUUACCUGGCUUGUAAAAUCUUCUCUACUGCACCUGGAUCCAAACCAAACCGUGGUAAACUUCAAAACUACCACGAACAACAUGCCAGACAUGAUUUUUGGAUGAAGGCUGGCCUGAGAAGAGAGUUCGCGCGGUGACCACGCGUGUCCACGAUGCCAGGCAUAUGUGUCGACGCGCUCUGGGUGCCGCCGAACGCUCUGUUCGCGCGUGCUUGCUUCCCCCGCCUGCUCAACCAUGCCAAACCUCGCCUCCAUCAUCGUCUCGACGUCCUUAACUCCACCCUGGCACUCGCCGACGCCGGAGCUCGCCGCAGCGAGCACGGGCAAGGUCCGGCCAGCCCAACAGUGCGGAGCGCACUGUGCUCGUCGCCAUCCCCACAGUGGCCGCGUGACCUCCGUCGCCUUCUCCCCCUCUCACUGACGCCGCUCGUCGCCGGGCGCCGUGGACAGGUGUCCACCGGCGGAGCCCGAAGCACCCUCGCCGCUCGCCUAUAAAUAGAGCCACCCCCAACCUUCUUGAGCAUCCUCCAGCACUCACACACACCCCACGAUCGAGUAGGAAGCUGUAGCCCGGCCGGGCAGGCCUCGGGCCGCCGUCCCCGAGCUUGAGCUCGCCGGCGAUCCCCUCUGCUCGCCGCGGCAGCUCCAGCCCCUCCCAGGCCUGGGCGACCCCUCCAAGGCCUCCGCCUCUCUCCGGUGAGGCCAUCUCGCCCGCUUGGAGCCUCUGGAGCGGCCUCUGCUCGCCGUCUUCCUCAACUCCGACGACCUCCUUGUUCUGCCUCCGCUCGCGAGCUAGAUUCCGGCGCCGUCCGACCACCCCUAGCCAAGCUACGGGUACGGGCAGGUGCGCCUCGAACUCCUCUUGCCAUCCCUCCCUCUCGUUUGGGCCAAGGAGCCCUCAUCGCCGGCGAGAGCUCCGGCGCAGCCGCAGCCUUCCCCCACCUGACUAGCGGGGCCCGCUAGUUAGCCACUCAGUACACGUGCGAAACGGUACGAGUGGUGGUGCCCCUGGGCUUUACGCCUUCGACGUCACCCCCCCCCCCAGCUGUUUCUUUUUAUUCAAAUUCAUUUAUAUUCUAGAGAGCUUCAAACAAUUUUAACUUUUUAACCAUAAGUCCAAAUGAGAUGAUUCUUUUUGCAUUGUUUUCUUUGAAAGGAAAUAUAACAGCUCACCAAAGAUAAGAUUUUUCUGAGCUGUUUAGAAUUUCUGGUGAAUUUUAGAAGUGUUCUUGAUAUUCUCUUUUUGUGUUUAAAAUUAUUUUCAGAAGGUGAGGCUUGUCUUGUGGAUCACCAGGAGGCUUGUGAACCUCAUCUGUACUAAGGCAAGCCACAGCAACAUUUUUAUGAUGCCAUUUCAAUAUUUGUGAUUUUCUCACUUAAAUGAAAUGAUUAACCCAUGCAUGUAAAUAAUUAUUGAAUUAUUUAUAUUCUGUUAAGUAUUGGUCAGUUGUUAUGCUUGAUUUAUAGAAUAGUUGAAACUAGUAAAGCAAGUUAAAAUUUAUUUGAGGUGAUGUUAGAAAUUAUUUUGUUAUGCAUGUUAGUAAUUAUGUAAAGCUUUGUGUUUGCAUUCUUAAAUUGAUAAAAAUUUGUUAGAAAAUAUUCUGUUAAAUACUUGUUUAAUCAUAUUACUUGUCUUACAGAAUGUUUGAACCCAACUUAGUGAUAAAGAAAUUAAGAGUUGUUGAUAAUGAUAUCUUUUGGUCAAGCAUAUGAAAGAUUUAUCGGAGUUACUUUCUUGCGUAGGGAAUUAAUAAAACUUGUGGCAAAAUAUUUUGGUUAAGUUGUGAGUCAUUUUUGAGCUAGUAGAGUAAUAUGAGUUGUUGACGUUUAUGCUUGGUGUGCAUAUGGAUGACGUCGGUCAUUUUUUAUCAAUGUGAUGCAUGUGUUGUUUUGCAUUUCAUGGCAUGCUAUGACACCGGUCAUUUUUAGUUUAAAGAUUAAUCCUGAAUAUAAUUCAACUUGAAUAUACCGUUGACUGGAUCAUGGUGCCGCUGAAUCGAGUUUCUUUCCAGUGCAACCACAUUUGCCUUGUGGGAGGCUUUGAUUCGGUCCAUUGACACGGCCUCUGGUCGGUGCCUCCAUCUAGGGAAGAUUAUGUCGUGCUUGCCCUUGCCCGGUAAGCACACAUAAUCUUGUGUGCUCGUUGAUGAGAUUAUGGUACCGAGUCCCCGAGUGGGAGUGUUUUGACCACGAUGGUGGUCGGGGUGUCUUUGGUAGACACGGGGCCACCCAGGACCAGCCCGUUGGGGAUUUGGGUCGGAGUGGCCGGGAGAGUGCUGUGGCAAUGGAGGGGUUUUGUCGGAAUGUCGUUGGUCCACCCGAAUGGGAAUGCGAGGCCAUGGGUUCCGUGGUGUGGGUACAGUGUGCUACCUCUGCAGAGUGUAUAAUCUAUCGAUAGCCGAGUCCACGGUCACGGACACCUCGUACUAGGUCCCACCAUGAGUCAACGUUUAAUAAAAAUUGCACACUAAGCUAUGAACUUUUCAUUGUUAAUGGAUGGCAGAAAGGCCAUCGAGGUAUUUGGGACCAAAUGAUGGUCGUGGUUGUGAUCGCCGUAAGGAUCACGAGUUGUUCUUGAGAAAGACCACUAUGGUGGUGUGUUUGUGGUCCAGAGAUGAUCACAGUUGGUAAGCUGUCCUGAGGGACGUUCGGGCUUGAUCACAGCAUGUUGACAUAUAAUGUUGCAUUAUUAAUGAUUGGUUAAAUAUCAUGAUAUUGUUUGUCAUUAUGAUUAUGCUUGUUGUGAGCUUGUAAGUACAUUCAAUGUACUGACCUGGCGUGUCAUGCCAGAUUUCAGGAAUGUCUCAUUGGAAAGGAGCGCUGUUCGAGUCUAGAUCGUGUCCACAUCAGUGUCCCUGUGAUAUGGAGCUUCCGCUACGACGUUGUUCCGCUGCCACGUAGUUGGUCGAGUCGAGGCCCUUUUAUGUUCACUAAAUAAUGUACAUAUUGUUCCGCCGCACCGAGUGUGCCGCUUGGCCUCGACCACUGUUGUAAUAUGAACUAUGUUCCGCUAGCAUCAAUAAAGCAGUUGUUUUCUGUACCAAUAUGUUGUGUGUUGCCACAAGACAUGAUCUCUGGGCUGGCAAUGCAGGGUAAACCGGUCGCUCUGAGCCGGGGUGCCACAACGGUUGGUACCAGAGCCGCGCUGACUGUAGGCCACGCUAGACUACGACGUGUUAACUAGACGCUAGACACAAGUAAAUGUGAGUGUCGGUAGCAGUUAUAGCUGGUUGUUGCAUUGUAGUCAUUUGAUUAUUAUUUUUAUGCUAACCUGUUAAUGGUUGUGAGUGUAGAUGGCUCCGGUGCCGUAUCCGUGCCAGUUGCAGUUGAUGCCGUACACGUCACCGCACCUUCUCUGCAACGUGUGGCGUCGACUGUACCCUCACGGAGACGAACCAGUCUACCGUGUGUACCGGGAGCGUCUAGCAGACUCAAUGUAUGAGUAUCACGCAGUGGUUACUCUGCGCACCAGUUCCGAUUCCGGCUCUUACACUCGCACUUCUCGGAGCGGUUACGCCUCCACCGCUUCUCAGGCUGUCCAGUUUGCCGCAUUUGAGGUCCUUGUCGAGCUUCGUUAUACCGAGGUUCAAAUGCAGCAUCACCCAGGAUUCUAUUACUACCCAUCUCUGCACGACAACGGUCGUGUCCGUUUUCCUCUCGUUAACCCGGAGUCUGAUAGUGUUGCUAGCCAUCUUGCUCGCUAUAUUACUGCUAGCUACUGAUGAUCCAUGAGCUGGCUCGAGAGCUGACUCGUGCCCGUACUGCUUUAGCCGCUACCUUGAUCACUACUAGAUCCACCAUUACUCCAUCCUCACUGGGAUUUACCCCUUAUGUCCCAGUUAGCUCUAGCUCCCCUAUUUCGCCGGUUACUCCCCCGAGUAGCACAGGCGUUCCGGCCAUGAACCCUCUCAGUACUCCUGCCGAGUGGGUCUCACCUCUUGCUAUUCCUGCAGUCCCGAUGCUUCAUCCUACCCCUGCCCCUGAGGGAGAGCCCUCGAGGCAGCGUCGUCGUGUUACCUUUAACCCGGAGGUUUCCGUUAACCACGUCAGUUCGGGAUCUGAGACCGCUUCAGGGGAGGACACCGCAGCACCAGUAGAGCAGUAGUGUCUUUGAGUAUUCGCAAUCGUCUAGAUAGUGUACGGAUGUAGUUGUACGAGUCAUGAUGCUUCAUGUAUGAGAGUAGUGGAACCAGUCAGGAUGUUAAAUUUUCAUGUAUGAGUCUAUGUAUAAUUAUGAUGGGACUUUAAUCGCCGUAUUCUCUUCGCUCUUUUGUUUUUUUCGAGAAUUGUUGCUGGCUUUUCCCCAAUUUUAUUCUUGGAUGUCCCUCAUCUCGAUUUCGUUGCCUUGGGAAAAAUACUCAAUAGGAUGACGCGGGGAGGCGGCAGUAGCAACGUUCGUGAGGGAACUCCUGUUCGUCGUUCCGCACGACAGGCAGGAUAUUCUCCCGAGUCGUACGUUCAGCCACCACCUCCUCCGCCUGAUCCUCCCUCCACCGAGCAAGUUCUACGUAAGUUUGAAGAAAAAAGGAACAAUGAUCUGAUUGAAAUAUGGAGAAGUGUGCAAGCUAUAGUUGGACAAAAUGGAAAUAAGAAUGGUCAUCACUCAAAGCUGUCAGAUUUUCAGAGGACCAAUCCACCCAAUUUCAGUCAGGUUGUUGACCCAUUGGAUGCAGACGAUUGGUUGCGCACCAUGGAGAAAAAGCUUGAGAUCGCCCGUACUGAAGGAAAUGAUAAAGUCCCAUUUGCAACCCAUUACCUUGAAGGCGCAGCUGCCAUAUGGUGGGAAAAUACAAAAGCCAUGUGGCCGAUUGAUGAGGAAGUCACCUGGGAAAAAUUCAAGGAUAAGUUCCGCAAAUAUCACAUCCCUACUGGAGUUAUGAAGGCCAAGCAGCGUGACUUUCUCGCGCUUGUCCAAGGAAAUCAAUCUGUGGCUGAGUAUCUGCAAAAAUUCAAUCAUCUGGCCCGUUACUCUCUGUAUGACGUAGCCACCGAAGAAAGGAAGAUGGACAGAUUUCUUGGAGGUUUAAAUCCGCAACUUCGGUGUGCUCUCAGUAUGUUUGAUUUCACGGAUUUCCAAACUCUGGUAGACAAGGCAUUCAUUGCUGAACGGGAACACAAGCUUAUAUCAGAUAAUAGGCCUGUUAACGACAACAAGCGCAAUUUUGAGCCAAAGAAGGAUAGGCAACCUAUGCAAAAGGCUCAUACCUGGCAGCAGACUCAGGUGGAAUACCGGCCAAAUUGGCAGCAGAAUGUUAACAAGACCACCACUCAAGUCAAGAAUGUUGUGGCCAAUCCAAUGCAUGAGGAGCGGCAGCGCAAUAAUUCUUGUUUCACUUGCGGGCAGCCCGGACAUUAUGCCAAACAGUGCCCCAAGAACCACAAGGUGAAUGCGCUGAGCAGGCCACAAGUCAACUUUAUGGAGUCAGGGCCAACCCAGCAAAACUUCACUGGGCACGUGAAUCAUAUCUCCGCCAAUGAAUCCCAAGAGAAGCCAGAAGUCGUCAUUGGUAUGUUUUCUGUUAAUGACAUACCUGUAGUAAUUUUAUUUGACUCUGGGGCUUCCCAUUCUUUUAUUUCUCGGAGUUUUGCCGCCCAAAACAAUUUUCCUUGCACAAUUUUUGGCAAAAAUAUGCUGGUACAAACCCCGGGAUCUAUAAUCAAGAGCAAUCUAGUCUGCCGCGAUCUGGAGAUCAAUAUCAACGGGGUCCACUUUCCAACAUCUCUGAUAAUCAUUGAGUCUGAACAGUUGGAUAUUAUAUUGGGAAUGAAUUGGCUAACCAAAUAUCAAGUUUGUAUAAACUGCGCAACCCGAGAAGUCAAUUUAACCAGUCUGAAUGGGCAGCUCACCAAAUUCUAUGCUCGCAAGCAUAUACCCAAGCCAGAAGUAGUGUGCACUGCUGUGGUCAAAUUGGAAUCUAUUCCUGUGGUCAGUGAGUACACUGAUGUGUUUCCAGAAGAACUGCCAGGCAUGCCACCAGAUCGGGAACUGGAAUUUGCCAUAGAUCUUGUGCCCGGAACCGCACCAUUAUACAAGAAGUAUUACCGGAUGCCCUCAUCAGAAUUGGUGGAACUAAAGAAAAAGCUUGACGAAUUACUCCGGAAAGGUUAUAUUCGUCCCAGCUCUUCACCGUGGGGGUCACCUGCAAUCUUCGUGGGUAAAAAGGAUGGCAGUCUCCGUAUGUGCAUAGACUAUCGCCAGCUGAAUGAGGUCACCAUCAAAAAUAAAUACCCACUGCCAAGGAUUGAUGAUCUGUUCGAUCAUCUCAGUGGGGCUAAAGUAUUCUCAAAAAUCGAUUUACGGACCGGGUAUCAUCAGCUCAAGAUUAAAAGGGAAGAUAUUCCUAAGACCGCAUUCACUACACGAUACGGUCUUUACGAAUAUACUGUGAUGUCCUUUGGUCUCACCAAUGCCCCUGCCUUCUUCAUGCAUAUGAUGAACAAGGUGUUCAUGGACUUCCUCGACAAAUUUGUGGUAGUCUUUAUCGACGACAUCCUCAUUUACUCCAAGAGUGAAGCAGAGCAUAAGGAUCACCUCCGGGCAGUGCUACAACGGCUCCGCAACCAUCAGCUAUACGCCAAGUUCAGUAAGUGAAAAUUUUGGCUCAAGCAAGUUGGGUUUCUCAGGCAUAUACUAUCAGCCGAAGGCAUAGCCGUGGACCCGAGCAAAGUAAAGGAUGUGCUCGAUUGGGUACCGCCCACGACUGUAACACAGAUCCGGAGUUUCCUUGGAUUAGCUGGAUACUAUCGUCGUUUCAUUGAAGGGUUUUCCAAAAUUGCUAAACCUAUGACGGAACUGCUCAAAAAGGAUACAAAGUUUGAGUGGACCAAGGACUGUGAGAAGAGUUUUUAUGAGCUAAAGACGCGUCUGACAACCGCACCCGUAUUGACUCUUCCAGACAUUUAUCGCAGCUUCGACGUGUACUGCGAUGCCUCCAGACAAGGUAUUGGUUGUGUAUUGAUGCAAGACGGCAAAGUAGUAGCCUAUGCAUCACAACAACUACGACCACAUGAGGGAAAUUAUCCUACUCAUGAUUUGGAAUUGGCCGCAGUAGUUCAUGCAUUAAAAAUUUGGAGACACUAUCUCAUUGGAAAAAGGUGCCAAAUUUUUACCGACCACAAAACCCUCAAGUACAUCUUCACUCAGCCAGAUUUAAAUCUCCGUCAGCGAAGAUGGUUAGAGUUGGUCAAGGAUUAUGACCUUGGAAUAAAUUACCAUCCAGGCAAGGCCAACGUCAUUGCCGAUGCGCUCAGUCGAAAGCCCGUCAGCUUAAAUGUCAUGUUAAAAUCAUUGCCUACCGAACUUCAGGAGGAGAUCGCUCAGUUCAACUUGGUCAUCGUGGAUGCUGGCCUCACUAAUAUUUUGGGAGUUACCCCCACACUUGAGAUGGAAAUCCGCAAGGCCCAGCCAGAUGACGCCAAGCUACAAAAACAUGCAAGGCAGCCCCCAGAUUUCUUCAAGGACAACUUCGGUACCCUCCGAUUCCGUGGACGAAUUUGUGUACCAAAUCAACCGGACUUGAAGAGGAAAAUCUUGUCAGAAGCACACGAAUCCUCGUAUUCCAUUCAUCCAGGAAGUACGAAAAUGUAUGAAGACCUUAAACAAAUAUUCUGGUGGAAUGGGAUGAAGAAAGACAUUGCCUAUUUUCUAGCCUGUUGCGACAUAUACAACAAGGUGAAAGCAGAGCAUCAGAAGCCAGCCGGACUUCUCCAACCACUGCCAGUUUCACAAUGGAAAUGGGAUGAUGUUUGCAUGGACUUCAUCACCGGAUUUCCUAGGACUCAGCGAGGCAAAGACGCAAUCUGGGUUAUAGUGGACACCCUAACCAAGGUUGCUCAUUUCAUCCCGGUCAGCACCAGAUACAGAGCAAAUGAACUAGCGCAACUGUAUGUAUCCAGAAUCGUCAGUCUGCAUGGGGUACCCCGGACUAUCACUUCGGACCGAGGUUCUUUGUUUACCUCCGCUUUCUGGUCCCGCCUCCAUCAAGCCUUGGGGACAGCACUAAAAUAUAGUACUGCUUAUCACCCCCAGACAGACGGUCAGACUGAGCGAGUAAAUCAAAUACUCGAAGAUAUGUUGCGAGCCUGUGUGCUAGCCAAUGGGGCGAACUGGGAAGAUUGCUUGCCAUACGCCGAGUUCUCAUAUAACAACAGUUUCCAGACCAGUCUAAAGAUGUCACCCUAUGAAGCUCUAUAUGGUCGUAAGUGCCGCACUCCUCUAAAUUGGUCUCAAGCUGGAGAUAGGCAUAUCUUCGGAACCGAUCUCAUGAUGGAAGCCGAGAAACAAGUCAGGGAAAUCAGAGACCGACUGCAAUUGGCCAAAUCCCGUCAGAAGAGUUAUUAUGAUGCAAAGCACCGGCAGGUCAGUUUUGAACCCGGAGAACAUGUGUACCUCCGAGUCACUCCUAUGAAAGGAGUUAAGCGAUUUCAGACUCGUGGAAAGCUGGCACCCAGAUUCAUUGGUCCAUUCUCAAUUAUGUCUCGAGUGGGUACGGUUGUAUACCGACUGGAACUACCCCCGGAGUUGUCAGAAAUACACAAUGUGUUCCAUGUUUCGCAAUUGAGACGAUGCAUAUCCCCGCCUGAGAAAAGGAAUGCAAUGGCUGAGAUAGAAUUGGCAAAGGAUUUAACUUAUGAAGAAAGACCGUCCAAAAUUUUGAAUCAAGUGGAAAGGGUCACUCGCAGCAAAGUCAGAAAAAUUUUCAAAGUUCAGUGGGAGCAUCACACCGAGUCAGAAGCAACUUGGGAGCAGGAAGAGUUCCUUAAGAGUCAGUAUCCAGAGAGGUUUUCCCAAGCAACCGAAUCUCGAGGACGAGAUUCAUUCUAAGUGGGGGAGGUUUGUGACAGCCUGGUUUUUGCCCUUUCUUAUUUGCUUGAAAUUUCAUUUGAAAGGUUUUGAAACUUGGAGUUUCUGAAUCUUUUCAUUUGGACUUAAACACUUGGGCAUCCUUGGCUUUCACCCAAGUGUUCACUUCUCUCCCAAACCAUCACUUCACUUCUGAUCCACCACAAAAUAACCUUUGGAAUAUUUUUCUUAAAUGAAAAAUAUUCAUUUUCUCUCAAAACCCCUAAGCCAGAUCUGUUUGCUUCAAGGCAACCCUAAUUUUUAUGGCUCAGAAAAUUCUAAGAUAAUUCACAAAUAUUCUAGGGACCCUAGGGCACCACCCUGAGCAAAAUUAUUUCAUCACUUUUUGGAAUAUUUUUGCUACAGAAAAUCUUUUCUGUUCUGGACAGAAAUGGUGGUUUCUACGGCAACUACCAUUUUACUUGCUCAAUUUGACCUGAACAUUCUUGUGCAUCUUUACCUUAGUAACUUAUAACUAGCCUCCAAAGCACAGCCCCAAACUCCCAACCAUUUGACCACAGUAACAUCACAAAGUUACUGACCAGAAACUUACCUGGCUUGUAAAAUCUUCUCUACUGCACCUGGAUCCAAACCAAACCGUGGUAAACUUCAAAACUACCAUGAACAACAUGCCAGACAUGAUUUUUGGACGAAGGCUGGCCAGAGGAGAGAGUUCGCGCGGUGACCACGCGUGUCCACGAUGCCAGGCAUGCGUGUCGACGCGCUCUGGGUGCCGCCGAACGCUCUGUUCGCGCGUGCUUGCUUCCCCCGCCUGCCCAACCAUGCCAAACCUCGCCACCAUCAUCGUCUCGACAUCCUUAACUCCACCCUGGCACUCGCCGACGCCGGAGCUCGCCGCAGCGAGCAUGGGCAAGGUCCGGCCAGCCCAACAGUGCGGAGCGCACUGUGCUCGUCGCCAUCCCCUUGAUCCUGUGCUCGUCUCCGCUCGCCCAAAGUGGCCGCGUGACCUCCAUCGCCUUCUCCCCCUCUCACUGACGCCGCUCGUCGCCGGGCGCCGUGGACAGGUGUCCACCGGCGGAGCCCGAAGCACCCUCGCCGCUCACCUAUAAAUAGAGCCACCCCCAACCUUCUUGAGCAUCCUCCAGCACUCACACACACCCCACGAUCGAGUAGGAAGCCGUAGCCCGGCCGGGCAGGCCUCGGGCCGCCGUACCCGAGCUUGAGCUCGCCGGCGAUCCCCUCUGCUCGCUGCGGCAGCUCCAGCCCCUUCCAGGCCUGGGCGACCCCUCCAAGGCCUCCGCCUCUCUCCGGUGAGGCCAUCUCGCCCGCUUGGAGCCUCUGGAGCGGCCUCUGCUCGCCGUCUUCCUCAACUCCGACGACCUCCUGGUUCUGCCUCCGCUCGCGAGCUAGAUUCCGACGCCAUCCGACCACCCCUAGCCACGAUACGGGUACGGGAAGGUGCGCCUCGAACUCCUCUUGCCAUCCCUCCCUCUCGUUUGGGCCAAGGAGCCCUCGUCGCCGGCGAGAGCUCCGGCGCAGCCGCGGCCCUCUCUGUUUCUCUCUCCCUCUUCCCCCACCUGACUAGCGGGGCCCGCUAGUCAGCCACUCAGUACACGUGCGAAACGGUACGAGUGGUGGCGCCCCUGGGCUUUACNNNNNNNNNNNNNNNNNNNNNNNNNNNNNNNNNNNNNNNNNNNNNNNNNNNNNNNNNNNNNNNNNNNNNNNNNNNNNNNNNNNNNNNNNNNNNNNNNNNNNNNNNNNNNNNNNNNNNNNNNNNNNNNNNNNNNNNNNNNNNNNNNNNNNNNNNNNNNNNNNNNNNNNNNNNNNNNNNNNNNNNNNNNNNNNNNNNNNNNNNNNNNNNNNNNNNNNNNNNNNNNNNNNNNNNNNNNNNNNNNNNNNNNNNNNNNNNNNNCUUUUUAUUCAAAUUCAUUUAUAUUCCAGAGAGCUUCAAACAAUUUUAACUUUUUAACCAUAAGUCCAAAUGAGAUGAUUCUUUUUGCAUUGUGUUCUUUGAAAGGAAAUCUAAGAGCUCACCAAAGAUAAGAUUUUUCUGGGCUGUUUAGAAUUUCUGGUGAAUUUCAGAAGUGUUCUUGAUAUUCUCUUUUUGUGUUUAAAAUUAUUUUCAGAAGGUGAGGCUUGUCUUGAGGAUCACUAGGAGGCUUGUGAACCUCAUCUGUACUAAGGCAAGCCACAGCAACAUUUUUAUGAUGCCAUUUCAAUAUUUGUGAUUUUCUCACUUAAAUGAAAUGAUUAACCCAUGCAUGUAAAUAAUUAUUGAAUUAUUUAUAUUCUGUUAAGUAUUGGUCAGUUGUUAUGCUUGAUUUACAGAAUAGUUGAAACUAGUAAAGCAAGUUAAAAUUUAUUUGAGGUGAUGUUAGAAAUUAUUUUGUUAUGCAUGUUAGUAAAUAUGUAAAGCUUUGUGUUUGCAUUCUUAAAUUGAUAAAAAUUUGUUAGAAAAUAUUCUGUUAAAUACUUGUUUAAUCAUAUUACUUGCCUUACAGAAUGUUUGAACCCAACUUAGUGAUAAAGAAAUUAAGAGUUGUUGAUAAUGAUAUCUUUUGGUCAAGCAUAUGAAAGAUUUAUCGGAGUUACUUUCUUGCGUAGGAAAUUAAUAAAACUUGUGGCAAAAUAUUUUGGUUAAGUUGUGAGUCAUUUUUGAGCUAGUAGAGUAAUAUGAGUUGUUGACAUUUAUGCUUGGUGUGCAUAUGGAUGACGUCGGUCAUUUUUAUCAAGAUGUGAUGCAUGUGUUGUUUUGCAUUUCAUGGCAUGCUAUGACACCGGUCAUUUUUAGUUUAAAGAUUAAUCCUGAAUAUAAUUCAACUUGAAUAUACCGUUGACUGGGUCAUGGUGCCGCCUAAUCGAGUUUCUUUCCAGUGCAACCACAUUUGCCUUGUGGGAGGCCUUGAUUCGGUCCAUUGACACGGCCUCUGGUCGGUGCCUCCAUCUAGGGAAGAUUAUGUCAUGCUUGCCCUGGCCCAGUAAGCACAGAUAAUCUUGUGUUGCUCGUUGAUGAGAUUAUGGUACCGAGUCCCCGAGUGGGAGUGUUUUGACCACGACGGUGGUUGGGGUGUCUUUGGUUGACACGAGGCCACCCAGGACCAGCCCGUUGGGGAUUUGGGUCGGAGUGGCCAGGAGAGUGCUGUGGCAAUGGAGGGGUUUUGUCGGAAUGUCGUUGGUCCACCCGAAUGGGAAUGCGAGGCCAUGGGUUCCGUGGUGUGGGUACAGUGUGCUACCUCUGCAGAGUGUAUAAUCUAUCGAUAGCCUAGUCCACGGUCACGGACACCUCGUACUAGGUCCCACCAUGAGUCAACGUUUAAUAAAAAUUGCACACUAAGCUAUGAACUUUGCAUUGUCAAUGGAUGGCAGAAAGGCCAUCGAGGUAUUUGGGACCAAAUGAUGGUCGUGGUUGUGAUUGCCGUAAGGAUCACGAGUUGUUCUUGAGAAAGACCACUAUGGUGGUGUGUUUGUGGUCCAGAGAUGAUCACAGUUGGUAAGCUGUCCUGAGGGACGUUCGGGCUUGAUCACAGCAUGUUGACAUAUAAUGUUGCAUUAUUAAUAAUUGGUUAAAUAUCAUGAUAUUGUUUGUCAUUAUGAUUAUGCUUGUUGUGAGCUUGCAAGUACAUUCAAUGUACUGACCUGGCGUGUCAUGCCAGAUUUCAGGAAUGUCUCGUUGGAAAGGAGCGCUGUUCGAGUCUAGAUCGUGUCCACAUCAGUGUCCCUGUGAUAUGGAGCUUCCGCUACGACGUUAUUCCGCUGCCACGUAGUUGUUCGAGUCGAGACCCUUUUAUGUUCACUAAAUAAUGUACAUAUUGUUCCGCCGCACCGAGUGUGCCGCUUGGCCUCGACCACUGUUGUAAUAUGAACUCUGUUCCGCUAGCAUCAAUAAAGCGGUUGUUUUCUGUACCAAUAUGUUGUGUGUUGCCAGAAGAUAUGAUCUCUGGGCUGGCAAUGCAGGGUAAACCGGUCGCUCUGAGCCGGGGUGCCACAGCACCCGUCCCAGCAAACCAAGACGUUAUGAACGCCUGGCAAGCACGUGUUGAUGACUACUCCCUGGUUCAGUGCGGCAUGCUUUACAGCUUAGAACCGGGGCUCCAAAAGUGUUUUGAGCAGCACGAAGCAUAUGAGAUGUUCCAAGAGCUGAAAAUGGUUUUCCAAGCUCAUGCCCGGGUCGAGAGAUAUGAAGUCUCCGACAAGUUCUACAGUUGUAAGAUGGAGGAGAAUAGUUCCGUCAGCGAACACAUACUCAAAAUGUCUGGGUUGCACAACCGCUUAUCUCAGCUGGGAGUUAAUCUCCCGGAUGAUGCGGUCGUUGACAGAAUCCUUCAGUCGCUCCCACCUAGCUACAAGAGCUUUGUGAUGAACUUCAAUAUGCAGGUGAUGGAAAAGACCAUUCCUGAGGUAUAUUCAAUGCUGAAAUUAGCGGAGGUGGAGAUCAAAAAGGAACAUCAAGUGUUGAUGGUGAAUAAAACCACUAAGUUCAAGAAAGGCAAGGGUAAGAAGAACUUCAAGAAAGAUGGCAAGGGAGUUGCCGCGCCCGGUAAGCAAGCUGCCGGGAAGAAGACAAAGAAUGGACCCAAGCCUGAGACUGAGUGCUUUUAUUACAAGGGAAACGGUCACUGGAAGCGGAACUGCCCCAAGUACUUAGCGGACAAGAAGGCCGGCAAUACCAAAGGUAUAUGUGAUAUACAUGUUAUUGAUGUGUACCUAACCAGCGCUCGUAGUAGCUCCUGGGUAUUUGAUACCGGUGCGGUUGCUCAUAUUUGUAACUCAAAGCAGGAGCUGCGGAAUAAGCGGAGACUGGCGAAGGACGAGGUGACGAUGCGCGUCGGGAAUGGUUCCAAGGUCGAUGUGAUCGCCGUCGGCACGCUACCUCUACAUUUACCUACGGGAUUAGUUUUAAACCUCAACAAUUGUUAUUUAGUGCCAGCUUUGAGCAUGAACAUUGUAUCUGGAUCUCGUUUGAUGCGAGAUGGCUACUCAUUUAAAUCCGAGAAUAAUGGUUGUUCUAUUUAUAUGAGAGAUAUGUUUUAUGGUCAUGCCCCACUGGUCAAUGGUUUAUUCUUAAUGAAUCUUGAACGUGAUGUUACACAUAUUCAUAGUGUGAAUGCCAAGAAAUGUAAGGUUGAUAAUGAUAGUCCCACAUACUUGUGGCACUGCCGCCUUGGUCACAUUGGUGUCAAACGCAUGAAGAAACUCCAUGCAGAUGGACUUUUGGAGUCUCUUGAUUAUGAAUCAUUUGACACGUGCGAACCAUGCCUCAUGGGAAAAAUGACCAAGACUCCGUUCUCCGGAACAAUGGAGCGAGCAACCAACUUAUUGGAAAUCAUACAUACUGAUGUGUGUGGUCCAAUGAGCGUUGAGGCUCGCGGUGGCUAUCGUUAUGUUCUCACCCUCACUGAUGACUUCAGUAGAUAUGGGUAUGUCUACUUAAUGAAACACAAGUCUGAGACCUUUGAAAAGUUCAAGGAAUUUCAGAGUGAGGUUGAAAAUCAACGUGACAGGAAAAUAAAGUUCUUACGAUCAGAUCGUGGAGGGGAAUAUUUGAGUCACGAAUUUGGCACACACUUAAGGAAAUGUGGAAUUGUUUCACAACUCAUGCCGCCUGGAACACCUCAGCGUAAUGGUGUGUCCGAACAUCGUAAUCGCACUCUAUUGGAUAUGGUGCGAUCUAUGAUGUCUCUUACCGAUUUACCGCUAUCAUUUUGGGGUUAUGCUUUAGAGACUGCCGCAUUCACUUUAAAUAGGGCUCCGUCGAAAUCCGUUGAGACGACACCGUAUGAAUUAUGGUUUGGAAAGAAACCUAAGCUGUCGUUUCUGAAAGUUUGGGGAUGCGAUGCUUAUGUCAAGAAACUUCAACCUGAAAAGCUCGAACCCAAGUCGGAAAAAUGCGUCUUCAUAGGAUAUCCUAAGGGAACCAUUGGGUAUACCUUCUACCUCAGAUCCGAAGGCAAGAUCUUCGUUGCCAAGAACGGGUCCUUUCUGGAGAAAGAGUUUCUCUCGAAAGAAGUAAGUGGGAGGAAAGUGGAACUUGAUGAGAUGACCCCUCUCGAACCAGAAAGUAGCGCGGCACAAGAAAAUGUUUCUGUGGUGCCUGCACCGACUAUAGAGGAAGUUAAUGAUGACGAUCAUGAUCAAGUUACCACUAACUUCGUAGGUCCACAAGGACACGUUCCGCACCAGAGUGGUACGGCAACCCUGUCCUGGAAAUCAUGUUGUUGGACAACGGUGAACCUUCGAACUAUGAAGAAGCAAUGGCGGGCCCAGAUUCCAACAGAUGGCUUGAAGCCAUGCAAUCCGAGAUAGGAUCCAUGUAUGAAAACAAAGUAUGGACUUUGACAGACUUGCCCGAUGAUCGGCGAGCGAUAGAAAAUACAUGGAUCUUGAAGAAGAAGACGGACGCGGAUGGAAAUGUUACCAUCUAUAAAGCUCGACUCGUCACUAAGGGUUAUCGACAAGUUCAAGGAGUUGACUACGAUGAGACCUUCUCACCCGUAGCGAAGCUGAAGUCUGUCCGAAUCAUGUUAGCAAUUGCCGCAUUCUACGAUUAUGAAAUAUGGCAAAUGGACGUCAAAACGGCAUUCCUUAACGGCUUCUUUAAGGAAGAAUUGUAUAUGAUGCAGCCGGAAGGUUUUGUCGAUCCUAAGAAUGCUGACAAAGUAUGCAAGCUCCAGCGCUCAAUCUAUGGGCUGGUGCAGGCAUCUCGGAGUUGGAACAUUCACUUUGAUGAGAUGAUCAAAGCGUUUGGGCUUACACAGACUUAUGGAGAAGCAUGUGUUUACAAGAAAGUGAGUGGGAGCUCUGUAGCAUUUCUCAUAUUAUAUGUGGAUGACAUACUAUUGAUGGGAAAUGAUAUAGAAUUCUUGGAAAGCAUAAAGGCCUACUUGAAUAAGUGGUUUUCAAUGAAGGACCUUGGAGAAGCUUCUUACAUAUUAGGCAUCAAGAUCUAUAGAGAUAGAUCGAGACGCCUCAUAGGUCUUUCACAAAGCACAUACCUUGAAAAGAUAUUGAAGAAGUUCAAUAUGGAUCAGUCCAAGAAGGGGUUCUUGCCUGUAUUGCAAGGCGUGAAAUUGAGGACGACUCAAUGCCCGACCACGGCAGAAGAUAGAGAAAAGAUGAGUGUCGUCCCCUAUGCCUCGGCCAUAGGGUCUAUUAUGUAUGCCAUGCUGUGUACCAGACCUGAUGUAAACCUUGUCGUAAGUUUGGUAGGAAGGUACCAAAGUAAUCCCGGCAUGGAACACUGGACAGCGGUCAAGAACAUCCUGAAGUACCUGAAAAGGACUAAGGAUAUGUUUCUCGUUUAUGGAGGUGACGAAGAGCUCGUCGUAAAGGGUUACGUCGAUGCUAGCUUCGACACAGAUCUGGAUGAGUCUAAGUCACAAACCGGAUACGUGUAUAUUUUGAAUGGUGGGGCAGUCAGCUGGUGCAGUUGCAAGCGAAGCGUCAUGGCGGGAUCUACAUGUGAAGCGGAGUACAUGGAAGCCUCGGAGGCAGCACAUGAAGCAAUCUGGAUGAAGGAGUUCAUUGCCGACCUAGGAGUUAUGUCUGUGAUCAUAUCCGGGACUCCGAACUACCUUCGGUACAUCAAAACACAUAAACUCAUAUUACCGAUCAUCACCGAACUUUAAACGUGCGGACCCUACGGGUUCCAGAAAUAUGUAGACAUGACCGAGACUCGUCUCCGGUCAAUAACCAAUAGCGGAACCUGGAUGCUUAUAUUGGUUCCUACAUAUUCUAACAAAGAUCUUUAUCGGUCAAACCGCAUAACAACAUACGUUGUUCCCUUUGUCAUCGGUAUGUUACUUGCCCGAGAUUCGAUCGUAGGUAUCUCAAUACCUAGUUCAAUCUCGUUACCGGCAAGUCUCUUUACUCGUUCCGUAAUACAUCAUCCCGCAACUAACUCAUUAGUUGCAAUGCUUGCAAGGCUUAUAGUGAUGUGCAUUACCGAGUGGGCCCAGAGAUACCUCUCCGACAAUCGGAGUGACAAAUCCUAAUCUCGAAAUACGCCAACCCAACAAGUACCUUUGGAGACACCUGUAGAGCACCUUUAUAAUCACCCAGUUACGUUGUGAUGUUUGGUAGCGCACAAAGUGUUCCUCCGGUAAACGGGAGUUGCAUAAUCCCAUAGUCAUAGGAACAUGUAUAAGUCAUGAACAAAGCAAUAGCAGAAUACUAAACGAUCGAGUGCUAAGCUAACGGAAUGGGUCAAUUCAAUCACAUCAUUCUCCUAAUGAGGUGAUCCCGUUAAUCAAAUGGCAAGUCAUGUCAAUGGCUAGGAAACAUAACCAUCUUUGAUCAACGAGCUAGUCAAGUAGAGGCAUACUAGUGACACUCUGUUUGUCUAUGUAUUCACACAAGUAUUAUGUUUCUGGUUAAUACAAUUCUAGCAUGAAUAAUAAACAUUUAUCAUGAUAUAAGGAAAUAAAUAAUAACUUUAUUAUUGCCUCUAGGGCAUAUUUCCUUCAGUCUCCCACUUGCACUAGAGUCAAUAAUCUAGAUUACACAGUAAUGAUUCUAACACCCAUGGAGCCUUGCUGCUGAUCAUGUUUUGCUCGUGGAAGAGGCUUAGUCAACGGGUCUGCAACAUUCAGAUCCGUAUGUAUCUUGCAAAUUUCUAUGUCUCCCACCUGGACUAGAUCCCGGAUGGAGUUCAAGCGUCUCUUGAUGUGCUUGGUUCUCUUGUGAAAUCUAGAUUCCUUCGCCAAGGCAAUUGCACCAGUAUUGUCACAAAAGAUUUUCAUUGGACCCGAUGCACUAGGUAUGACACCUAGAUCGGAUAUGAAUUCCUUCAUCCAGACUCCUUCAUUUGUUGCUUCCGAAGCAGCUAUGUACUCCGGUUCACACGUAGAUCCCACCACGACGCUUUGUUUAGAACUGCACCAACUGACAGCUCCACCGUUGAAUGUAAACACGUAUCCGGUUUGCGAUUUAGAAUCAUCCGGAUCAGUGUCAAAGCUUGCAUCAACGUAACCAUUUACGACUAGCUCUUUGUCACCUCCAUAAACGAGAAACAUAUCCUUAGUCCUUUUCAGGUAUUUCAGGAUGUUCUUGACCGCUGUCCAGUGAUCCACUCCUGGAUUACUUUGGUACCUCCCUGCUAGACUUAUAGCAAGGCACACAUCAGGUAUGGUACACAGCAUUGCAUACAUGAUAGAGCCUAUGGCUGAAGCAUAGGGAACAUCUUUCAUCUUCUCUCUAUCUUCUGCAGUGGUCGGGCAUUGAGUCUUACUCAACUUCACACCUUGUAACACAGGCAAGAACCCUUUCUUUGCUUGAUCCAUUUUGAACUUCUUCAAAACUUUGUCUAGGUAUGUGCUUUGUGAAAGUCCAAUUAAGCGUCUUGAUAUAUCUCUAUAGAUCUUGAUGCCCAAUAUAUAAGCAGCUUCACCGAGGUCCUUCAUUGAAAAACUCUUAUUCAAGUAUCCCUUUAUGCUAUCCAGAAAUUCUAUAUCAUUUCCAAUCAGCAAUAUGUCAUCCACAUAUAAUAUCAGAAAUGCUACAGAGCUCCCACUCACUUUCUUGUAAAUACAGGCUUCUCCAAAAGUCUGUACAAAACCAAAUGCUUUGAUCACACUAUCAAAGCGUUUAUUCCAACUCCGAGAGGCUUGCACCAGUCCAUAAAUGGAUCGCUGGAGCUUGCACACUUUGUUAGCUCCCUUUGGAUCGACAAAACCUUCCGGUUGCAUCAUAUACAACUCUUUUUCCAGAAAUCCAUUCAGGAAUGUAGUUUUUACAUCCAUUUGCCAAAUUUCAUAAUCAUAAAAUGCAGCAAUUGCUAACAUGAUUCGGAUAGACUUAAGCAUCGCUACGGGUGAGAAGGUCUCAUCGUAGUCAAUCCCUUGAACUUGUCGAAAACCUUUCGCAACAAGUCGAGCUUUAUAGACAGUAACAUUACCGUCAGCGUCAGUCUUCUUCUUGAAGAUCCAUUUAUUCUCAAUGGCUUGCCGAUCAUCGGGCAAGUCAACCAAAGUCCACACUUUGUUCUCAUACAUGGAUCCCAUCUCAGAUUUCAUGGCCUCAAGCCAUAUUGCGGAAUCUGGGCUCACCAUCGCUUCUUCAUAGUUCGUAGGUUCAUCAUGGUCUAGUAACAUAACCUCCAGAACAGGAUUACCAUACCACUCUGGUGCGGAUCUUACUCUGGUUGACCUACGAGGUUCAGUAACAACUUGAUCUGAAGUUUCAUGAUCAUCAUCAUUAACUUCCUCACUAAUUGGUAUAGACGUAACAGGAACCGGUUUCUGUGAUGAACUACUUUCCAAUAAGGGAGCAGGUACGGUUACCUCAUCAAGUUCUACUUUCCUCCCACUCACUUCUUUCGAGAGAAACUCCUUCUCUAGAAAGGAUCCAUUCUUAGCAACGAAUGUUUUGCCUUCGGAUCUGUGAUAGAAGGUGUACCCAACAGUCUCCUUUGGGUAUCCUAUGAAGACACAUUUCUCCGAUUUGGGUUCGAGCUUAUCAGGUUGAAGCUUUUUCACAUAAGCAUCGCAACCCCAAACUUUAAGAAACGACAACUUUGGUAUCUUGCCAAACCACAGUUCAUAAGGCGUCGUCUCAACGGAUUUUGAUGGUGCCCUAUUUAACGUGAAUGCAGCCGUCUCUAAAGCAUAACCCCAAAAUGAUAGCGGUAAAUCAGUAAGAGACAUCAUAGAUCGCACCAUAUCUAGUAAAGUACGAUUACGACGUUCGGACACACCAUUACGUUGUGGUGUUCCGGGUGGCGUGAGUUGCGAAACUAUUCCGCAUUGUUUCAAAUGUAGACCAUACUCGUAACUCAAAUAUUCUCCUCCACGAUCAGAUCGUAGAAACUUUAUUUUCUUGUUACGAUGAUUUUCAACUUCACUCUGAAAUUCUUUGAACUUUUCAAAUGUUUCAGACUUAUAUUUCAUUAAGUAGAUAUACCCAUAUCUGCUUAAAUCAUCUGUGAAGGUGAGAAAAUAACGAUAUCCGCCGCGAGCCUCAACAUUUAUCGGACCACAUACAUCUGUAUGUAUGAUUUCCAACAAAUCUGUUGCUCGCUCCAUAGUUCCGGAGAACGGCGUUUUAGUCAUGUUGCCCAUGAGGCAUGGUUCGCAAGUACCAAGUGAUUCCAAAAGUCCAUCAGUAUGGAGUUUCUUCAUGCGCUUUACACCAAUAUGACCCAAACGAUAGUGCCACAAAUAAGUUGCACUAUCAUUAUCAACUCUGCAUCUUUUGGUUUCAACAUUAUGAAUAUGUGUAUCACUACUAUCGAGAUUCAUCAAAAAUAGACCGCUCUUCAAGGGUGCAUGACCAUAAAAGAUAUUACUCAUAUAAAUAGAAUAACCAUUAUUCUCUGAUUUAAAUGAAUAACUAUCUCGCAUCAAACAAGAUCCAGAUAUAAUGUUCAUGCUCAACGCUGGCACCAAAUAACAAUUAUUUAGGUCUAAUACUAAUCCCGAAGGUAGGUGUAGAGGUAGCGUGCCGACGGCGAUCACAUCGACUUUGGAACUGUUUCCCACGCGCAUCGUCACCUCGUCCUUGGCCAGUGUUCGCUUAAUCUGUAGUCCCUGUUUUGAGUUGCAAAUAUUAGCAAUAGAACCAGUAUCAAAUACCCAGGUGCUACUGCGAGCUCUGGUAAGAUACACAUCAAUAACAUGUAUAUCACAUAUACCUUUGUUCACCUUGCCAUCCUUCUUAUCCACCAAAUACUUGGGGCAGUUCCGCUUCUAGUGACCAGUCUGCUUGCAGUAGAAGCACUCAGUCUCAGGCUUAGGUCCAGACUUGGGUUUCUUCUCUUGAGCAGCAACUUGCUUGAUGUUCUUCUUGAAGUUCCCCUUCUUCUUCCCUUUGCCCUUUUUCUUGAAACUGGUGGUCUUAUUAACCAUCAACACUUGAUGCUCCUUCUUGAUUUCUACCUCCGCAGCUUUUAGCAUUGCGAAGAGCUCGGGAAUCGUCUUAUCCAUCCCUUGCAUGUUAUAGUUCAUCACGAAGCUCUUGUAGCUUGGUGGCAGUGAUUAAAGAAUUCUGUCAAUGACGCUGUCAUCCGGAAGAUUAACUCCUAGUUGAAUCAAGUGAUUAUUAUACCCAGACAUUUUGAGUAUAUGCUCACUGACAGAACUAUUCUCCUCCAUCUUACAGCUGUAGAACUUAUUGGAGACUUCAUAUCUCUCAAUCCGGGCAUUUGCUUGAAAUAUUAACUUCAACUCCUGGAACAUCUCAUAUGCUCCAUGACGUUCAAAACGUCGUUGAAGUCCCGGUUCUAAGCCGUAAAGCAUGGCACACUGAACUAUCGAAUAGUCAUCAGCUUUGCUCUGCCAGACGUUCAUAACAUCUGGUGUUGCUCCUGCAGCAGGUUUGGCACCUAGAGGUGCUUCCAGGACAUAAUUCUUCUGUGCAGCAAUGAGGAUAAUCCUCAAGUUACGGACCCAGUCCGUGUAAUUGCUACCAUCAUCUUUCAACUUUGCUUUCUCAAGGAACGCAUUAAAAUUCAACGGAACAACAGCACGGGCCAUCUAUCUACAAUCAACAUAGACAAGCAAGAUACUAUCAGGUACUAAGUUCAUGAUAAAUUAAAGUUCAAUUAAUCAUAUUACUUAAGAACUCCCACUUAGAUAGACAUUCCUCUAAUCCUCUGAGUGAUCACGUGAUCCAAAUCAACUAAACCAUAACCAAUCAUCACGUGAAAUGGAGUAGCUUUCAAUGGUGAACAUCACUAUGUUGAUCAUAUCUACUAUAUGAUUCACGCUCGACCUUUCGGUCUCAGUGUUCCGAGGCCAUAUCUGCAUAUGCUAGGCUCGUCAAGUUUAACCUGAGUAUUCUGCGUGUGCAAAACUGGCUUGCACCCGUUGUAGAUGGACGUAGAGCUUAUCACACCCGAUCAUCACGUGGUGUCUGGGCACGACGAACUUUGGCAACGGUGCAUACUCAGGGAGAACACUUUUAUCUUGAAAUUUAGUGAGAGAUCAUCUUAUAAUGCUACCGUCAAUCAAAGCAAGAUAAGAUGCAUAAAAGAUAAACAUCACAUGCAAUCAAUAUAAGUGAUAUGAUAUGGCCAUCAUCAUCUUGUGCUUGUGAUCUCCAUCUCCGAAGCACCGUCCUGAUCACCAUCGUCACCGGCGCGACACCUUGAUCUCCAUCGUAGCAUCGUUGUCGUCUCGCCAAUCUUAUGCUUCUACGACUAUCGCUACCGCUUAGUGAUAAAGUAAAGCAUUACAGGGCGAUUGCAUUGCAUACAAUAAAGCGACAACCAUAUGGCUCCUGCCAGUUGCCGAUAACUCGGUUACAAAACAUGAUCAUCUCAUACAAUAAAAUUUAGCAUCAUGCUUUGACCAUAUCACAUCACAACAUGCCCUGCAAAAACAAGUUAGAUGUCCUCUACUUUAUUGUUGCAAGUUUUUACGUGGCUGCUACGGGCUGAGCAAGAACCGUUCUUACCUACGCAUCAAAACCACAACGAUAGUUUGUCAAGUUGGUGUUGUUUUAACCUUCGCAAGGACCGGGCGUAGCCACACUCGGUUCAACUAAAGUUGGAGAAACUGACACCCGCCAGCCACCUAUGUGCAAAGCACGUCGGUAGAACCAGUCUCGCGUAAGCGUACGCGUAAUGUUGGUCCAGGCCGCUUCAUCCAACAAUACCGCCGAACCAAAGUAUGACAUGCUGGUAAGCAGUAUGACUUAUAUCGCCCACAACUCACUUGUGUUCUACUCGUGCAUAUGACAUCUACGCAUAAAACCAGGCUCUGAUGCCACUGUUGGGGAACGUAGUAAUUUCAAAAAUUUCCUACGCACACGCAAGAUCAUGGUGAUGCAUAGCAACAAGAGGGGAGAGUGUUGUCUACGUACCCUCGUAGACCGUAAGAGGAAGCGUUAUAUCAACGCGGUUGAUGUAGUCGUACGUCUUCACGAUCCGACCGAUCCAAGUACCGAAAGCACGGAACCUCCGAGUUCUGCACACAUUCGGCUCGGUGACGUCCUCACCUUCUCGAUCCAGCAAGAGGGGUGAAGUAGUAGAUGAGUUCCGGCAGCACGACGGCGUGGUGACGGUGUUGGUGAAGAACAAUCUUCGCAGGGCUUCGCCUAAGCACUACGAAAACUAUGACGGAGGAUAAACUAGAGGAGACGGGGUUGCCGGCACACGGCUUGGUGUUUCUUGAUGUCUCUUGGGUGCUAGCCCUACCCCUCUAUUUAUAUGUUGAGCCUUGGGGUCGAAACUUGGAGUAAAAGCUUCCACAAAGUCGGUUUCACCCGAAAGGCAAGAGUCCUUCUCGGACUCCAGGGCCAGACGCCAGGGUUCCCGGCGUCUGGACCCAGACGCCAGGGUUCCCGGCGUCUGGACCCAGACGCCAGGGUUCCCGGCGUCUGGCCCCUGGACUCCGCAAAACUUCCUUUUGCGCUUUCCAAAAACCUCGUGGGCUUUCCCCUUUGGCCCAGAUAAAGUGUUCUCGUGCUCAAACAUUUCAGGAAACAUCCGGAACCCCUUCCGAUGGAUUCCGGAACCUUUCCGGAGAUCAAACACUACUAUCCACAUAUCAAUCUUUACUUCCGGACCAUUCCAGAGUUCCUCGUCAUAUCCGUGAUCUCAUCCAAAACUCCGAACAACAUUCGGUCACCAACAUACAUAACUCAUAGUACUAUAUCGUCAACGAACGUUAAGCGUGCGGACCCUACGGGUUCGAGAACUAUGUAGACAUGACCGAGACACCUCUCUUGUCAAUAACCAAUAGCAGGACCUGGAUGCCCAUAUUGGCUCCUACAUAUUCUACGAAGAUCUUUAUCGGUCAAACCGCAUAACAACAUACGUUGUUCCCUUUGUCAUCGGUAUGUUACUUGCCCGAGAUUCGAUCGUAGAUAUCUUAAUACCUAGUUCAAUCUCGUUACCGGCAAGUCUCUUUACUCGUUCCGUAAUACAUCAUCAUGAUAUAACCGAACCAUAGAAGUAAUAAUAAACAUUUAUCAUGAUAUAAGGAAAUAAAUAAUAACUUUAUUAUUGCCUCUAGGGCAUAUUUCCUUCAACAAACCUUUUAAUAACCGAACCAUAGAAGUAAAGGAAAUAAAAAAAUAUAGCUACACAUUAAAAAUGCAAUGUUUGUUCAUUUUUGGAAUGUGAAAUGGUAUAUAUUAACAGUCCACGAUGGAAAACCAAAGAAAACCAUUGAUUUCGCUGAAAAAGACCAAAAUGAAAUCACAAUUAUUUUUUAACUAGAUAAAGACUAAAAGGAUUUAAUUACUAGAAGUGAAUUUUAAUCAUCCCACCACCCUAGCCGCGAGUGCUUCCAUGAAUGAGAGAUGUUUGUUGCUUUAUUGAUAGAACACACGGUUCAUUUUGCAAGUGUUACGUUUAACAGUUCAUUUGAAUUUUGUCGAAUAAAAAGGGUCGAUUUCCAGUAAUGGAAACCAGGAGAGAUUAUCAUACAAACAACUCAAAAGAAAACAACAUAAAAUCAUAUUGCUGAAAGCUAGACUACAGUCCCUGGUAAUCGUGGGACGCAUCCCAGAAACCCCACACAACUAAACGAAGGUCCUGACGUUGCAAAAGCUGAACACCCACGAUAAUUAAGCCUUACAAGGUCAACAUAAAGCGGAAACAUGGAGCAUAGGGUGAGUUUGGUUCCCAUCCCACUUUUCACGUGUUUUGGAACCUGGCACGGUAGAGCCUGCAUGAGGGCAUGCUUGCACUGAGCCAAGUUCUGCAACUUGUUUGGUUAUCCGGAAAACCCAACGCGCAACGUCCCCCGCAGUGUAAAUUACACGGGCAUGAGUCUGCAUGUGAGGAAACGACUGAUUUGAGUAUUCCUCUCAGGUAAGGCUGAGGGCUCCUUUGAGUUUCAUGCGGGCUUGUUUCUCUCCGUGGCACAUGCAACCAAACAAUUCGGAUUUGGCCCCAAGAGCCCGCAUGGUUAUUUUGCUAGCAACCAAACACGUCCAUAACAGAGGUAGAAACAGGACAGAGAUGACAAAGAUCCUCAAUGAAGAAGCAAUUUAGCUGAAGAUGCUCAGGCAGCAAAGGUAGCAACCAGUAGAUGCCAUUUGAAAUGGCAAAACAUAUAGAGGUCCAGCAUAUCUACACUGCUUCUACUACAACCGGUCAGUGCAUGAUUGGGCGCAUCAUGAGGACGGAUCCAAUGAUGGUAGUUGGUGGAUUUCUAUAAUGGGAACUGUUGCCCCGUACAGUCCAAAUGAUUAUACUACUAACCAGUUUUCUCGAUCGUCCUCGCGAGGCAGAUGGUUAGCCAGCCAAUGGCCAUGGCGUGAGCCUGUUGGAAAAGCUUGUUAAUUGGGCAGGACCAGCAUGGCCUACGUGGAGUUCAGUUCAUGGCGCCGUGCAGUGACCAAUCGGCAUCGACCUCCGGCUCCAGCGCUUGGCAUUUCUGCGCUCCACACAGUGUUUUUAUAUUCUGGCCCUCCUUCAAGCUUCAGUCCUUCUCCCCCACACCACACACAGCUUGGGACAACCCUAUACGAAUCUUCC